AAUGUCCUAACCUAAUCCUACGUUACUUAGUUUUUGUCUCAUCGGAGUUUCGCAGAUGCUUACUGCUCAGCAGAAAUUAGCGACAGUGAUGAAUCGCAAUAUAGUUUUAACAAUUUUGAGUCGACAGCGUAAUCGCAUGCGCACACUGCAAUACUUAACCAGUGUGGAGAGCUUACCUAAUUAUUGAGCAAAUGAUUAUAUACCUAUCCACUUCUCACAUACUCUCUACAAAGAAGCAGAUUCAGUGCUCAACAAUAAUCUAAAGUGCUGUCCCUAAUCGCUUUUGCUUUCGCCUCCGUCAUGCAAUGCCCACAGCGCAGUCGCACGCGGACGAAGUCGUACGCGCACGCAAACAGUCCAAUGCGCUGUCCUCUCGAUCGAAGAUGCGCUGUCGGUAGGUGUUGCACCGCGAAAUCUUGUUUUGUAACAAGUGCUUUGUCCGAAGAUAGUAUAAAAUUUUUCGCUGAAAUCAUCAUUCUGGCUCGAAGUUGUAGUAUUCUGAGUAUCGUUUCAGAUGGCUCGAUAGAAUUGGUCGCGUACAACUACUACCGCUACCGCGUGUUCGUUUUGAUUUGACGCACGAGUUGUCGUUGUUGCAAGUACAUUGAAUUGUGCUUAUCGCGUGUGCAGUUGAUGGCUCCUCCAGUAUAAUUUAUGGUGACUCUCCACUAAUCGAGAUUAGGAUUGGUUCUAGGAUUAGGUCAGAAGCUUAUAAUAGUGGAGUUAAAAUUAACUACUUGGCUUUAGGCAUCUCAAAUAUUUAAAGGAGCAUAUGUUAAUGAAUAAUUAAUGUUUUAAGUUAUCUUAAUUUGAGUUGUUUAUUUAGAGUCAACGACGGAGGGAACGGUGGUGGAAUCGAUUGAACAUUAGGACAAUGUUAACAAUCCAUUGAUCACUUCGAAACGAGUUUUGAAUCGUUUUGCUACGCUCAAAUGCAUUUAUUUAUUCAAUCGUUUUAUGCGAUCUUCUUCGUAAUUGCUCCAUCAUUUACCAUCCACCUGAAAAAUUAGUACUAAUCCCAUAAAUAAAGCACAAAGAGUAUGUUUAAAAGAACACGUUUCUUCUUAAACAGGUAUAUUGUUAAAUUGUAAAUACCUAAUUCACGAAGAGCCAUUUAUUUUUAUAAAUGACUCUAAUAAUUUUAUAAAUACAUAAAUAACCCUCUCUUCGCCACGCAAGCGCUUAGAUAGUGUGUUAAAGCUGAAUAUGGUGAUUUAAUCAUCGUAUUUAAAUAUUGGAUCACCGUAUUUCUUUUUUUAUUUUUCAUUGCCCUUAAGUAAAAAAAAAACUAUAGUGUGUAUAUGAAUAUAGUAAUUUAAUUACUGAUUUCAACUUAAAAAUGUUAACGUGACACACGGACACUCACGCGGUAAAAAUAGGGCGAUAUAUGUAUAUAUAAUUUGUUAGGGUUCUUUGUAUAAUAUUUUUUUUUGAGGGGACUAAAUACAAAAAAAGCACUUUUCGUGGGGACUGUUAUAUAAUAAAAAUGUUUUGAGGGGGUUCAGUGCAAAAAAGUAAAUGCGAGUUCGAGCCCCACUCGGACACGGUGGCUCGAGCGUGCCAAAUCGGAAGCUAUUUAUCCCGACCCGCGCCGCAUCGACGAGGCGCCACCACAACACCAUCGUUAGCGUUUUCCCCAAACCCAUCCACUCAAUUUCUCCACCUAUUUCUCCUUUCCCCUCGCCCAAAAUCCCCAAAUCCACAACCCUAGAUUUCUCUUCGUCGCUCCUCUCUCCUCGAACGAGCUCGAAGAAGCGAUCGGAUCCACUGUUGGAAUAAAGCAGGAUCGGGGUGAGCUUCAAUUUUUUUUUUUUUUUGCUUUUGCUUUUUAAAAUUUCCUAAUUUUUCGAGAAAUUAACCACUGGUGUAGAAUCUUUUCGCUCUUUAUCCUUUUGAAGUAAUCUUGAGGGAUUUGCAUUGUUGUGGUUGUUUGGUAUUCAAUUCGGAUUAAAUUCAGUUGCAAAUUGAAGAAAUUCCUUCUUGAUUUGAGGAAAAAACAAGCAAAUGUUAGCUGGGGAGUUUUUAUUAAGAAUUUUAUGGUGGAUUACAUGCUAAUGUAGACAUUAAAUCAGUCCAAAACCAUAGCUUUGAAAUAAUUUCACAUUGUCGAUACAGGUUUGCAGGGUCUUAAUGAUAAAUCUACUUAGUUUCUGUGCUCUUGCUAUCUAAAUAUUAUGAUGAGCCAAUUUGUCGCCUCUGCAAAGAGUGGAAAAGAGUUAGUUUUUAUGGUCUGAGAAGUAAUUGGAAGGAUGGUUAGUUACCAUAUAUACUAUAGUUAGAUUAUAUUGUGAAACUGUUGUAUUUCUUUGUAAUUUCAUUGGAAAACACUCUAUAAAAUGAUCUUGUUCUAGCUCUUUUCAGCAUAGGUGCAUUUAACUUUCACUUAUGUGAACUACUUAAUGAACAGAAAUGUCAAAUCAACCUUUGCAAAACCUACAAACUGGCAUAAGCUAUGAGAGGGACAGAGGAUCAAAAUGAUUUUGAAAAUUCAGCCAGCUAAAGAUGAUAUAAUUAUUAAAUGCUAUUCGGAAUGAUUGAUGCAUAAAUUAUUACAUGCUGUUGUUGUUGGUAUAAUGAAUUAUAUCUUUAUUCUCUCUUAACAGUUCGUCUUUCCAUUUGAAUUUAAAUUGUCUCAUCCUGUCUUUCGAACCAUUCUUUAUUUUUAGGAAAAUGCCUCGAAAAGUUAAUUAUGGGCAAUCUUACAAGGAAGAUUAUGAUAUAUAUGAUGAUUAUGAUGAUGAUUAUGCCGAUGAUUAUAGCUACAAAAAUAAUACAGGAGGCAGCUUCAACCAUCAGCAUGGUAUGAAAAGACAACCCAUUUUACUAAAUUGUUAUUUUGCUGCUAAGUUAGUGUUUUAUUUUCUUGUCCAGUAACUGAUUUCUUCUUAUAAUGUCAUUUUGGUUUCAGUUGGUAAAAAUCUCGAUUGAUAUAUAGACUGGAGUAGAUAUUUAUCUGACAUUUUGGAGUAUGAGUUCUUACUAUUUUUUCUCCAUGGCCAUUGGCAACUGCCAACUCGAUGGAUAUGUUCUCAAUUUUGAACCAGUAGUUUCUUUAGAUUAAAUGCUCUAAUAAAUCUAGUCCAUGGGUUUCUUACACACAGCUACACAAUAUAUAUAUAUGUAUGUAUAAAUGCGUUAGAAGAAAUAUAGCUUAUGCUUCAUUCCAUUCUUCAGUGUUUAAGAGCACUCGUGGAGAGAUACCUUCAAUGUGGAUCCCAAAAGAAAGCAUAUCGUUCAGUGAUAUAAGUUGAGGCUGUGCGCCCAGCACUUCAGUGUUUAAUUAUGGGUUAUGGAAAGAAGAAAUCAUAGAUUCUGGUUCUGUAGGUAAAACUGAAAAUAAUAUUUUUUUGAAUGGUCAUUAUCAUGGCAACCACAUUUUGCCAUUUUGAUGAAUAACUUUUUUGAAAAAGAUCUGAGCUGUUUUGCAAAUUUGAUGUGCUUGCUCAGAUUUUUUUUAAAAUUUUUUUAUAAUGUUAUUGUGUUCUACUGCUUGAUGAAUUGUAAAAUUCUAUUUUUAUGUUACUGACCUUGCAAUAGUAUAGCUGCACUUAAUUAAGUUGCCUCAGCUAGUUGGCACACAACUCUGAAGCUAAUUCUUUUGUUUUCGUGUUUAGCCACACCACAAGAAUUGUUGAAGAGCAAUGAAACGGUCAGUAAGAAAGUGUAUUGGAAGUGCUCCAUUUGCACCUUUGAUAAUGAAGAAAGUUCAGUUUUCUGUGAUAUAUGUGGUGUCUUUCGAGAAUCCUUUGUCAAAUCUGGCAAGAAUGGGGGCAAAGGUAUAUUGACACCAACUAUAAUAUGUAUUGACACCAACUAUAAUAUGUUUGAAACUAUCUGAUAGCAUUGAAUGCUGAACAUAUACUUUUAUCACAUCCUUGAUACUGCAAUUAUUUUGCUUUUCAGUACUGUGUCAUAAUUUGCAUUGGAAGGACACUUAUUCUGGUGUUUUAUGCAGUCAAUGGCACAUCAGUAGGUUCUGGAAUGUCUAUAACGGACAAGUCUCUUCCUUCCAAAAUGUCAACGAAAAUGCCUGAUACAGUUCCUGCUGAAGGCAUCGAGAGUAAAAAAGUUAGUUCAUCCUUUGAGAAAGGUACUAUUCAUGCACCAUGUCAUCCUUUUCACCAGUGUGGCUUCUUAACAUGAUUGUGGGCGGUAUUGCAAAUCAAUUCCCUUUUUACUCAUCAUAUCACAACUUUUCUAUAUGAUAUUAAUAGUUAUCACGCAUACUAAAGAGGAGCAAGAAUAGCUAUUGCUGGCUUAUAUUCUCAUCGUUAGUCUAUGAAUUUUCUGUGUGUAAUAAUUUAGUAAACGGUGCUAGGGUACUGUCUUUUUGCUUGAACAAUUCUAUUUAUUGUCUUCUGCAAACUUUUUCCUCCAUCUUGCACAAUGAGUCAAUGACAUCUUAUUUGAUAAUUGUUUUUUAGUUUAAACAAAUCUGCUGUGCAGUUACUGGGUCCUAAAAAUUGUUUUCUAGUUCUCUCUUAUCUCUUGCAUCAGAAAUAUGAUUUUUACAAGCACAAAUAGUUGUUUCAAUGUGCCCUAUCUAACUCGUUGACUUCUUUUCCCUUUUUUUUUUUUUUAAUGUGAGACAGUAAUUGAUUCCGUACAGUCCGGAUCUGUCAGGACUUCUUCCAGCAUUGACAGAAACAAGAAGGCUCCUGUAGCGCAUCAAGAAAGUGGAGGCAGGCCUUCUUCUUCACAGUCUAAGACCUUUCAACAGAAAGUAGAUAAGGAUACUCGGAGCAGUUCCACGUCCAACGAGGGCACAUCAGAAAUUGUAUCUUCCAACCUAAGUCAGCUAAGUUUAAGAAAAAAUCGAACAAUUGUUACAAAAGCUAAUUCACAUGAUCAGUACAAACCGGAGAAAUGGAUGUUACUUGACCAAGAACAAGGAACUUUGAAUCAGCUAAAUCUUGCAAUAGUAAGUUACUAAUUUCUUAUCGCUUGGUGAACUUCAUGUUUUACCAUUUUUGUCUUUAGGCUUUUUAUAAUAUUUUCUCUUUGUUUUCAAGCACUUUUAGUCUCCUGAGAAUGAGUUUAAUUCUCUAACAAUUUUGGCUAGGUUGGUCAUGUUGAUUCUGGAAAAUCAACACUCUCUGGAAGGUUGCUGCAUCUUUUAGGAAGAAUAUCAAAGAAAGAAAUGCACAAGAAUGAGAAAGAAGCUAAAGAAAAGGUGCGUGUUCUUUCAAUGUUAGGUUCUAUAUUUGCCAUUGCUUUUCUGUAUAUUAAGAGAUAUUCAUGUGGGACUUGCUUUACUUUGAACAAGUUGUAUACACGGGGAGCUACAUUUUAUGCAUCUAUGCAUACUUUGAGUUCACAUAUUUUAGUUGGAGCUAUCAUUAUAUCUUCCUUUAACUCAUAUUUUGAGUUCACAUCUGAAUGCUUAUACACUAUAAUUUCAAAUUCCAGGGAAAAGGAUCAUUUGCUUAUGCGUGGGCCAUGGAUGAGAGUACUGAAGAGAGAGAGAGGGGUGUAACAAUGACGGUUUCUGUCGCUUACUUCGACUCAAAAAAAUAUCGAGUUGUUUUACUUGACUCACCCGGACACAAGGAUUUCGUCCCAAAUAUGAUUUCUGGGGCUACACAGGCAGAUGCCGCAAUUCUUGUUGUUGAUGCAUGUACUGGCUCUUUUGAAGCUGGCAUGGAUGGUUAUGGUGUUGGCCAGACGAAGGAGCAUGCUCAACUAGUUAGAAGUUUUGGUGUGGAGCAAAUUAUUGUUGCUGUCAAUAAGAUGGAUGUUGUUGGGUACUCAAAAGAAAGAUUCGAUUUUAUUAAAUCACAUCUUGGCGGUUUCUUGCGUACAUGCGGUUUCAAGGAUUCAGCUAUUAUUUGGGUUCCACUCAGUGCCAUUGAGAACCAGAAUUUGAUUGCACCUGCUUCUGACGUCCGUUUAUCCUCCUGGUAAGUUAGCAAGUAAUGGCAUUCAUAAUCUAGAAAUGUAUGAAUAUACUUUCAGUGUCUACUGUUCGUCAGUUCAUCAGCAAGCGUUUUUGCCUUUUCAUCUUUCAGCUGCUUUUGUUGUUUUAUUAGCUUAUCUAUUCAGAUUGAUGAAAAGUGGUUUACUUGGACGAUAACUUGUCCUUUUUUCAGAGAAUAUGAAACUUCCUUUUGUCGUACUUUUUAGAGUCAAAAUUUCUCCUGCUCCAUAGAUCUUGUGUCAAUAAGAAAGUUAUGUUCUGCAGGCACCAAGGAUUAUGUCUGUUGGAUGCAAUAGAUUCCCUGCGGCCUCCUACACGUGAUGUUUCAAAGCCGCUCAUUCUGCCUAUUUGUGACGUCAUUAGGUUGCAGUCAAUGGGACAGUUGGCAGCUUGUGGAAAGUUAGAAACUGGAGCUAUUCGAAAUGGUUCAAAGGUAAUUACGUAUGCCAUCAAACUGACAAUUUAUGAAGAUAAUUUUUGUUAGACUGCAUUGGUCAAAGUCGUUUGUAAGGUCUUUGACUUCAAUUUAGAAGAAACAUAUGUAGGACAAAUGAUUCCUUAUGAAGAUAAGGUAUGCUAGACCACAUUAGCCAUCAUAUUGUGACCUUUUUGAAUAGACAAGGCAUUCCGAGGACACUACUGCAAAAUUUAAGGCAUACUUGCUUUGGAGAUUUAGAGAAAUGCUGGAAUGAUGCUGCUUUUUGGUCACUAAAUCAUUCUUGCUAAAGUUUGAUCUGGAUUGCUAGCUACACUAAAACUAUCGAUUUUCUUACACAGUGAGAAUGAUUUUAUUGCAGGUUCUCGUUAUGCCUGCAGGGGAGGUAGCAACUGUGCGAUCCAUAGAGCGAGACUCUAAUACGUGCAACGUUGCGAGAGCCGGUGACAAUGUGGCGGUCAACUUGCAAGGUAUUGACUGGAGUUAUGUGAUGCCUGGUGGGGUGCUUUGUCACCCUGAUUUCCCUGUCUCAGUUGCCACCUCCUUGGAGCUAAAGAUCGUUGUCUUGGACAUUGUGACCCCUAUCUUAGUUGGAUCUCAGGUCAGCUGAGAACCUAACCGUUUCUUGUGGGUUAAUGUUUGGAUAGUCCCUGUAGUAUUUGGACCUUGCAACUUUGUCCGUGAAUCCUUCAGUUCCUGAACUUUCUGAUAUAAUGCAAUUUCACCCCUAACCAGAAAAUAAUAAUCUAACUUCUGUAAAAUGACCAUUCUACUCAUUUUACUCUAAUUUUGUAAAAUGAUGCCUUAGUUCAAUUUACUCGAAAUAAGAGUUAAAAAGGUCAUAUUGCGGCAAAAAUCAAUGAAAAUUUCUCUCUUUCUCUCUCUCUCUCUCUCUCUCUCUCUCUUCUUUUCCUUUUUUCAUAGAAUUUUUAAUAAAUAAGAAAGUUCAGGAGAAAAAUGUUUCGAAAAAGUCCAAGUACCAAGUUGCAGUAUGGGAAUAGUAUAGGGAUCUCCACAGAUUGUACCCCUUUUUUCUGUUUUAUAUGAUGCUGCUCUUUCACUCAAGUAAUACUGACAAAAAUGACUUUAUGUAGGUUGAGUUUCACAUACAUCAUGCAAAGGAGGCUGCUAGAGUCACGAAGAUAGUGUCGUUGCUCGACCAGAAGACUGGAAAUGUCUCUAAGUUGGCGCCCCGUGUUCUUAAAUCCAAACAAAAUGCUGUAAUUGUGGUAAGCAAAUUAUGCCUCUGUGCUUAUUUUGCUAGUAGAAUUACAUGCAGCUUUAGCUUUGUCUCUUCUGAUUUAACUUGUUUACUUCCCAAACUGUCAGGGCCUGUUUGGCCUGUUUGGAGUUUGAGCAGAAGUGUUUAUCGAGUAUUGAGAAACACUAAGAGCGUGUUAAUGAAAAUCCUCCAACAAGUUUCAUCUUAUUUGGAGUAGAGUUCUCUAAAAGCAAUGCUUCUUUAACAGAAGUUCCCACCGCCAUUUUAUAGCAUCAGAGUCGUGGAGCUUGAAAGCAUCAACGUAAUCGCAUUUGGGGGAUGCAUUCCCCAAGCUAGGCCUUAACAAUCUCGCUUCCUAUCACAACAGAAGCUCCAAAUUUUCAUAUUCAUCAAAUGCUUACCUUCUGCUGCUUUGCGAAAGAAGUUGCUCUAGAAGCUAUAUAAAAAGCCAAUAUGAACCAAAUCACUGAUCUACCGUCUUGUCAUUAAAUGAAAUCGAUUUAAUUGAUCUGAAGAGACCUUUCUCUUUGUUUGUUUGUUUGUUUUUCCCCCUUUUUCCAGGUGGCACUUGAAGGAGCAGUGUGUGUACAAGAAUACUCUAUAUGUCGAGCCCUCGGAAGGGCGUUCUUACGAUCAUCAGGGAACACCAUUGCUGUCGGUAUCGUAACACGCAUUAUUGAGUAAGAAUGGAGAUAAUGCAGCGCCGAUAACUAUCAUUAUCAUUAUCAACCGGACAUAUUACUGCUAGCACAAGAGUAACCAUCUUAUAGAGAAAAAGCCAAAGCGUGUCGCCUUGUACAGGCAAUUUUGCCAUUUUUCACCAGUGAGAUUGUGUAUCCUUGUAACGUGUAGAUCACUAAAUUUGUAAGAUUUAAAUUAAUUUAUGAUUAAGUUUUGGCUUUUGCUCCUGAGAUUUUUAUUCAACUGGUAUCUUGAUUCCGAGGCUUCUUGUUAUUAGAAUUAGAAUGUUGUUACUCUUCUUCACUUCUUGUUUCGUAUUUUUGGGCAAAAUCUAACCAUUGGUCACUUGUCACUUCGAUAUUAUAUUUAAUUAAUCUAUUUCUAUUUCUAACAAACUUUUAAUUCAGUUGAAUUAACCUGUUGAUUGCCGAAUCAGCUAUUACAUCCUUCUCCGUAGAGAAAUUUUUUGUCAAAUUAAUUUACUAAAAAUAAUAGAUAAAAAUUAAUGGUUUAAAUAAAAUUUUAUUUCUUGAUGACGUUAGCAAAAAUUUUCACACACAAGUUGUGCAUGUGAAAGUAGAAAUUGUUUCAAAGCAACUACUACCAUUUCCUUUUUCCUAAUGAAAUUUUAAAAAAAAGACGUUAUAAAGGGUGAUGGGGAACGGUCGAACCCGAUAUUGGUAAUCGAAUUCGGAUUGGUUCGAUCCGGUUCGCUUUCCGACCCUUCCCUUAAACCCUUCGUCUAGGGUUUUACUUUCCCGCGGGAAAAAAAAAAAAAACCCUUCUCCUCUCUCCCCUCCUCCGUCCCCUUCUCCCCCACCUCCCUCUCCUUCCACCGCCCCCAUCCACCUCCACCUCCACCUCCUCCUCGGCUCCGCGCCGCACUAGCCUUGCUUCGGAGAAAAGCUCUUCCGGGGGGAAAAAGCGCUUCUUCUCGGGCGCUCCGGCGAUGGCGUCGAAGGCGAAGAACCCCGAUUACGCCGCGCUCCGCGAGCUCUUUCGCCCCCACAUCGACUCCUUCGACUACUUCCUCGACGAGGGCCUCGAGAAGGCCCUUCUCUCCAUCCGCCCCGCCGAGAUCGCCGAUCCUUCCACGGGCUCCAAGCUUAGAAAUAUCCUUUCUCUUUGUAACCCUACCCUCUCCUUUUCUCUCUUCUGUUCCUAUUUUUCAAAUCUUUUUCUUUGUCUCCUUGACGGAUAGAAACUAUCUUUCGAGAAGCCACACGUGCUUCCGCCGAUGAGAGAAGGCCGGUUGAGCGAGCCCUUGUUUCCUUUUGAGGUCGGUGAUUUGUUAAUUUGUGUCCAAGUUUGUAUCUUGUGUUUGUUUCCGGUCGUGAUGAUCGCAGUUUGUUGAUGAGUUGAUAUGAUAUGAUAUUGUUCCUGGUUGGAUUGGAGCAGUGUAGGCAAGCGAGGACGACGUAUAAAGGCGAAUUCAGGGUGGAUGUUGCUUUCCAGUAUGAUGGCGGAGUCGUCGUGAGAGAAAGCUUCAAUUUUGGCCAUUUGCCUAUAAUGUUGAAGGUGUGUGCACUCUCCUUUUUUCUUUUUUUUUUUUUUUGUGUCUCUUACUUUUUGCUUAUAUCAUGCCUUGUAAUGAGAGGUAUAUCAUGUUUUGCUCAUUUUUGGCCCUUUUCCUUUGUUUAAUUACAUUCUAUGUUGUUCUUGAUUCUUAUUUAUUGGAAAAUUAAGGAGGAAUCAGAUAUCGCAAGAAAAAGGUAAUCAGCAAUGAAAUAAGUAACGGGACUUGUGGCUGAGUUUUACAUGAAAAUUAAGUAUGCUUCUUAAGCCAGUGUGUGAUGCUUAACAUACAGGAACAUCAGAUACUUGAGAUGUGGAUAACUCUUUUUCAUAUGGUUAUUUUAACUUCUCGAAGUUUUAGCGACUGUAAUUUAUUGCAUGAGAUCAUGUAAAACAAAUGCUUUGAUUAAUUAGAUAGAUAGAUUCGUGAAUAUCCUUCUCUAUAUCUUGGUUUACUGCUUCUCUUUGAAGGUGGUGCAUGUAGGAGGGUAGACAAAUAGUUAUCGUUAAGACAAUUGACCUGGGUGAUGUCUGAAUACAUGGAGUCAGUUCUUUAUUCAGCAUUUCUACUUCAUAUUUUCUUCAUUUUUGUGAAUAUUAUUUCACGUGCAGGCAUUAUGUAGUUGUCUGACUCAAUUUUCUGUUCUUGCAGUCAAAACUCUGCCACUUGAGAGGUGCUGAUCCUCAGAAACUGGUUUUCCAUAAAGAGGAGGCAACUGAAAUGGGUGGGUGAGUAUGGGUUAACUAGUUGCCUGGGUUUUGGGUUUCUUAUAGUGCCUUUCUACCUUUUCUUACGUGGAUGAUAUUUUUUUAACUUCUAUCAUUCUUAAUUUUCUUUUGAACUUUAUUCCAGUAGGCAUUAUGUACUGCAGUACUAGUAAAUUGAUUGGUGAAAAAAUCCCCUAAUGAUUGUGUUGCGCUAGAAAUUGAAUUGUGGAUAAAGGCCUUCUCUUUUUUUUUUUUUCUUUUAGUCGACAAUUUAAGGUCGUUCAAAGGUUGUUUUCGAAGCUGUGAUAUCUGAAUUAACCAUAAUUUCAACCACUAAUAUUGAGAUAAUGUAAUUUCUUGCACCUCUUUUUAUGGUAUCACAUGCUAGAAUUAGAAGCCUCUCUGUGAAUCACUAGUUUCACUCAUUGUAAUCUUUACAGGAAGGAAAAGAGAAACCCUAUUGUUAUCUUCAUAAUUAUAAUAGUUUUACUAAACUAGUAGGAAAUGAUAUGAAGUUUGUUCAUUUUUUGUUUCUAUGCUUUCAGUUGAUUCAUUUCUAAGGGAUUACUAUAUAUUUUAUGCUUGAAGUUCUUAUUUAAAAUGCUAUCUUAAAACCUGUAGGUACUUUAUUUGUAAUGGUCUGGAGAGACUUGGUCGGCUUCUUAUCAUACAAAAGAGUAACUAUGUGAGAUUUAUGAUUCUCCAAAUUUAGCUUCUUAUCUCAUAAAAGGGCUGCUGUCUUCUAGCUUAUUAUCUUGAAUGAUAUAUCUUUUGUGUGUCUUCAUUGUUCUCCUUCCUUGCUAUCCCUACGGUUUCGUCAUUUAGUUAUUAUUAUUAUGUUUAUGGUGUUUCAGCCAAUGGGCAUGGUGCGGAAAUCAUUUCGUGCUCGAGGAGCUGGAUACAGUGAUAAAGCAGUGGUCAUGAGGUUUUUCCUCCCUUUUUUUCCUUUAUGCCAAGCUAAAUUUGUUGAUUAACAUUUGUUUGAUGUCAGUAAGCCCCUUGCCAUUAUAUGAUUUGUCCAAAAAGUUCGUUUCUAAUAUAAAUGAGAUAAGAUUUAAUUGGUUGAAAUAUUGGUAAGUGGAGGAGGGAAAGAGGCACAUUCUGUUAUCUUAUUAUACGUUGGAGAGAUAUUAGGGUGAUUUGCUCCCUCAAGUUUGACCUCGAUUGCGAUUUGCCAAAUAUUUUAUGGUUAAAAUUGAUAUAUUGAGAAUGCAAUUGAACUUAGGGUCAAAUUCCACUAUCCAAAUUUUUAGAAUUGAAUGACAAUUGAAACAGAGAUCAAACUUUAGGAUAAAAUUUGUAAUUGACCCAAAAUAUUAUUUUUUAUGGGAACUUAUUUGGAGAUAUCUUAGACUGACAGUCACCUUACAGUAUCCUCUAAUUUCCUACUUUUUUCUCCCCCUGUAGAUGUGUUCGAGAGGAUCAGUCUUCUGUGUCGCUUAAGUUGUAUUACCUUCAAAAUGGAAGUGCAAGACUUGGAUUCUGGUAACUGUCCAUGAACUGAUAUGCUAUAUUUAAUUUUUGAGAUACUGAAAGUGUUAUUUGCUUAUGAUGUUUUUAGGAUUAGAGGGAGGGAAUUCUUGCUUCCUGUGGGGAUUGUUUUAAAGGUGAUGUGUGAUGAGCACUUCUAUCAGAGACAUUUGUUUCCUACCUUGGUGGUUCUCUUGAUUUUUUGCUAUUAAUUAUAUCGAGUUUUCUGUUUGGCUUCCUCUACUUUUAUUUUGUCAAAACCAAUACUCAAGUGAUUUCUUUGGAAAUCUAAAUGUGUUUCGCAGUAUUUUGAGUCGUGCUUCAUUCUUUAAAUUACAUAAUUUGGCUCCACAUCUUUUGGAUUUUUAGACUACAUGUUUAUUUGCUCUGUAAAAUCAAUUAUCUUUGGCUCUUUAGAUGGCGUAACUUGGGUUUAGAAGAAUUGAACUUUUAGAGAACUUGAUGUAUUAUAAAAGCAUUUUGUAGUGGUUCUCCUCGUGAUGUGAUUUGGUUAAUAUGAAGGUUGCAAGUAGCUUGGGUUCAUCUGGUUCUAAAGAGCAUUUGUUGGCUUGAGUAGUAUCAUUGUUAAAUAGUUCUUUUGCACCUUAUCAAAAGUUGCUCUAACAAUAUAAUUUUUCGUUGCUAAGUUAUCAUUUCUAUUUAUGUUUCAUUAUUUUAAUUUUUCCACUCUCAUCAUUCCUCUUUUUAUCAGUGAAUUGAAUGCUGCUUACCUACUUAUGGUUGAAUUACUGUCAGCAGGCUCUUAUUGACACUAGUGACCGUGAAAUCUUUGUGAGCUUGACAUGCUGUUAUAAUGAUAAAUACCAAAGAGAGAAGGGUGUGGUUGGCACUCAACUCAUUGGUGAGAGGGCACAAAUAAUUCUUGAUGAAGUGAGGACAUUGUCGCUCUUGACUCGCUUGCAGUGCUUGAAGCACAUUGGUAUAUCAAUUGUCAUUGUUUGCUCUAGUUUGGGCACCUUGUUUCAUCUUCUUGUUUCUUUACGAUUCUGUUGAUGUUUUAUUUAGGAGAGUACUUCCAGCCUGUCAUGGAUGGUUUUGAAUCGGAAAGUCAUGAAACUGUGAGUUAAGCAUGGUGCUAUGCUAUGGUUGUUUCCUUAAUAGUUUUUUUUUUUGGAAAAUAGUCCUUUUUUCUCGGUAUUGCAAGUUUGGUCAACCUCUUUUAAGUUUGCAACGUUUGUUUGAAAUCUCCUUCAUGGACCCGAAUGUCCCUAAUUGACGUAUUAUUCACAAAAGAUUUCACCCUAGGGCAUUUUGGUCCAUAAAAAGAUAUUUCACACUGAAGUUUCAGAAACAAAAAAUAUGGAUCAACAUUGCAAAGUUGAAAAUAUUAGACUGUUUUACAGAGAGGCUUUUUUGUUACUGGAUUUACCUGAUAUAUGCUGUGUGUAAACAAACAGUAUAUACUAACGUGUUCUACCUUCUUUUAAUCAUGUAUUUUGUAGGUUGCAGAAGCUGUCCUCAGAGACUAUAUCUUUGUGCAUCUUAGCAACAACCAUGACAAGUUCAAUCUCCUUAUGUAGUAACAUUUUCUUUGUCUAUUUAUUUUUCAUUCUCAAUUGUUGCUUUUAUUUCUCGCCAUAAUUUUGGUUCUUGAUAAUAUAAUCUUUCUGCUGUAGAUUUAUACUGCAGAAACUCUAUGCACUUGUUGAUCAAACUGCUGCUCCUGAUAACCCUGACGCAUUGCAAAAUCAGGAGGUUCUGUUGCCUGGACACCUAGUAACCAUCUAUGUGAAGGUUUACUUAUACUUCCUGAUAUUUUUAUCAAAAUUGCAUCUUCUAGAAAUGUAUGAAACAGAUGUUUGGAUUGCUUAAUUGUCCUGUGAAAUGUUAGCAAGACUUUAUUUGGUAUUUUAUGCAAGUAUGUUGUUAAUUUUUUGCUUGUACCGUAAAAUAGUUUGCGACUGGCAUGGUAUUGUACUCCAUGCUCAACAAUUGCAUGAUUUUGGCAGUUUCAGUUGACUUUGUGUUGUUCCAUAUACAUGCCCUGUCGCCUCCAGCCAGGCAGAAAGCUUGACGCAUAUUUAAUGUCUUUGCGGUCUCAUAGAAUGUGGUUAAUGCACUUUCACCUGCUUGUGUGGUCACUCCUGCAUUUCACAGGGUGCUGGCAUCACCCUCUUGUAUUUGAGCUCCUUUUGGCAAGGAUGUGUAUGAAUACAGAUGAACUGCUAGCUGAUUUUAGUUAGCAAAAUCAGUGUAUACCAUAGUAAUAGUAGGCUUUCUGCUAAAGCAGAAGAAAUAUGAAGGAUAUCUGUUCAUCUUUCUUCCUUCCAGUAUUAGGGAACUUGUCAUUCCCGCUUCUAUUCUGAGAUUCUAAUUUUUUUUUUUUUUUUGGAUUAGUACAGGAAAAACUUCAAGAUUGGUUGAGCAAGUCAAGACGUCUAAUUCAAGAGGAGAUCACAAAAGAUAAAAGCUUUGAACUUAAAAACUGUAUGUUGAUUAUGCAGUAGUCGCAUUGUACUUAUAGGAGAUGAAUUUUCCUUCUCACUCAUGUAUCAUUAUUUACAUAAAAUUUCCCUUUUUAACUUUUCCUACUAGGAAAUUUGAUAUGAAUAAUUAGAAGUUUUGUGGGUAUUGGAAAGAAGCUUUAUUUAUGUUUAGUUGUUUCAUGUGUACAUAUAUAGAUUCAUAUGUCCCAGAAUGUUCAUCUAUACAUACAUUUGGACAUACAUAGUCAUGCAUUUGCCUACAUUUAGUGUAGAGAUGAGGCACCAAUUCAUAGUAAAUAUUCACACUUCUGGAUUAUAUCUGGCUCUACGUUCUUAUACUGUGUGCCCCUAGGUAUGCAUGCAUGUUUUGCAUAUGGAUUGUAGUUUCCUAUGUCUUAGUCGUUGGACCAUUAUAUCUCUUCUUGCCUUCUCCUUAUUUAUACUUUGCCUUGAUUCUAGUCGUCCAAGCACAAUAGUAAGAAUAGGUAAAAAAACAAAAAAAAUCUCUCUUUUCUAGGCUCUGAGUCUAUCUUGUCUUAUUGUUGUUUAUUUUUUUCCGAACAUUGAAUUUUCUUGCCUACAGUUGGCAUAUUUUUUUUUGUCCUUCAGCUGCUAAGAUAUUUAGACUACCUGUAGGAACACUAAUUUGAACAAAAGUACAUUCUAACUGUUAUUGAUGUGAACAAAAUUCAUCUUUUGAUUGUUUGUAUAUUAGAUUUUGAAAUUUAUGGUAUCCUCUCUGAAGUAUAUUGGAUUUUCUUCUAAGGUACCAAAUUAGACAUUCUACCAUUGGAUUUUUUUUAUAGAUAAUGUUUAGGGAGCUAUACCUCCCUUCAUUUUUGUAACUCAUCUUCCAGAAUUAGUAAACUUUUGCUUUUCUACUACUGUGAAUCACCAUGUUUUUUGUUCUAAAAUGUCAAUUGCUUCAGUAAUUUUGGUGAAUUUCAAGCCUGUAAAACUGUAUCUUCUUAUUUCCAAUUGAUUCUUCAUCAAUUUAUUGUUCAGUAAGGUGGUCAAUUUGUUGAGUUGUUACCAUUUUUAAUUGAGCUGGCGCUCAAUUUGCUUCUAUUACCUCUUUUGUGCAGUAUAAUGCACUUCAAUAUCAUGUCUAUUGGUUUUAUAAUCUGAUCAUUUAAGCUGAAAACAUGAUAUCUCUCUUCAUCUUUUGUGCAGUAAAUCACAUUAAGAAAAUUUUGAAUCGAAAUUCUGGAUCAGUAGGUAGAGCUGUGGAAAGUAUGAUAAAACUUGGAAGAUUGAAUACAGCAUCCGGUCUAGAUUUGCCACAGGUACUCUUUCUUUAUAGAUUAUCCCUUUCUUUUCUAUUUCUUUUUUUUGAGAGAAAGGUAGCAUGCUACACGCUUCGUUUAUUUCGAAAUAAACUUAGUUGGAAAUGUGAAUCAACUAGGAUUCAAACUUGGGACCUCGGGUACCAACCAUCAAGCCCUUUCUUUUCUAUUUCUCAAAUGUUAAAUAUUAUGCUUCUGCACAUUAUUGUAACUGAAGAAUUUUAUCUGAAGCUUGAGGUUUUUAAUAUUGAUCUUCUACACAGUUGUUGAUUUAAUUGGUAAUUUUCUAUUAAUACUGCUGAAUGACAUAGGCUUGUCUUUAACAAAACCUUUCAGUAUUAGAGUUGUGAUUUAAUGGGUAAACUGUAAAGAAUGGAUAACAAGCACAAUCUGACAAUCUUUGCAGUAGAUAUUUCUCUUUAGUCGAAAUUAUUUUGUAUCAGCUGACUGGCCAUAAAAUUACACUCUUUUUUUUAAUAUAUUUAGCAACUGUAGUUUGACUUCUUUUUUGGUUUUCAUAAUGGCUUUGUUGCAUAUGAACGUGGUGAAUCAUUAAUCUACAAUUUAGAAAUUUGUCAUCCUUCAUACAGUUAGUAAAAUUGACAAAGUAGAGUGGUGAGACUCGAUUUCUUCAAGAGUAUCUUGGCAGAGGUGACAAACAAUUUGUGCAGGGAACACGUUAGUAUCGAAGGCACAUGCAUCCUUUGUGUUGAACCAUGGAAAAGAAAUUUAGAGCAUAUUUUUACCUAUUGGAAAAUGAUCAUGUGUGGUUUAUUAACCAUCUUCUUAUGGCACAGUUUCUAUUGUUUCUAAAGUGAAAUUAUGAUCUAUGCUUUUUCCACCAAAGAGAUUAUGUUUUAAAAGCACUAUUGAUGAUUUUCUGAUGAUAUGAAUAGAGAGAAGGGAUGACCAUCCAGGCAGAGCGGCUGAACUAUUGCCGCUUCAUUGCACAUUUUCGUUCUGUUCAUAGAGGUGCUUCUUUUGCGAAAAUGCGCACAACAAGCGUUAGGAAGUUGCUCCCAGAGUAUGUGAUCUCAUUUUCCUGCUUAUGCAAAUGUUUGUUGCCUUCAUAUAACAUUGAGAAUUACUUUCAGAUCUUGGGGGUUCCUUUGCCCAGUUCACACACCGGAUGGGGAGCCUUGUGGUUUGCUGAACCAUAUGACUUCUACUUGCUGUAAGCUUAUUUCUUAGAUGUGUAUGAUGAUUCUGCUUCUUUCCAUAUUUGCAAAUUUUCAUUUUUUACAUGUCUAUGUACACGGAUAAUGUCCUACAAAGAUACUUCAGUGAAUGUAGCAUGAUGUAUGAAUGGAGUUUAUAUGGUUCUUUCUUGCAUUUUAGUGAAUCACUGCCGGUUAUUUUAGUGUAAUUCGACACUUGUUCAUGCCUGUACAUAUUUUCAGGCGUUGCAUCUUUCUACAGCUCAGAUGGGAAAAUUAAAGAUUUUCUCAAAAUAAGAAUGUCUAUUUUGACUGUUCUGGUUGGAAUUGGAAUGACUCCACUAACGCCCAAGCUUGAGAGAGCUGGUCCUCCAGAAGUACUCCAUGUUUUACUAGAUGGAUGUGUUGUUGGUUCUAUUGCUUCUGGCAAAGUGGAGAAAGCUGUUGCUCAUCUCCGAAGUUUAAAACUUUUUGCCGUGUCCGGGGUCAGUCCUCUUGUUUCUUUCUCCUUCAUCUAUUGCUCUCUUUUUCUUUCUUUUUUUUUUUUGGCUUAGAACUUUUGGUGAUUGUUACAGAUACCUGAAGAUUUGGAAGUUGGUUAUGUACCUUUGAGCCUUGGUGGAGCCUAUCCCGGCUUGUACCUAUAUAGUAAUCCUGCUAGAUUCAUUCGACCUGUUAGAAAUCUUUCUCAUUCUUCUAAUGGAAGUCAAAGUAUAGAGCUAAUUGGACCAUUUGAACAGGUUCAACUAACUUUCAUCUUGUCACUUUAUCUCCUUAAGAAUUCUCUUUCUCUCUCUCCACACUUCAGUGGAAGUGUGGAACCAUAACUGAAUAAUGGUUUUUUCCUUCAUUUUGUCACAAUUAUCGGAUACUAUCCGAAUGUGUAGACUAAAAUAAAGGUUUUUUUUCCUUGUUUUAAGGCAUUUAUGGAAAUAAGAUGUCCAGAUGGUGGAGAUGGAGGAAGAAAAGAAUCAUUUCCUGCAACACACGAAGAGAUCCAUCCAACUUCCAUACUUAGUGUGGUUGCCAAUCUCACACCCUGGUCUGAUCACAAUCAAAGUCCUCGCAACAUGUACCAGUGCCAGGUACGAAUUCUCACACACACACACACAUACACACAAAAGAAACAAAACAGUCACCAACAAAGCCAUUGUGUUAAUGUUAACUGUUACUUAUUCCAUAUUUUAUUUUUGCUUCUGUAGAUGGCGAAACAGACUAUGGGUUUUUCAUCGCAAGCUUUAAAAUUUCGAGCAGAUGUCAAAUCAUAUCAUCUUCAGGUCUGGUGCAUCUGAUUAGAGAGAUCUUUCAUUCUUGUCAUUUGAGGCAACUUUCAGAGCAAAAUUAGUUGUAGAAAAGAUGUCAUGUGAAUGCAUAGGUCAGAAUAGCUCUAUGGCAGUAUGUCAUGCAAAUAUUCCUAAAGGAAAUUGUUGAUACAUGCCAUAUAGAAAGAUUUUUUGAAAUUCUUAGAAUCGGGUCUAUCUCAACCAAACAAGUUCAACAUUGGACACUCUAAACUUUUGAAAGUUUGUCAAUUUGGUCCUUAUUUACUGCUAGAAGAAAAAAAGUAAGGGACUACUAGUGAAAUUUUCCCUUCCCUUUCCCUUCUUAAUAAAUGUUACUUGCCAGUAAGAUCAAAUCAUCGUCUUUUACAAACUGAAUGCCGUUAUGUAUUUCUUUUCCUCCGAAAACUUCGAACCUACAUUGUCCACAACUGCACAUGGAUUAUAUUUUACUGUGGGUUUUUUCUAAAGGGUACUUGUAGUAUUUCUCUAUUACUUUUUUUUUUUGUUAACAUCUUUUUUUACCGACUUAUUCUCCAUUGCUGUUAUAAGCAAUUUUUUUUUUUAUUGAACAUGCUUUUAAUCCCUCUGUAGACCCCUCAAACACCAAUUGUGCGGACAAGAACAUAUAGCAAAUACUGCAUCGAUGAAUUCCCAACGGGAACAAAUGCAAUUGUUGCAGUGUUGGCCUACUCGGGGUAAGCUCUUUGUGCAUCAAUUGUUUCUCAUCCUUGUCUGUAGUUGGGUUUUAAUUUGAAUGAUCCCAUUUCUUCUGUUCUAGUUAUGACAUGGAGGAUGCGAUGAUCCUGAAUAAGUCAUCUGUUGAACGCGGAAUGUGUCGUGGUCAUAUAUAUCAGGUCUGUAUAUUAGCUUCUUCUGAUAGUAUAUUAGCAUUUCAAAGUCUUUCAAAUUGUAGUUAGAAAAUGCACCAAAGUCUAAUGGAUGACAAUGUGGCAGCUAGAAUGAAAGACUCUUUAUGCGGACUCUGGUGUGGAAGUUUUGAGAAUUAUGUUUCCUUGGUUUUGGCUGUUUGAGCAUAACAUGAUGACAAAUGAGACAUCAUAGUUCAACAAAUAGCUUAAGCGGGUCAUAUGUAAUAGAGCAUUUCAGUGGUUUUGGAUAAAGAGCCUUAAUUUAUGUGUCUGCGCACCUGUGCUCUAAGAAUGAUGACAUUUAUAGUAGAAGUUGAUAACACUUGCCUCAUAAUGGCAAUGAAUUUGAAUAUGAUUUAUAGGUGCUUCAUAUUUUUAUGAAACUAGAGGCUGGAUAAUAAGCUGCUUUAACAUUUGUUUCCCCUUCUCUCUUAAGAUGUUGAAUUUAGAGUGAAGCAAAAUUCUCACAUUCGCAUAUGUGCUAGUUUAGUUUCGUCUAAUUUUUAUUUUCACCGACAAGCAUUUAUGAUAUUUGACUCCAUUGAAUGCUUUAUUGUUCAGACAGAAACUAUUGACUUGGCAAAGAAGCUUGACAGAGGAGAUAGAGUUUUGGAAAUAUUUGCAAGGAGUAAUGAUCGAAAGAUGAAAUCCUCAAUUGAUUCUGAUGGCCUUCCUUAUAUUGGAGAGGUACUUAUUUGUGCUAGAAAUUUUGUUUUUCUUCUUAUCUUCAUUUAUAUCAGGCAAUAGAGAUGGAUUAAUUAUUUUAUAACAUUUUUUUGUUUUUUUUGGGGUGCUGUAUGUGUGGGCAGACGAUACAUCCAAAUGAGCCAUGGUAUAGCACAUAUAAUACACUAACCAGUGUUACCAAGCCUACCACACUAAAGGGUUCAGAACCAGUAAUUAUCGACUAUGUUGCUGUUGAUGGUACAAGCUCGAAAAAUUACAUGCAAAAGGUAUACUUACAAUUAUCAUGCAUAUAUGCAAUAGCAGACAGACGGAAAACAGUGGGAGGGAGUAUGUUGAAUUUUAUAGGCAUUUAAUGCAUUUAUUGAAAGACAAAUUUGUUAGUUUCUCUUAGUUUAUGAUUUUGUAUACUAAAGCGAAUCUGUAAUUGAAUUCUUAGAUAUCAUCAAGAUAUAUCACUUUCUGCUACUUUGUACUGAAUACAACCAUCAGAUCCCAAAAGUCCUGCAUUCAAUAUGCGGGAAGAACUCAUGGGUAUAUAUAGGAUAUGUAUACUAAUGGAGUAAGUUGAGCUGAAGCAAUUUGGUCCACAUCAUUGGAGGUUUCUUUAUUCAAGUUACUAACACUAGCUGGCUUGUCGGGCCUGACAACCUGUGGAUCCUUGGAAGCUAAAAAUAUUGCUCUACCUUUUGUUUGCAGGUGAAUAUCCGAACUCGCCGCACCAGAAACCCUAUAAUAGGUGACAAAUUUAGCAGCAGACAUGGGCAAAAGGGCGUCUGCUCUCAGUUGUGGCCGGAUAUUGAUAUGCCCUUUUCUGCAGUUACUGGGAUGAGACCAGAUCUUAUUAUCAAUCCUCAUGCAUUUCCUUCAAGAAUGACCAUAGGAAUGCUUUUAGAGUCCAUUGCAGCUAAGGUGUGAAUAUUAUUUGUCUUUUUCUGUGUGGGAAGAAACCAUAAAGCAGAGCUUCCUUAUCACCAAGCAUUAUAUCAAACUGUUACCUAAGAAAAAGCAGCUAAAAAGGAAAAAAAAAAAAGUUGACAUUGAUUUUAAUUUCAGCAGCUAAUGUUUUUUGCAACCAGUAAUUAUAUUUAAUUGCAGAAGCUUUACACGACUCAUGUUUAUCUUUCAUAUUAAUGUUGUGUUCAAAAUUCUUCUCAAUAGGGUGGCAGUCUGCAUGGGAAGUUUAUAGAUGCCACACCUUUUGCUACCUCAAAGGAUGCCAACCAAGAUAAUCCAUCUAAACCGUACUCUGUGGUUGACGAACUAGGCCCUUUGCUGGCCUCGCAUGGCUUUAACUAUCAUGGAGUGGAGGUUCUGUAUAGUGGAGUUUUUGGCACAGAGCUAACUUGUGAGAUUUUCAUUGGACCUGUUUAUUAUCAGCGUCUUCGACAUAUGGUCUCAGACAAAUUUCAGGUUAGCAGGGUUCUGUUGUCUCUCUCUUGUUUUUCUUUACGCCCUUAUGGCAUUACUCCUAGAUUAAUGAACUAGAAAUUCCGCAUAAGGAUGAUUGUUCCUGAUGCCUUAAACUAAUAUUCUAGUAAGUACUGGAUAUGCUGUUUUAUAGUCUAUGAUGUAUUUAUGAAGAUCUUUUUUCACGUUUCUCUUUUCCGAGUUACCUUAGAUGUUUCUCUUUUCCGAGUUACCUUAGACAUCUUUACAGUUAAUAGAAAAAAGCUGCUGUAGAUUGAUGUUACCAAAAAGUGCAAUAGUUUCAAGUAUAUAGAUAAGGUAUCAAAUUUGAUAUAUCGCGUUAAAAGGCCUAUUUGGAUGCAUGAAAAUCUUGUUCUGCAGAUUUUUUUUGAGGGGCAUGUUGUAAUUGGUUAGCAGGGAGAAAGAAAAGAAGGCUAAAACUGUAUAUUAUAUACAACUGCCAAAUUUAUUUCUCAGUAUAUGAUAAAUCAACUUGUCGUUAGGACGCAAUACUCUGAAAAUUCAUGAUUAUGAGCUGCAAAGGGCUAAAAUUUAUGCCUGGGAUCCAAUCACAGGAGGACACUACCCUACUGCAUUAGUAAUUACUGUAUAACUUUUCCCAACAUGCAACUAACUAGAAAGUUUGAAGAAUUGAUGAUCAAAAUCAAGAUAACCUGUGUAGAAUCCUCUCUUCCAUUGAGCUCCACUGACUUGCCUUUUCUAUAUUCAGGUUCGCUCUACGGGAACUGUAGACCAGAUAACAAGGCAACCAAUAGGAGGAAGGAAACGGGGCGGAGGAAUACGUUUCGGGGAAAUGGAGCGUGACGCGAUGCUUGCUCAUGGGGCCGCUUAUCUAUUACAUGACCGGCUGCAUUCUUGCUCGGAUUACCAUAUUGCGGAUGUUUGCUCCAAUUGUGGAAGUGUACUUACAGCAACCACUAUUCAACCUCAAAAAAGGGCAGUUCGGGAAAUCCUCGGCCUUCCACCCGCGAGAGCUCCCAAGAGCUUCACUUGCCAUGCCUGUGAAACAAGCAAAGGGAUGGAAACAGUCGCGAUGCCUUAUGUUUUCAAGUACUUGGCGGCUGAGUUGGCAGCAAUGAACAUAAAAAUGGAGCUCAGAUUGAGUAAUAGCGCAAAAGCAACAGAAUGAUUCUGAUGCGAAGUUUUCCCAUAAUGCCGACAUUGCCUUGAAGAACGCUUGAGGAUAGCCAUCACCGAAACAACAGGUAACAAUUUUGUAACACUAGGAAAAUUCUCCUGUAUAACAAGUGUUAUUUAUCUUAAUUUUGCAAUCCAUAUAAGUUGGUCGUGCAUGUUGUGUUAAACUAUGAUAAUGCAGAAGGAAAUUAUUUUCCCCAACAUGUAUUUAAGAUGAGAAGUCUUAUUUAAGAUGUAAAAUUAUAUAUUUGUUUCCGAAAAGAAGUUUUGAGGACGUAAGAGGACUUAAGAGUUUACCACUUUAUGGUAAAACCUUUUUGAGUUGUUUUCUUUCCCCCUUUUCUGCGGUGGAGGAACCAUGUUCCUUUCUCUGUGGCCUCAGGUGCCACUACAGAUGAUUUUAGAAAAUUUUAGAGGGAAAUGAUGGAUUGUCAUGUUCCAUCUCCUCAUCUAUUUAAAAUGGAUAUGCGGUACUUUUUUAAAAAAAUCAUUAUUAAUCUCUCUAAGAGAUGCAAAUAAACGUGCCAUCACUAAUUAAAAUAAUCAACCUCGAGAUGCUCUUUAUUAGUUUAUUAUCACUUAUUAUAGUCGAGCAAAGCUACAUUUGGUCAAUUUUAUGUAAUAUUUUCAAUUUUGACUGGAAAAGUUCUGACGCUAUAGAAUUUGUUCAUUUCCUGAUUACCUGUAUCUAUUCAAGUAAAAUGAAGUUAACUUCAAUUGACUACAAAAUAUGAUAUGGUAGUAUACCACAGCAAAUGAAAUCGACACCUAAAACCAAAUUUUUAGGUGAUUAACUUAUUACUAAAUUCAGAUACUGAAUACAGCAAAUGAUCAGGUUACAAAGAACUAAUCAUUAUCAAACUCACAGGGCCCAUUAACCCGUUCUUCUCUCAUUCCCCAAUCUGGGGCAUUAUUGACAGCUUCUUAUUCCAUCAUCCACAAAAUGUAGUGGCUAGAAAUACCAUUUUCAUUUUCAUAUAAUGAAAGCCCUAACAUAUUUACAAUGCUUAUAAUCUUUCCUUCUCCAAUUCUUUAAAAGUACGAUUACAAUCACAAUUUCAUAUCAUACAAAAAGGAAAAACUAAAAGCACCUUUCAAAUUUUUGUAAACCUUCUAUAAGGAUAAUGUUUUAGUCACCACGUUACUAAACUAGGCUUCAGCCUGGCUAUGGAAUAACAUCACAGAUAUUUAAGUCCUAAAUUCGUCCUUAGCCCGGCUAUCGAAUAACCUCACAGAUAUUUAAGUCCGAAAUGGCAGGCGCACGAAUCAGAUGCUUUGGAUGAAAAAUACAUGCUACACAGUGAACAAUCUCUCCAUAACCACAUGCGCAAUAGCUAAUACAAAGUAAACUACUCGGAACUCGGAAGGCGGAUAAAGUUUAACUUGGAGGAAAUGUGGUGAGAGAAUUACCUUACCUAAGAAGAAUCCCUUUUGUUUGAAGAUAUAACUUCAACAGAUGAGCAGCAGAUCUAUUAGUUGAAACUCUCCACACCUCAGCACUCAACAGAAGCAUUAGAGAAUUUUUCCGGCUAACUUGCAAUAAUUGAUGAACAAUUCAUUGUAUUGUUCUAUCUAGCACAAAGAUCAACAUCGACAUUGCUUCCAAUCAUGGUCGAUAUGAAGCUUUGAGUCAAGCAUUGCUUCAAAAAUAAUCAGAUACAAGAAAAAAAAAAACAUCACCAUUCUGAAUCAUGAUUUACCACUAGCUGCUAAAACAAACUGAAAAUGAUCUAUUUGUUAUUUCCUAAAAAAAUGAUAAAGCAACUCUAACUAAAGUUAAGCAGAAAAACGAGGUGGCGUCUUCGAAAGGAGUUUUGUUCUGACAAAUAGUUAGUUCUUUCCCAUGAUACACUUGACAAGAUCUAAGAUGCGAAAGUAAUGAUAAAAGAGGGCCGACUGUUCGCCCUCGAGCCCAUCUCGGCUGUGGCGGUUGCUGCCCGCGAGAUUAUUGCACGGGCUUCCGCCAAUCACGAGAUCGAAGCCACCGAAUGUGCUUAUCAGCUGCUCGAGCCUGUCACUGUUCACCUGUUGAACAUCAACAAAUUCAAUCAGCUUACCCGUCUGAUUCGUCUGCUCCCACCAACUCCUAAGGACGUUUCUGUUUAUUUCAGAUAUCUCAACAGAAACGACGGUCUUCAUGUGCACUCCCAACCGGUGAAGUGCCACCUCAGCUCCCCCGAUGCCCGAAAACAAAGAUAGGACAGUCAGCCCGUUUGGAAACAUAUCCUUUAGGACCGAUAGGUGGUAAGCCACUGUAUCCACCUGGAAAGAAUUGCCAAGAGACCGAUACCUCUCUGUUCUACUGAUUCCUCUUGUAUGAUUUCUAGGAAACCCUAACAAAUACUCAAUCUCAUCCGGCUCUAAAGGCGCGACCUUGUUUAGUCCCACCCAAACCAAGUUCCAUUUCCUGCAUUCGUUCAGCACAUACUGCUGAACCCUUGGUGAUGGUAGGUCACCGGAUUCAAUAAGAGCACGUCGAAUUCUCUCUGUCAAUUUUGCACUAGCAAUGCAGGUCUGCAGGCAAUUGAAUUGGGUCCUAUGGUCCCACGACGGCCACCACUUCUUUGUCAAGGGAAAAGCCUCAUGAAUGGUUUUUGGUGGCAUCGGGAGAAGGGGAAAUCUAUUCUCUAUAGGAAGGUUGUGGAUGUACCCUCUCUUUCGUGCGGCUGCACAGAAGUACUUAGAAUCUACGAAUUCUGGCUCUAUGUCAUAAAGGAAACGUGAGAUAGUUGCCCAAACUCCCUUUGGCGCUAGGGCAACAUUCUCAUAAUAAAAGUAUGGCGGACCAAUAGCCGCCUCUGGUAGCCUUCUGUUCACCACAUGCAUCAUGCUGUUGGUUGGGAGACCAAACCCAAUCAUUGGGUUAGGAAGAGCUAUCAUGUCAUCAUCAUUAUGAGAUACAUUUUUGUUACGAUUCUUCUGAUCUAUGUAGCGCCUUCUCUUGUUGUUGCUAUCUUCCAUAAAUUUUCUUCUUUUAUUAUCUCUGCUGAAGGAGGUGAAUCUACAAAAGGGCUGUGACCCAAAAAGAGGACAAAGGAAGAUAGCGAGGGUUCAAUAACAAGGUAAAACUUGAACAGAGUAAUUAUAACAGUCAGUAGCACAUUAAGCAAUUACUUCAUCUUGAGCAGACCAAGAAGCAGCAUAUAUAGAAUCCGUCUCAGCAGUCUGAGCAGCGUAGAUAGAAUCAGCUAAUUCAGAGACAGGUGCAUCUUGGCCUGGAGGCAGUUAGAAAUAUCAAAUAAAUUAGCAAGAAUGGAUAGGUCCACAAGUCUGUCUGGUUGAAAGGAAAUUUAUACACAGGUUCCUGACGUUUGAAACCAUAUCUUUAGAAAAAGAAAAAAAAUCUUAGCACCUCUUGACAUAAACCCCUCAACUACAACUCUUAGCGUCAAAGAGUUCCCUGCUAAGCACCUUUGGAUGAAAUCUUGGAAUAUUCAAUUAGAGAUUCUAACUAUUAUCUCCUAAAAGGUUUACCCUUCCAAAGCGAAGUUUUAGCUUCUGUCUAGCAACAGAUUACCCUCAUAAAAUUUCAUAUGUACAUUCCUAACUUUAAGAAACUAAGUCAUUUUAUGCAAAUAACUUCAAUAAAAGAAGAAAAAAAAAUCAAAGUUGGAGAAGACGUACACCUAUCAAUCCAAAAAGACAUGGAGGAGUCUAUUAUACCAAAAUGGUCAAAUAGUUCAGGGUGUCUUUAUACAUUUUUUAUGAUUGUAAACGAAAGAGUGGAUAUUUAUGAGGCCACUUAACAAUUAAAUAUCCGGAAGAAAUUUAGUAAAAUAACUACAGCAUUUCAACCAGAUGAAAGAAUUACCACAUCUUUCGAUGGCUGAGGCAGCCUCUUUUGUGGUGAAACCCAUCUCCACUAAGGUCAACAAUUUUUUAUCCUUCUCUGCUAAUUCUUCUACAAAAUCCUGUACAAAAAAUAACAGUAACUUCGCAUAAAUCAUAUAUCAAUAGUGGAUGCUUCAUCUAGGAUAGAAGCAGCAAGCACGCACUCUUUUAGUCAGUGAUCGUGGUGCUUGUGAAGUCCCUUACCUAGUUAUAACAGACAAAAGACAUUGCUUUGGAUAUAAUUAUAUAGAAUCUGAUAAUUUUAUUGUAUUCAGUUGCAUAUUUUAUUUUCCAGCCUCUUCCUUUUCUCUGUAGUGAAACAUUUAUUACGUAUCAUGGAUAAUAGGCAUAUUAUAAGAAGGUCGUGGCAAGAAUAACUCUUGUAGUAGCGCCUGAAUUUGUUCAUUGUUGUUCAUUCAUCAUUAUAGUUCUCAUAGUCGUUACCAAGUACACUACUUCAAAUGAAUUCAACACAACAUAAAUCAACCUAGAUUAGCCUAGAAAUGGAUGUAAUAAAGAAGACAGCAAUAUGAUAAUUGAUAAUUCAUCAUUAUCAAUUAUGUCUCUCGUUAUGGCAAAACAGAUAUCCAAAUAUAAAGGAAAUUAUCAAUCUAAAAAAAAAGCAUUUGAGAGUUAAAUCAAAGAAAAAGAAAUAUGAAGGAAAAAUAUGUUGAGUCAGGUUAACGUGUUGCAUGACAUCACCAAAUAAGGCAUAAACCGACCGACAAUGAUCCAGAUUAUAAAAUGGCAAAAACCUAAAUAAUCUCUUCUCAUAAUAGGCAACGCACAUUCACAUCAAAUAAGCAUCUACAUGUAGAGUUAAAAAAUAAAUUUAAUAAAUACGUGUUUGCAGCUGGACCAAACUGCCUGGUAGGACCGGGUUGGCCAGAUAAUAAUCGCUCCAAUUCGAUGAUCUGGUUGGCUUUCAUAUUCACAAAUAAGGAACCAAAAUCUUCAUGUAAGAUAGUAGCACCACAACUGAUUCUUAAUAUGUAUAUGUAAUCUAGCACAUCCGGCAUAAUUCCCAAAAAGAAGUAGCCUCCCCCAAAAGCACAAAUAUUAAAGGUACCUUAUCUUCGAAGUCGUCCAAAUCUGAAUUAUCAUCCUCAUCCCAAUUAUCAUCAUCACUAGGUGAAGAACAACCAGCAGGAGAGCCUUCCUCUUGCGAGGGAGAUUUAUCUAUUGCCUGCAUUGCAAUAUACUCAAUGUCAAAAAAAGGCUGGAAUCUAUAAAUAUGUUUUUCCUGCAGAAAAUACACUUAAGGCCUCAUUUGGUAUCGUUCUCGUUUUUCUUUUUUUUUAACAAAACAUAAAUUCUAUGCAAUAGAGCAUGCAGGCGGAUGAUGGAGUGCUUACAGUCUACACAUUUAUGAGAUUCGUUUGGCAACAAAAAGCAAAAGCUUAGUAAUUUUUCUUUUUUUACUUCUUUUCUCAUUUCUUGAACAGGUUGCCGUCCAUCAACCAAACAAAUUGCAUUGUAAGCUAACCAACGAUGACAAGAGUAGGGAAGUCCAUCCGCCGACACAUCCAAUCACACAUGAUUUUUGUUUACAAGAAAGACAACAAUACCAAACAAGGCAUAUAGUAAUUAUACUCUUUGAUUUCCAUUGCUGAUGCCAAGUUGAAAUUAAAUCGCUGAAAGUAAAUAUAAUAAUAAAACGCAAAUACUUACUCCAUACGUGAGCAGCAACUCUAGUAUGGCUUCCGAAUCUCCUUCACCUGCAAUCUCACAAAAAGAAACAUCUAAUGAUUCGCGAGGCACAUUACAGAGAAAAUAGGAACAACUCCAAGAGGGAAUAAGCUCUAACCAUUGCCUUUGAUGGCUUUCGCAACCAUCUUCUCAGAGAAACCCAUGGCGACAAAAUGCGCCGUCAAAUUAGAAUUAGACCUAGACUUAGAUGCUCCCCCUUCCGAAUCCUUCAAAUUUUACAGCGAAACAAACAACAAUUCAAGCAAUGCGCAAGAAAAACCACUCCCAGGUGCUCUACAAAGGAAGAGCUCACCACCUUCUUGGACGAGCCCGCUUCCGACGAACUCGGCACAUCGCGAAUCGGCGGCGCUUGCCCCUCCUCUCCCUCCCCGUCGCUCUCCCAAUCCACCUCGUCCCCGCCGUCGCUGUCGCUGACCCAAUCCUACACACCACCAAGAACAACAACAAAACCCUCGCUCAAAACAACCCCAAAAAACCCACACGGAUCGUACCAAGAACAAAAAACGUAACGUCGCCAUUAACGCACCAUUCCGAUCCGGAGAUCUCUCCGGGAAACGCUUCCGACGAGAUUCAAUUCGCCCGCAUUGCCGCGUUCCGGCGACGAGCGCCCCGAAUCCCCGCAGCGGCGGCGCCCCUGCCGCAGCAGCAGCUAGGGUUUCAUCGCUCGAUCGCUCGCUCGACGACGACGACGCGAAAACGGAGGGAAAUAUGGGCGGGAGCGCUCACUACUACUACUCACUCCGCUUCGCUUUGAUUGGGCCGCGGAAGAGCAAGGGCUCCGCGGUAAUUUCACCUCUCUCUCCUCCCCCCCUUCCUCUCCUUUCUCCUCCUCCGCCCCAGUGCAGGAGAUUUCAAGGAGAAAAAGGAAGAGGAGUGGGAGCGAAUUCUCUGCGGCCCCGGUGAGCACAAUCGUAUUAGUCACCGCUGACGUGGUAGCGAUCCAAAUAUUAUAAUAAAUAUAUAUUUAUUAUAAUUAGAGAGGUGAUAAUAACUAGCGGAGCACGGGACCCACCAAAAGAGAGAGAGCACAAUAAAAGAGAAAGUGACUAGCGGGUGCGGGGAUCCGCUGCGCGGACCGUAAUAUAAGAUACGGCGCACGUGAAUUUCUCCUUUAUUUUGUACGGAUCUUAAAGCCCGAUGAACGAUGAAUAAAACUGUCUCGAUUAUUUUUCACGGAUGCGCUACAGCAAAUCUGACCAUGGAAAUAGUGCGAAUCACUGCCACUAGUUAUUGUUCGUUGUUGUGGAUUGCCGACACGUGUCCCUGAUGAGAAGUGCUUUUGACCACACUAGUAGCCACCUACCCUGGUUGGAACUUCUGCAAAAGCACUAUUUAAUAUAUAUAUAUAUAUAUAUAUAUAAUCGUUAAUUAAUGUUUCUGUAUAUUAAUUAUUAUUGGUGUGAAACAACUGAAUUCUUCAAAAACUUAUUUUAUUUUAUUAUUAAUUAAUAAUAGACUUAGGCUGAAAUACUAUCAAUAGCACAAAGCAUUUAGUGCUAUUAGGUUUUCGGCCCUUGUAUUAAAAUAUGUGCGGUUAGGAUGAUAUAGGCCCUCUAGGGUUGAGUGAGUUGUUGAUUUAAUAGUAUAAUCUAACGGAUGAAAAUAAUUAAAGAGUUAAAUUUAACGACGGAAAACUUGAUAGCACCAAAUGCAUGAUGCUAUCGAUAAUAUCCCAACAGGACUCUUAAUAAUAUAUACGGUUACUAUAUUUUUAUAAAUAUAAAUUAUUUUGUAUUUUAUAAAUUUUUAAUUAUUAUAUCUAUCUCUUUGAUCAUUUUAUUCAUUAGAUUAUAUUAUACAACAAACCACCUAUCUAAUUCUAAAGAAUUACUAUCAUUCUAAUCGCAUAUCCCUUCAUCCAACGGCCGAAAACUUAUGAAUAUUAAGAAUCUAUACUUAUAAGAGUAUAAUAAUACUAGCCUAUAUAUAUAUACUAUACUGUUACGUAAUUCGUGCAGUACAUAAUUAAUAUUAGUUGUUUUAUGAAGUUUUUAGUAAUCAGUGAUUUUUUUUUUUAACUUAGAAAUUUCAGAAAAUAUGUUUCUGUUUUUUCCCGUGUAAUAAUAAAAUAUAUAUGGUAACUAGCUCAUUGUGAUCCGUGCAACGUGUAAUGUACAAAAAUAAUUGGAAUAUUUAUUUUUCAACAUAUUUACUCAUUGCACGCAAUGAAAUUUGCCCGCAAUACUAAAUAAGACCUAAAAGUUAUUAGAUUAGUGAGAAAUUUCAUUUACUUGACUAUUUACUUCAUGUUUGUGCUCAAUGUUCUAACUAUUGUUAGCAUGCAAUUGACAAGUGGUGGGCAACAAACAUGUGGGAGUACAAUGCUUGGUGAAAUUUAUUUAUGAAAUUUUAUUUUUUGUGAAUAAAAAUUGUGCGUGUUCGAUCAUAUCAUUUUUCUAUAAUAUUUUAUUUAUUUCAGAAUGAUUUAACAGGAUUUAUUUCGAUGUAGACAAAUCUCAUGAGAUUCGCAAGAUUCGAUAAUAUUUUUUUAAUAUUAUAAAAUUGGUAGGUGUACAGAUAGUACUGGUGAUAAGAUCAUUUCAAUAUUAUUUAAAUAUCUUCAUCACUAUUCUCAUGCCAGUUUUCUUACUAUUUAAGUCUUGAUGAAUUAGGAAAGAGAUAAUUAUUAGUAUAAUUUCUAUUCCUAUUUUCAACCAAUAGUUUUUAGAUACAAAUUACUCCAAUUUAUAUUAGUUUUAUUAUAAACAGAGGAAUAAUCAUUUAAUAUUAGGUUCAGCUUAAUUAUCCUGACUCGAAACAGAUUACAUUUUUCGAACAAUCCAUUAAAAGAUGAGGUGGAGUGCAAAAUUAAGAUUAAGAUAAUUCAUUAAAAUCCUUUACCAAAAUUUAUAGCGACUUCUUAAAAAAAAUUAAAGUUGUGUUUAGUAUUGGAAGCCAUAUAAUGAUAUUGGACAAAAAAAAAAGAGGCCAAUUCGUAUAAAAAUUUCAUAAAUUUUGAGAUUUUACAAAUUCAUGUAUUCUUCACACCAAUCGAAACAAAGAAUUAAAAUUAAAAUAAAAUUAUAAAAGUAGAAUAAGUUUUGGUAAUGAAUGGUGUAAUUACUAAUUUUAGAUUAAUUUCAUACAGAUCCCUGCAAAUAUAGUGAAUGAUGGAUAUAUCUUUACAAAGUUUAACUUUCAUAUGUUGUUCUUAUGAAAGUUAUAAUAUUUUCAAAUAUAUCUCUCUGAUUUGUUAUUAUUAGAGUACUGUUUAUAUUUUUAAUUUUGCCAUCACAAAUAUGUCCUUCCAAAAGCCAUAACAGUAUAAUAUAAGAGACGUAAAAAUAUAAAAAACUAACCAGAAUUAAAUAUUUAAUCUAUAUUUAAUAAUUAAACUUUUAUAACGGAUUCUAAUGGCAGGAACAUAUUUGAAAAUAUCAGGACUUUCGUAGAGACAAUAUAAAAGUUGAAACUUUUAGGGAUAUAUUUAUUAUUUAUUAUGUUUGUAGGGACCUGUAUGAAAUUAAUCCUUGCUAAUUAAUCGUUAACGCAUACGGGCCACAACCUUAAUCCGGGCCGGAUUCGGAUCUGUAAUAGUUGGACUGGGCCCAAUUGAACCAAGGCCCGAUAACCUUAAACCCUACCAAACUAUUAAACAGUUUAUCACGGGCAACGCCGCACAUCGAACCCUCUCUCUCUCUCUCUUCCCCGGCGACGGCGAGGAAUCUCCAACGGAGACGCAAAAGAGUAUAUACGGCCACCAUCUCCGGCGAGCCUCGGCGGCGACGCCGCCGCAUAGGGAGGCGGCGACUCGAUCCCAGGGUCCACGCCUCGGCCUUGUGCCCUCUCGCUCAGCGUAGAGCCCCGCCCUCUGCGGCGGAGAACGACGCCGCCGAGAGAAGGCGUAGGAGGAGGAGGAGCCUACCUACCUUCGGUUUUGGCUUCUCCGAGAAGCUGCUUAGGGUCGGAGAAGCGAUUCUAACUCGAGGAUCGAUCGAGAUAGUGAUAGUACUAUCACCUCUCUCUCUCUCUCCGUCUCUUAGGGUUAGGGCAUAGAGGAAGAAUCGGAGAGGAGGUUUGCUGGAUAUAUUGUGUUUUUAGCAUCAUUACCGGAUUAAAGCUCCGUAGUUUGGUUGUAAUCGUUGAGCGCGACCAUGUCGGAUAUUGAUGAAUCAGGUACUCUUUAAUGAUCUCCGUUUUUUUUUUUUUUUUGAUAAUUUUUGUUGUUUUGAUCGUGUUUGAGUUAUAUUACUCUGGGGUUUUCAGAGAUAAGCAGCUUUGGGGAGGAAGAGAACCCCUCUACUUCCCGAGGGAAAGCUAAACAGCACGUGAAACAGUUGCAAAGGCUUCAAGAAAAGGUGGGUUUUUUUUUGGUCCAUGAAGCUGGUAAUGUGCUCACACUUGGGAACUCUUUAAUUCUAAGAAUUUAAGGAGACCGCGUUCUUCUUAUUGUUCAUGUGAUAGGAGUUUAAACAAGCUAUUAAAUUUGUUUCUCCCCUAGAAUUUAUGGUCAGUUGUUCGUCGAGUGGCCUAUUCAGCUGUUUAAGAGAGGAGUGAGGCAUGAAUCAUCUCUAUAAUUUGCUUCUGAUGCGAUCGGCAUUGUACUCUUGCAGGAUCCUGAGUUCUAUCAGUAUCUUAAAGAGUUUGAUAAGGAGCUCUUGGAGUUUCAUGACGAAGAUAUUGAUGUGAGUAUACAUUGCAUUUGUUUUCAAAAAAUUACUGCUUUUUUGCUUAAGAAUAUAUGGAAGCAACCUGUUUGCCGAACAUGUUAUUUAGGAGGACACAGUAACUGAUUUUGAUGAAGAUGUGGAGUCCGAACCUAUCGUCGAGGAGGAGCAGAAACCGUCCGCAAAGGUUAUUACGACUGAAAUGGUUGAUUCGUGGUGCAAAGCAAUAAAAAAAGACAGGAAAGUUGGUGCAGUUCGAUCCCUUCUUCGAGCUUUUCGUGCUGCAUGCCAUUACGGUGAUGAUGGAGAAAAUGAUUCAGCACCAAAAUUUAGUAUCAUUUCUAGCAAUGUAUUUAAUCAGAUAAUGGUGUUUGUUCUGAACGAAAUGGAUGGAAUCCUUAGAGGAUUACUUGAUGCCCCUAUAUCGGGAGGAAAGAAGGAGAUAGUUAUGGAACUGACGACCACUAAAAUGUGGAAGAAGCAUGGAAGCUUAAUGAGACUAUAUCUUGGCAAUGCUCUCCAUAUACUAACACAAAUGACUGAUGAGACAAUGAUAUCUUUUACCUUGAGGCGUGUCAAGGCAUCGGCUGUAUUUUUAGCUGCUUUUCCCUCUCUCUUGAGAAAGUAUGUUAAGGUGAGUAGAGACUGUCCUCUGCCUGUUAAUUUAAUAAGUAGACCUAUAAUUUUUUUUUACAGGGCUCUUACAUCUAUAUCCCAGAAAAGUCAUAAUUUUUUAACAUGUGUAAAAUCUGAAUUUCCAUAUAUAUCCCUCCAAAGUGUAACAUAAAUAUUUGAAACUGCUCAGUUAUCCAUUUAGUGAAGUUAGUUUUCUAUGAGAAAAUAUUUUUGCAGUAGAUAAUUUUGCAGUAAAUAUCUCCUUUGUUAUGGUUUCAUUAUGCCGUUGACACAUCAUUUAUUUAACUUCAGGUUUUGCUUCACUGUUGGGGUACAGGAAGAGGUGCUGCUCCUCUAUUUUCAUUUUUCUUCCUUAGAGAUUUAUGCGUUCGACUCGGUUCUGAUUGUCUUGAUACGAUACUUAGAGGUGUAUACAAGGCUUAUGUUUUGAAUUGCAAGCUUUCUAAAUCAGUAAGUAGAUCAAAGUUGCAGCAUAUUCAGCUCCUGGGAAAUUGCGUCACUCUACUCUAUGGCGUGGACCCACCCUCAGCAUAUCAACAUGCAUUUGUUUUCAUUCGUCAACUAGCAGUGGUCUUACGUGGUGCUCUUACUGAAAGAGGGCCUAAGGUAAUACAAGCGCUUGCUAUCAAGUUAUUGUAUUUACAUAUAUCUUUGUUUACGUUGACUAUCUUCGUGAACAUAUUUAUUUAUUUUUCAUUGUGCUGAUUACAUUAUUUCCUUUUGCUUAUUUAGCUUUUUUACUUCUUUUUUUUUUUUUUUUUGGUUGAAAGGCAGUAAGAGACAAAAAAGAGAAAAAGCAUAAUGAAAGCAACAAGCCUACAAAGCAACAAGUGGAGGUAAGUCCGACUUACAUUUUUAUCUUGUUCUCUUGUUCUUUGUAUGAAAUUUAUCUUCUCUUGUUUUUGGACAGUAGUAUUUCAUGAUAAGCGACUUUGAACUUGAAAGAUUUUUCUACAUGCAAAUUUGUUUUACUUCACUUUAUGAUAUGGCAUUAGUUUUGAGACUUGCUAAACAAACCAAAGGAAAUGACCUUUUUGGUUCACACUUCUGCCAUUAUGUUAAUUAAUGUGAAAGUUUCUGCAUAAUUUCUUUCAGAUUUACAUACUAACCCUACUAAGUGUCAGAGUAAGUCUGAGUUUUGUCGGUUGAAUUAGAGUUCAAAGCAUUCCUCGGUAUUCCAUCAGUUAUUGAUUCUAAAACAAUGCAGCCUGCUUGCUGGAAUGUUCUUACCAGCACUCAGUUACAUAUAAAUUUGAAUGAAAAACUUACUAACAAUGGAUUCUUAACAUUUAUGUGAUGUUUUUUCUUUCAUAUUUUUGCAGAAAGCAUAUCAAAAGGUUUACGAAUGGCAGUUCAUACUGUGCCUCGAGCUCUGGACUGGAGUUAUAUGCUCUUACAACUCAGAAGCCGAUUUUCGACCUUUGGCUUAUCCACUAAGUCAAAUUAUAUAUGGGGUAACAUCUUUGGUUCCUACUCUGCGGUACUUCCCACUACGGCUACGAUGUGUGAGGAUGCUCAACCGUAUAGCUGGAGCCACUGGAUCCUUUAUUCCUGUAUCUUCCCUUCUCCUCGAUAUGCUGGAAAUGAAAGACCUGAGCAAACCCCCUACUGGAGGUGUUGGCAAAGCAAUCAAUCUUCUUAAUAUUAAACAGGUGAACUUUUUUGCAUUUAUUGUUUAAGGCAUUUUCAAAUAUACGCGUAUUCCUGCAAAAUCUGUGUGUUAAAGCAAGUGAGCUUUUGUUGGAGAAACUGCAAAGAAACUUCUUUUUUUUUUUUAAAAAAAAGUGUUUUCUUGCAGGUAGAUAAGGCUACCGUGAAGACACGUUUAUUUCAAGAGGCAUGCAUUUACUCUGUUGUUGAAGAACUUGCUGAACAUUUGGCACAGUGGAGCUACUCGAUUGCCUUCUUUGAGCUGUCAUUUAUUCCCCUUGUUCGGUUACGAACCUUUUGCAAGAACACUAAAGCUGACAAGUUCCGAAAAGAGAUAAAGGAGCUCAUCCAUCAGGUAUCUUGCUAUACACAUGAGUAAAAAGCCUUACAAAUAUCAUGAUUCUUGCAUUUACCCCUCAUAUAUUAAAAUGUACAUUUUAUUUUUACCCCAUCAACCUAUGAGUAUGAUAUUGGUAAGAAAUGCUGACGGGAGGAGGCGAAGUGAGAACUUGUAGUUUUAGGGAGGUAGUAUAUUUGUUUCAGUAUUUCAGGUAAGCAAAGUGAAAAAAAAAAAAAAUCAAAAUACUUACGGCAUGUUUUCUGCGGCUUGCCUCAACAGUAUAAACCAUUUCCAAACAAGAGAGAAAUCAGACUCUAAUUGACUCUUACAUUUCUGUUUUCAAGGUGGAGGCCAACAAUGAGUUCGUAAACUCAAAACGCGCUGCUAUCGAAUUCUCACCAAAUGACCCUGCUGCAGAAUCAUUUCUCCAGGCAUGUCCAAUCAUUUACUCUUUUCAUUUCAUUCCCUUUGUCGAUACCAUCCUAACCUAAUGAGAAAUCGUUUGAAAAGGCUGAAAAGGAAAGCGGAUGCAGCCCUCUGUCGAGAUAUGUGGCCAGCUUACGUGUGAGGGCCCAGAAUAGAAGUGAUGCUAUGGUGGAAAAAAGGUUGGUUGGUUGGUUGGUUUAUUAUUGGCUGGCUUUCAUUUUCCGUGUGUUUUUAUUUACUGUUCAUUGGAGAGUAGCAGUUGGUGAUACCUUUGUCUGAUACCCUCGUGUUCCUUUUCCAGCGUCCUCGUUGGGGCCGAAUCAUCUGUUUUUGCGAAAAAGCUCUCAGAUGUCAAGGAAGAAGACAGCGAGAAGGAUGCUGAAGAAGGUGCUGCUGUUUUCAGUUCAUCCUGGUUGCCGGAAAAGAAGAAAACAAAGUAUGGCUUCUGCUCGUUCGUCGUCCAAAACUUUUCUUCGUCAUAACCCUUGAAGAUUAAUAACUUGUUCCGUGCACAGGGUCAAGAAGGAGAAGAAGACAAAGAAGCGAAGUCAUGAUGAGCAACAAGAUGUUGGUGCCGACGAAGAUAUAGUGGAAGAUCUAGUUCUAAGCUCGGAUGACGAAGUAGACGAGAGCGAUGAUCAGGAGAUAACUGAAAAUGGCUCUCUUUCGGAUGACGAUGAAGACGCCAAAGCAAAGUUAACGAAGGACACACCGGCAAAACAUAAGGGCAGGAAAAGGAAAAGCACGUCGAAGCAGAGGAACAAGGAAAAGAAGUUGACUUCGAUAGCGCCGAAAAAGAAUGGGAAGCGACGCCCACGAAAGAAGGCGAAAAAGAGUGCUCAUGGUUGAAAGACUUUUUUUUUUUUGUUCUUUCCAGCAGGUGUUAAUUAUACUUUCAAAAUGGCGAAGGAGAGAUGUCAAAAUAUGUAAACUAACCUUUGCCCAAGUAUUACUAUGCAAUUUUCAAUCAGUGGUCACAUUUUUUAUGUAUUAUAUCUACGUGGCGUAGCUAAAGUUUUAGGCGAGUUUGUUGUCCUCAAUCAAGUAAUCAACGAUCCAACAAGUGGUAUCAGCACAGGCACGGGCCCAUGGAUUUAAAUUUCACAUGCUACAAAUUUAUACGUGUGUUGUAACUAUCUCUAUGUAUUGAGUAAAUUACUUGUUUAUUUUUAAUAAUUAGAGCUUUGAAAUUAGUAAUUAACACCAAAGAUCCAACAGUUAUCUUUGUUUAUUUAUACGGUCUUAAAUAGAACUAUGAGAACUAAGGGCUGUGCUCCUAAUCUCGGGGCACCCUCUGAAAUUAGGAAAAAGUUGAAGAAAGAAAAAACAUGGGCUAUUUGUUUAUUGAAUAUUGAUUCCAAACUGAGUAAGCUCACUUGUUGUAGCUCGUUGAGCAAUAAACUUAAAUUCACGAAUAAUUACACUUGGUGCUAAAUCAAACAGAAAAAAGGAAAAAAAAAAAAAUCGGGAGAUUGACUUGGUGGAGAUAAACAGUAGAUUCAUAUCAUAAUAUAGCAUCAGAAUCCAAAUCUCACAUCUUAUCACUCAGAUCCUGAUUCCAUCUGAUCAGAAUCUGAAGUAUUAGAACAUGCUUCGCAUUAAACUAUUUAAAACUCACCCAAAAAAAGAAAAAAAGACGAGUCAGAAUUUGAUUCGGACAAUCUUAUAGGAUCUAUUCAGCUAAUUUAAACUACGGAUAAAAUCGAUGAGAUAAAAAUUACACAAAGCAUAUCAUGAACUCUCCGAGUAGGAGUAGGCAUUGACACUACAUUAUUAUUACCUCUUCAUUGAAACCGAUCAAAAUUCUAUCUACAUUCAUGACGAACUCGAACGCAAUAAUGAUGCUCUAUGUCCCCGAGAAAAAGGCGACCCCCGCUUCCCGCCGCAGCCCCCUGGGCCGAGCUCUCGCCACCGCCGGUGUCAUCACCAUGCGGUGGGACAUUGAGAAGCCGGUCCGCGGCUCCGUCCCCGCCGCCGCCCUCGAGCUCCGCCGCAGCGCCCUCCUCGCCUACUACCGUGCCCUCCCCCACGUUGCGCGCGCCGCGUCGGGCGACUUCGUCAGAUACGCAUGGCACGACUGCUUCCGGCCCUCGAAGAAGGCGUCGACGCUCGCCUCCGCCGAGUUGGAGCGGGCCGCCGUGCUGUUCAACCUCGCGGCGGUGCACUCGCGGAUCGGUGCGGCGGCUGUCCGGGGCGUGGGGGACGGGCGGAGGAGGGCGUGCGACGCGUUCCAGCGGGCGGCCGGCGUGUUCGCCUUCUUGCGGGAGGGCGUGGCGCGGGACACGGCCGUCGGCUGCGCAUCGGUGGACGUGUCGGCGGAGUGCGUCGGGAUGCUGGAGAAGCUCAUGCUGGCGCAGGCGCAGGAGUGCUUCUUCGAGAAGGCGACCGCGGAUGCCAAGCACCCCAGACUCUGCUCCAAGAUCGCUCGGCAGGUGCGUUGCAAAAACUUAUAAACUAAAUAGCCAGCGUAUAUAUUCAAGAACUAAAAUCGAAUUGAAUUGCUUAGUUCGCUAGACUAGCCUUCUUUGAAUUGUCUUUGUUUUGAUGCUUUUGAAUCUUCCACGUAUCUGAAAUUCUAAGUACAUCAAUUCAAAUCACUUGGUGUAAUUUUUCUCCUUAUUGCUUUAUUUCGUUGCUAAAAUUUUCAUUACAACCGUGUUAUGUCUGCUCAACUGAUUGUUUCGCACACUCAGGUCAGCCUUUACUACGAGGAAGCUGCCACCGCGCUCACCGCUCCACCGCUCGACCGCCACCUCGACAAAACAUGGCGCUCGUACGCGCAGACGAAGGCCAAACUGUACCACGCCGAGGCCUGCUACUGGUGCUCGCUCGAGCUCCACGAGCAGGGGGAAAUCGCCGAGGAGAUCGCUCGCCUCAAGUCAGGGCUGGCCGGCCUGGCCGCCGUAAAGAAGCUCGCGAAGGGCGCCGCUGCGUCUGCCGUCUCGCGGCUCGAGCUCGACAUGAGCCGGAACCUGGAGAGGGCGAACCGCGAGAACGUCACGGUCUAUUUCAUGCGGGUGCCGAGCGAGAGCUCGUUGCCUCCGUUGCCCGCGGCGUCGCUCGUUCGCCGGACCCCGAUGGACGUGAUUCUAGGGGUUACCGAAGAAAGCUCAAAAUCACCGGGUACUUAAACAAGGUGAUCAAAGAGCCCGUUGUACUUUGGGCGCCAAGUGUGUGAGAAAGCUCAGUUUGUUUUUUUGAUUAAAUUAUAUAAAAAAAUUUCUCUCAAUAUUCACUUUUUUAUUUUUUUUCCGACUAUGAAAAUCUAUAUUUUGCUUUCUUAAAAUUUAAAAAAUAUUCACUUCAGCUCCCGCCAUGAAUGUUUUGUUAAAGUUUUGUUUAUAUUUUCUUAUUAUAUAUUUUUUAUAUCUAAAGUAUUUUUGAAACUCAGAUCUCAUAUGCGCCUCUUUAUUCCUCACUGACGUCUUGGCCGGACCGCCUCGCUCUCGCCCACCCUUAUGUCUGCGCCCACACAAACGCUGUCGCCCUCCUCCACUGUCUUAUCCUCGCCCUCGCCCAUCUCUUCGUUCACAUCUAUCCCGAUCUCUUUCCUACAGUCGCAAAAAUGGAGAGACGGCGAGAAUGCUGGAGGAACGGGAGAGCCGGUGGAGAAAACGGAGUCAUAACUGGGGUCAAGGGAGGCGCGAAGAAUGGAGGAGGUAAAAGACUGCGGAUGAACAAGAUUGGAGAAGAGACGAAGAGAAUGAAGGACAAUUUGAUCAUUUUGUCAUCAUAUAUAGUUAACACUGUAUCUCUGUGAAUAUUUUUUUAAUUUUUAAUAGGGUAAAGUGUAGAUUUUUGAGUUACAAAAAACGAUAGUGAAAAAAUAAAAGAGAGGUUUUAUGUAAUUUUAUCUUUUUUUUUUUGUAUUUUAUUGGGCUAAGUGGAUGCUUGAGGUGGGUGAUCUUAUAUACUUGUAUAUAAGUUUCUUCUGUUCAAAGCAACACUUGUGUAUAAAUCUCAAAUAUGUGUAGGAGUUGGUGGUUCUAAUUAGGAAAAUAACAUCUUUCCUGAGGGGAAGAAAUAGUUUUAAUUCAUGCCAUUCAUAUAAUGUCUUUUAAUGGGACCAUCCUUACUAACAUUUUGUUGAGAAGAAAUUAAGUAGCCUAUCAUGAACUCACUUAUUUAUAACCGUUGAGAUUUUUUAUUAUUCUGUUUGGAUGUUCGAAUAAAUUAUUCAAUUAGGAAUACAAUCAAACAUCUAGAACGAAAUAAUAUUUCGAUCUCGUUUUCUGAAAUAAGAUAAAUUACUUUUUUGAUGAAAUAUGAUAUCCUACUAAUUCAUAAAUAGCAAGACCUUUCAAUGAUAAUGAUCAAGUUUUUUCUUUCCGAUCACAUAUAAAAAUUCUCGUCAUUUGAAUAUAUGAAUAUCUUAUUCUAGGUAUACCUUUAAUUUACUUUAUCUCUGAAAAAGAAAAAAAAUCUUUAAUUUACUAAAUAAGUUAUAGUAUUUGAUAGAUGAGCAAUACAUCAAAAGUCUAAUAAGAUAGAAUAACAUAUAUCACUUUUUAGUCAAUUCUUUUUUCUAAAAAUAAAUUAUUUUAUAGGUGAGUAAAAAUUAAAUUUUUUAUCUUCAAUUAUACACGAAAUUAUUUUUUCCUGCCGAAUAAGCUAAUCAAGAAUAAUUUAUUUCCAAAUUCAAACACGAGGAUUUUAUAUCCUACCUAAGAGUGGAUGAUGGUAAGAUAUUUUAAGGCGCAAAAAUCAACCAUCCAAGGAAAACUUCGUGAAUAAGUUAUUCAAAAAUAACUUAUUUCGACAUCCGUAUAAUGAAUUAGUUAUAUGCGACAUCCAAAUAUAUAGUUUGCUUGUUUGUUGGAGAACAAGUGUUUAUAUUAUUAGUUCUGAUUUAGUAUGCAUUUAAAUUAACAAGAAUUGGGUUGUUGCCUUGUUGGGCUCACUACACAUAAAAAAAUUGAAAACAACUUAAGGUUACAAAAUAAAAUACACGAUUUAAGUAUAAAGUAUGCAUAAGAAACAACUUAUAUUUUAAAAUAUUUGUAAUUUUCGAGAUUUUCGAAUGGCCCUGCCUUUAUAAUCAAUCAAAUUAAAAUAAAAAACUUUUAAACAUAAAAAUUCAAGAAUUAAAAUAAUAAGGAUAAACUUCAAAUACCAUCCUUAUGGUUUUGCAUUUUCUCACUUUAAUACUCUAUAGUUUAAAGUGUAUUAAUUUAGUGCCAUAUGAUUUUAUUUUUCUCUUUUUGUCUGCUCCUCUGAUAACAUUUCGUUAAAUUAUAUAUAAAAAAUUUCAGAUACCCUAAUUAGGUUUAUCGAAUAUUCACUUUAGUACCCUUUAGUUUUAAUUUUGUCAUUGAUUUAACGAAAAAAAAAAGUAGAGAAAUUUUUUUAAAAAAAAAACCAAUGGGUACUAAAUAUAAUACGAUACUAAAAUAUAAAAUUGUGAAACUACGGGGUGGUAUUUGAAGUUUUCCCAAAUAAUAAUAAUCCUACUAAAACCGUCGAUGAUUAAACCCGUUUGCGCGUGACCGCGCCGAGCCCGGGACGCGCCAACGACCGAUCGCAAUCGCCGCGCGAGCCCCCUCCGCCCAUCGGGCACGAAUCUUAAAGCUCGAGACCCCAUUUCUCGCCGCCCACUCCCAAGAUCCCAACUCCUCCUCGUCCUCUCCGUCCCCGCUCAUCUCCCUCUUCCUUCGCCCCGAAGCGACCUCCUGCGAAAACCCUAACCCUAAUUCCAGAUCCUCCUCUCUUCUCCGCGACCGCUCCCAUGGCGACGCCGUCGACGGGGGUGAACGUGAUGCUCGCGGUGCACGAGAAGAAGACGAGCCCCGUCGACAUCUACCUCGACCUCCGCCGCGACCUCCUCCUCGCCUACUCCCGCGCCCUCGCCCUCGUCGAGCCCCGCUUCCCCAUCUCCCCCGACCGAUCCCACGUCAGAUGCGCUCCGACCUCGAGCGCGCCCCCGCCGAGUCCUCCCUCGACCUCCGCCGCGACCUCCUCCUCGCCUACUCCCGCGCCCUCGCCCUCGUCGAGCCCCGCUUCCCCAUCUCCCCCGACCGAUCCCACGUCAACUCCCUCUCCUUCACCUGGUUCGACGCCUUCAAACCCUCCAAGAAGGUCUCCUUGCCCUCGAUCCACCUCGAGAGGGCCGCCGUGCUCUUCAACCUCGCCGCCGUCUACUCGCAGAUCGCCCUCGCCGCCGAUCGCACCACCGCCGCCGGGCUCAAGCAGGCCUGCGGCGGGUUCCAGAGCGCCGCCGGCGCCUUCGCCUUCCUGAGGGAGACCGUCGCCAGGAAGGCUGCCGCGGCGGGGGCGACGCCCGACGUCUCGCCCGAGUGCGCCGCCAUGCUGGAGAAGCUCAUGCUCGCGCAGGCCCAGGAGUGCUUCUUCGAGAAGGUGAUCGCCGACGCCAAGCCCCCCGGCCUCUGCUCCAAGAUCGCAAGGCAGGUAUAUAAUGCGAUCCUGAAUAAUUAUCCCUCUCGCGCUUCCCGUACGAUAUUUGCAGCAAUUGCUACUCACUUUCAUAUUGCAUUACGAAUACUUUUGUGAAAUCAUGAUGAUCUGAUUCACUAGGUAUCUUGUAGAAUACAGUAGAACUGAAGUUUAGAGCUUUUAUUGUUUAACAUGAAGAGAAAAAGGGUAUCGGAACUGAUACUGAUUAGGAAGCAUAAUGAAAUGAAGCUUAAUAUCUUCAAACCGCAAAUCUUAUUCCGUAACUUUCACAGGUCGGCCUUUACUAUGAGGAAGCUUAUGCUGCCCUGAAUGCUGCUCCGCUUAGCCAGCACUUUGACAAGACAUGGGUCUCGCAUGUCCAACUGAAGGCAGCUCAGUUCUAUGCCGAGGCUUGCUAUAGGUAUUCAUUGGAGCUUCAUGAGAAGGAAGAGAUUGCAGAGGAAAUAGCCCGAUUAAAGAUCGGGAUCGGUGCCCUAGCUGAUGCGAAGAAGACCGCCAAGGGAGUUGCUGCGCCUCUCUUGGAUGCCGUCUCCAAACUAGAGAGUAAUAUGAAUCGCAACUUAGAGAGGGCUCAAAAGGAGAACGAUCGGGUUUAUCUCAUGCGGGUUCCAGCAGCAAGUUCUUUGGGUGCUCUACCUGCAGCUUCUCUCGUGAAGCCCACCAAUAUGGCUGAACUUUUAGAUGCUAGCAAAGAGAGGCUCUUCUCAGGUCUUGUUCCUGAUGGCAGCAUGAAGGCCCUCUCUAGAUACACCGAAAUGGUUGAUGACAUCAUCAGGACUCAAGCGGAGAAGUUGCAGCAGGGAAGUGAGAUAACGAGGGUUAGACUGAAGGAUAUGGAUCUGCCAGAUUCUAUUUUAUCGCUGGAGGGUAAUAUCAGCCUACCUUUGGAUCUUAAGGAAGAUGUGGAAGCCGUACAGAUCAGCGGCGGGCCUGCUGGCCUGGAAGCAGAGUUACAGCAGCUCAGGGAUUUGAGGAGGGUUAAUCAGGAACUGCUGGUCCAAACUGAGGAGCUUAUGCAGAAGGAAGCAAGUGAGGAUGCCCAGUUCCGAACCCAGUUCGGGACACGGUGGACGAGGCCUCAGUCCAGCACCUUGACGAAGAGCCUGCAGGAUCGGUUGAACCGGUUCGCUGCAAAUCUCAAGCAAGCAGCAGAUAGUGACGCGCGGAUUGAGCGAGCCGUUAAAGACAACUAUCCUCUCAUGUCAAUUCUUGACCGCAGACCGGUAUGAUUUACCUGUGCCGUCAUGUUUGUUGAUUUUGUGAAUGAAAUAUUGUCUCAGGUGAAUGUAAAUACAUGAAGUACUGUUUUUCCAUUUAUAUGGCAACCUAAAACUCUGUUUAUCCUCAUUGAUGUAUAACUCGCCAGUUUUCUUUUGAAACAUUUGCUUCAUUGGAUUUUCUAAGGAAUCUAGUUGUGGACUGAGAUGAAUCUGCAACUCCAUGAUGCAGCAAUUUCCAUCCCCUGCUUUUUAGACAGUCAUUUAUGCUUCCUUAACUCUUCUUCUUUUGAUGGAUGACUAGAAUCCGAUGAUAUCUGUAUUUUUCAAGAUUUAGUGAGCAUGUGAAGCAACUAAUGGGAGCACUUUAUCAGGCCCCAAGUGCUUGCAUUCAGGCAUAUCUGUCAUACCUUUAUAAUAAAUAAUCAUGUUUUAUUAACCUGUUUGAAUUGGGAACACUAGCUUAUUUUCAUUCAUAUGUUGGUAGCACAGUGCUUCUGUAGUUUGACUUUGUUUCCCCUGGGAACUUACCCUAUUGUUUUACUAAUUGCAGAUAGAAUCUGCCCUUCCAAGUAUUGCAAGGCCUAUAAUGUCGCUGGAUGGGAAUGAAGAUGCUUUAGUUGGAGCCCUCAAACAGAGCUUGGUAAUGUACAGUUUAAUCAUUCAGCAUAUCAAUUUAAAUUGUAAUUUCAGCAAUCUAAGAGUAUUGUUUUAAAUUAGUAGAACUUGUGAUGCUGCAACCCUCAGUUUGCAUCUUGGUUGUUUAUAAUUUACAGCAUAAGAAACACUGAUUCAGCUAUACUGUCGUUAUGUGUGAAAUUUUCAGCAUCGAUAUACAGUACUUAGCACCAGCCACACGACAAUGUUGACAUCAGUUAAUUGUUGAGAUCAUUACAGUUUCAGUUUAGACUGGUAGUAGACGUACUCUUACACUUAAAGUUGGAAGUAUAAUGAAUGUGUGUGUAGGCUUGUCAACAUAGUAGAGUGUGAGAGAGAGCGCUUGUGUGGGGUGGCUGUGUGAGGGAGGAUACCGGUUCUUUUAUCAAUGACUAAACUAAACUUUCGAAUAUUAAGCUGAAUUCGGCUCUCAAGGUUAUAAUUACUAACUUAAACCGUGACUUUGUUAUUUAAUAGUAAUAAUAAUCUUAAUACAGACAGUUUGAGCACUACAGAAAUAUUAGAAUCUGGUUGCAGAAGUGGCUGUUGAUACAUUUUCUUUUAUUUGUCUGGGUCACGUAGAGUGCCAGUUAGAUCUUUGUUGCAAUCUGGUACUCAACAGCUACCUCCCUUCAGUGCUGAUCUUUUGGAGCAUUUCUUUCUUGAAUCAGUCUUGUGGAGUUCUUCACUUCUCUUGUUAUUUUCCAAUAUGGGCUGUUGAAGAAGUACUGGAUCAAAUCUUUUCUUCGCAAACGUGUGAACUAAUAUUUUACUUUCAUAAUUUCUCUUUUGGCCUGCUGCUCAUUUAAUAGGGGCAUUGUAAAAGCAAGCUAAAAAAGGGCUUGUAUUAAGUGUAUUUUAAAAUUCAUCCUUAGUAUAUCACAGGUAUCUAGUAUCUUGUACUAACAAAUUCUUGUUCAUGCAGAGGCAACUGGAGAACCUAGGAGCACAACGGGCAGGCCUCGAAGACAUGCUAAAGGAGAUGAAGAGAAAGGUGUGGGUUCUAUUGUGCUUAUGAAUUUGCUGUUAAAAGGACAAAAUGGAACCUAGUUUCUACUUUUCAUUAUUCUGUUGAAAUCGAUAUUUGGAAGAUAUAUAUUCUGUCUACCUUGUCUGCAUGUCAAGAUGAUGGCUAUACAUAAGUAAAGUGGCUUGCGUUGUAUAUGAUCUCUGGCAUUUUCCAUAGAAUUUUGAUCUUUACAAAAAAUGCAGAUACUCAAGAGAAAGUGCUUCAGGGUUGCCUUUAUAAGAACGAACCACUUAUUGAUUUUACUAGUACAUGGAUUAGCGUUAAAUAAACCAUAAGCAUAUUUGACUUCUAUGUUGUCGAAGUUGUAAUCUUUUUAUUUUACUCGAUUGCAUUCCUUUUUUAUUUUACUGUAGGUGUAUCAUUAUUUACUAAAAUCUGAUUAUUGCUUACUUGUGCUGAUCAUGCUUCAAUAAUCAGUUUUGUUUUAACUAACUUUUUAGUUCUAUAAUGCACUUUACUAGCUUGUAGAUUGGAUUGACAAGCCAGUAAUGGUCUACUGUGCCAAUGCUGUAUUUCUUUCAGGAUGAUAUCUUACCAAAGUUGAUGGCUGGCACCGGAUCACAUGAAGAUCUCUUUAAAAAGGAGAUAGCAAAGUAUGAUCCCAUCUGUCAAGAAAUUGCUAAGAAUAUAGAGGCACAGGAGCAAUUGUUACUGCAAAUACAGGCAAGCUACCUGCUCUGAAUUUUUACCCAGUGAAAUGCCCUUGUUCAAUUCAUACAUACCCUUCAUUUCUUAGAUUUCAUAACAUUGUCUUAAUGGCAAGUGACAAUCGUUUUGAUUACCUUCUGCAUAAUUGAAUUUAGACUCUCAGUUGCUAAAUAAAUACUCCUUUUCCUUUGUUUCGUCUACAGGCUCAAAAUGAUGAAUUUUCUAGUGUCUUUAAUCUGGAAGACUACAAAGGUAUUUUCUUCUUUGUUUCUCUCCCUCAUUGAGGUGACGAGUAAUUGCCUAAAUUCAUGUGUUUCCUUUUUAUCACUCUUCUAUUGCUUGUGAUAGAUAGAUUCUUGGAUUUGCUUGAUUUAAUUUUAAUACGUUUAUUUAUGGACUUUUGGUACCAGAAAGCAUUUGACAGCUUUAAAAGCGUCCUUAUCAUCUAUUUCCUUCAGUAUUGAUCAUUUUCAUUUAUAUCACUUGUCGGAUGGUUGGUUGUUGAUUAACUGCUAACAAUCAAAAUUUCUCGCCAGUUGCUCGUGAGAAAACUUUCAAGCAAAUCGCAGCUGCCGUUGCAAAAUACCGUGAAAUUAAGGAGAACAUCAAUGAGGGGUUGAAGUUUUAUGUUACUUUACAGGUGCGCAAGUUGCUACACAUUAGUAUGAAACGUACGAAAGUUACCUGCAUCAUAUUCCCUCUUUAAUUCGACACUUACCCUCUUACAUAAUCUUUUAACAGGAUGCAAUAAACAACAUAAAGCAGCAAUGCAGCGACUUCGUAAUGACCCGGCAGAUCCAGUGCCGCGAGAUGAUCGAGGAAGUACAGAGGCAGAUAGCAGGAUUCAGCUUCUCCGGUGGAAAAACAGGCCACAGAACGAACCAGCAAAGAAACGUUCCUCCUCAACCAAACCAACAGACCACCCCGCCCCCAACCCAUCCUGCUCAGCCGCCACCGCCUUCAUACCAUUAUCCACCCAGUGAACCAAGGCCAGGAUAUUCUCAACCCUACCCAGCCUAUGCCUCCUCACCACCUCCUCCUUACCACCAAUACCAGCAGCCACCACAACAGCCACCGCAGCAGCCGCCCAACACCGACUAUGGCCAACCGGCUUAUCCGGGAUGGCGCGGGCCGUACUACAACGCGCCACCACCGCAACAACACCAGCAGCAACCGGGACCUUAUUUGCAACCGCCGUACACUAUUCCCGGGUCUUAUCCGCCUCCUCAACAGGGCAAUUACUACAGGCCUCAGUGAAGUACGGUCGAUGCCGAAACUAUUUGUUGGCGUGUUAGUCGCUCGGUUUCAUUGUGAAUGGUUUCCCAGAUAUAAUACUAUUCUAUGUUGGGACUGUCAUGCUAUUUUUUUUUUUUCUCUUCUUUGUUGGAUAGAGACUCUAUACAUAUUACUGGUACAGAAUAAUAUGCUGAAGUAUUAGUUGCUUAGGUCUCCCGAUUCCCGAUUUGUUAAGGUUCCGCAGUUGCAGGGUCUAGAAAACUAUUCGAGUGAAGGAUAUUUUGGUGACUUGCUGGGGGUUCUGAACCUUGUUCAUAAACUUUGCUGGUAUGUGUGAUGUGAUUUUGUAUAAAGUGGAACGUGUUUCUAUUUUUUUGUGAUUUUAAUCGAGCAGUAAAAUAAUCCCCCUGGAGGUUGCUGUGGAUGGUUUUUGUUGCAAUUUCUUGGAAACUUGUAAUCUCUUUGUAAAUCUUCUCUUCCCAUGGAAAUGCGCCAACCACACCAAUGAAGAAAAAAAGAUUUAGUUGGUCGCUAGUUUUAUCAUCAGCCCCAAGUUCUUUCUCCCUGAUAAUAGCAUUGAGAGGAUGGUAAAACAACUGUGGCUCGAGUGCUUUAUUUUACGGAGAUCAAAGGUGUAGAGAGAGAGAGAACCUUGCAAGAGGGCUUUAAUCUCCCACCCAGGAAAUUUUCUUUUUUUUUUUUUAAAAAAAAAGGGCAAUUACCAGAUAAAGCCAUUGGAUACAGUAUGAUCGAGCAAUCAUACUUCUGUAUUCAGUUUCAUUCAUAUAACAAAGCUGCCGAAGAUAAAUGAGGAAGAAACGUUAAAAAUUUGUUAGUUAUAUUCAGUAUCAUACUCGGGCAAAAACUAUGACAGAGAAAAGCAACGUCCCGGAACAAAGACAUCAGUUGAAACUAAGAAUAUGGUGGAUUAACAAACAUAGGCAAAAUUUACUCCUAGAAGCCGAACAAAUAGGCAAAAUUUACUCCCACAAGCUGAUCUAGUUGGCUCUUCCCACCAACAAUAAAAAAAGCAGAGAGAGAGAGAGAGAGAGAGAGAGAGAGAGAGAGUCGAAUGCAAUUUUAGGGAACUUUUUGUUUUUAUUUAACAACAGAAAGAUUCAAAAUUAAUUCCUCCCAUGUGUGGCCACAACCAAGUUAGGACUUCAAAUGGUUGCUUAAGAAAUCAGAAUACGAUCUCCUGCACCGACUUGUCACAACAUCAAGUAUUGCAAGCUUCGAAUUCACCGGAAAAUCUUUAGCCUAAUCUAAGCUCAGUAAAAGCUUUACGAACAGCCUAAUAUAAUCUAACAUGUCACAAAAAGAUCAACUUUUAACUGUGUGUGUAAAAAUAGCACUCGGGAUGGGUGGUCUUUCCUGUCCAUUCAAAGUCAUGAAGCCCUACAGAAGGCUCUAUGCUGCUUUCUUCUGGUCGGAAGAUCCGUCAAAUUUCAAGGUUGAGAUCGCCAUGUUGAGGAUUAUGAAACUUGUUCCUCGAUUCAAAAAUUCUCGGAUUAAUCAAAGAUAAUACAUGAAUAUAUAGAGAUUCCAGAUCAAAAGAGAUUUUUUUUUUUUUUUUAGGGUAAGAAGAUCCGCCUAACAUUUAAAUGCUAGUAAGUCUAAAAGUGCCGGUAGGGUAUGAUUCAGUUGUGUCCAUAUCUGAUAUCUGAGUUGUAAACAUCUCUGUAGGAGCUCUGUUCUGAUCUGUAGGGGUCCCUGUAGGAACUCUGUGCAAACUAACCACGAUAAGGGAAAAAAACAAAAACAAUUCAAUGUCAGGGUUCUACAUUUUAAAAUCUCAUACCAUUUUGCUAAGAUCAUCUUAACUAUCUGAACGUGGCAGUAACUCGAGGAAAUUCAAAAUGGGUUUUCACUGAGAAUACCUGACGGGGGUCAGAUAGACUGCUAGCACCUGCUCCCAUGUAAGAUGCAGCCACAUUGUUAGGAGCCCUAAUCUCAACAGAGUUGAUUCUACUUGGAUACCUGCUUACAGUACAAAAAUUAACCUAUCAGUGGCCUUCCUCCACCAGAGGAUCAGAUUUCCUAGAUGUUCAUUGAAUAGGUGCAUAUCUAUAUACAAAAUUGGAAAGAGUGACUUGGGCUGUUUUUGUCGUUUUGUCUCUCUCUUUCCCCCUAACUACCAUUAUCUCAUUAAAUUCGAAUAUGAAUUAUGAGAAAUUACAACUUCCUUUUAUCUAUUGGGAUUUUGUGAGAGCUCAAAUAUCUAAUUUCCAACUAAACCAUUAACUAACGCCACCCUACUAACUAUGCCUAAUCUUAUUGUCCCGCUUAGGUACUCAUUCUUGUGUUAAUAGCAUGUGAAUUGCUGCUAGUAUUCAGAAAAGUUGGAAGACAAUAAUACCCAGCAACAGUAGUUGGUCCUGGAUAACCCUGAGCUUCAUAAAUUUGUGCUGCACCCUGAAAAGAAACCGGAAAAUCAUAUGCAGAACCUAAGAAACCGGAAAUGGCAUGAACAACAAGUGAAGGCCGGGAAGAAAAACAACAACAACAAAGGAAAGCGGCAAUGAUGUGAUCUCAUAAUUGAACGUAAAGCUGCCACUGAACUGUAGCUCUAAUACCAUCAACUACUGCACAGCCUUUCACGAGAGCAAUGUGUGUAAUAAUAUUCAGGAUCUUUGAGUUCCUUGAGCAUGCAUGAAAAUUGUGAGCAUCAACGAGAAGAUGAAAAGCACUUAAUUUUCGGCAAAGUACAACCUACAGCUUUGCAAGUUUAUAUUCUCCUUCGAUGUCCUCUUGUAAAAACUAAACAUCUUUCAUGUGAUAUUUCAAAUAGUGGCUAACGGAAAAAAUUGAAGUGUCGAUAUCCUGCACAAUUCUUAUUGAUGAAGUUCAUGGUAAAAAUUCAAAAACCUUCCACGCAUAAUUGCACAACGAAAUAAAAUGCAGCAGCAUAAUCUAAAAAACUUAAAAAAAAAAGCCUCGCGAGAUAGUGUGACAUCCCAAUAGUACCGGAAUGGGAUUGUGAUUGAGUAUAUAAGAGACCAUAAAUUCUAAUAAUAGUAACCGAGCUUAAGCAUUUUGAGCCAGUGAUUUGAGUCCAAUGAGUUAUUAUUGUUAGCGGAUCGGGUCGUUAUAUUUGGUAUUAAAGCCGGUUCACUAGCUGGAAGUGUGAGGUGGGUCUUGCAUCGCCCGGUGAUCUUGGAUGUAUGUGUGAUUGGGCUGACGAAAACAGCAUGACUUAAACAGGAGGAGUCUGUGACACCCCAAUAGUCCCACAUCGGAUGGGAAUGGAAUUAUGAUUGAGUCUAUAAGAGACCAUGGACCCUAGUAAUAACAACUAGGCUUAAGCACUUUGGGCUAGUGAUUUGGGCUUAAUGAGUUAUUAUUGCUGGUAGAUCGAGUCCUUAUAAGCAAAAGAAAUCUAACGGAAGAGAUAAUAAGGAAAAGAAAAUAAAAAGGUGAAAUUCUGCACUGUAAAGUUACAAGACAGUGGACCAAAUGAAAUCAGAAAAAAUACCUUUGGAUUAUCAUAACCAACAGAAUUCCCGGUUCUGGGCAUGCCCGAUGAUGGUGGAGGUCCUCUACUAGGAAAGCUCUCCGGAGAAGGAUAGCCAUGGUAAGAAGAAACCAUAGGCCUGGAAUAGUUAUGCGGAGGAGCAUACCCACGGUAAGAAGAACUCAUAGAUUCCUUAUAGAAAGAUGGACUUCCAGGUGGCGGUAAUUCUCUAGGAGGCAUGCGUUCUGUAGGAUAAAGUUCACGGAAAGGAGGCGGCGGUACAGGAUUCAUAACACCACUUCCGCCUCGAAAAGUCCUCGUUCUAAGCCGUGAAGCUAUCUCAGAAAGCGCAUCCCGUGCAACAAUAGCGUUUCCAGAAAUCUGAAAGUGUUAGAAAGAUAAAAAGAAUACAAAUAAGUAAACCAUAACACAGGGAAGAAUCAAUUAAGGACUAAAUAUAAUGCUCACCUGCACAAGCUCCUCAUUUGCGGAGGUAUAUUUUGGUUUAUCCUCUUUCGAGAACAAACGAAUAUCUGCCCUUGUUCGCCUUCUCAUCUCUGUUAUUAUGCUGCCACGUUCCCCAAGAAUACAGCCAACCUUACCUGAUGGAACAAGAAUCCUAGUAGUCACAACCCCUUUCUCGGAGGUUGUACUCGUUCUGCUUUGAAGCAGAAGAAGAGCUUCGAUUGUUGGAGAUGUUGGAUCAGAAGGCACCUGAGUGAUUUGAUUUAUAUUUUCAAAGAGUGAAUUGAAAAUGAGGUCAAACUUCAAAUACUAAAUUGCUAAAGUGAAACUACGAGGAUAAAAUCAGAGUAAGAGUCAAACUUGGGACUAAGUUUGUAAUUAACCCAAAAGCCUACCUCCUUAGAUGAGAUAAUAAUGACCCGUUCCUCCGCCUCGGGAUCCGUGUCCUCGACUUGAAUGCUAGCACCGGUUUGAUGUUCCAGUUGUCUUACAUUGACCCCAGAUUUCCCAAUAACCCCACCAAUCUUAGCAGUGGCACACAAUAUCCUCAUAGAAAACUCUUCUGUUGUUUCCCUACUAUUUCCGCCACGACUAUUGCUAUAUCCACCUGGAGCAUAUGCAGAUGGUUCAUUUCUAUAACCAUCAUACCAUCGCAUUGGAGAUGUCGCACCACCACGCCGGUGAGACCAAAUUGUAUCUGAUUGAGGUAAAGGAGGGACAGGGCCAGCAGGCUCGUAUAAACUUCGAGUGCUGGCAUGUAUUAUAUCUUCAAGAGGAGGGUUUUCCUUGCGAGGAUGUUGAUGCAGCCUAGAAGAAAUUUCAUACAGAGCCUUUCUCACAACAGAAGGGCUUCCUGAUAUCUGAAAAUAAAGCCAAAGCCACAUGUUAGAUGUAAAAAAGGUUAUGACCCAAAAAACACUACUAGAAAUUUGGAUUUUACAGAUCAUGAUCGACCACAACGAUCAAAUUAUACAAGCAAACUAAAUGAAUCAUGAAUUCAUAUUUUCAAACAAUUGAACAGGAAAAAAGAUAGAAUGCGUAAGAUGAACAAAUAUUUAGAAAAUACAGCUAAAUUCUCCAGCUGUCGAAACCAACUGAAAACAGGUAAGAGUGAUAGUGCGUCAUAUUCAUAAUACUGGGGGGAACUAAGAAAUGAUGUCCUAAUUUGAUCGAAAAAGCAAACUAACAAAGCAACAUGACCUAAAAUUAGCCGAGAUUUCAGAUACAAAAUAUCAGUUAACUAGAAAUUUUGUAUUAAGUCAAGGAAAUCAGGAUUGAAGUGAAAUUCCUUACGAUCGAACUAUCAUUUCACUAGAAAUAUUGCACUAAGGUUUUAAGGUAAAAUUCCAUACGGUAUAGUACUCAAAAAGAUAUUACCUGAACCAAUUCAUCAUUACUCAUGGAACAAGGUGGAAGAUGCUCUGACGGCAAAAGGCGGAUGGUCGCACCAGUCUCACUCCGCAGUUGUUGUAUGAUAGUGCCACCUUUGCCCAAAAGACAGCCAACUUGAUUGUUUGGAACCAAAAUGCGGGCACUGACAGAAUCAUCUGAAUCAUUCUUUUCAUGCACCACGCCACCAUGCAAAAUCUCAUCUGCCGCAAUCCUAUCAUUGAUCUUCAACAAGGCAUCCUGGGCUGCACAAUGUGGUUUUAGAUUCUCAAAUUCGUUAUCACCGGAAGUAACACCAUCAAUACCUUGAUCUGAAUAACUAAAAAUAAUAAUAACUCUCUCCUCAGCCCCAGGAAUAGCAUCGGCAACCCUUAUCUUUGCACGAGUCUCAUCUCUAAGUGCAUUAAUAAUUUCACCCCCUCUGCCCAAAACACUCCCAAUCUUUUUGACAGGGCAAAGGAUCCGAUAUACGGUAUCAAUCGGUUUGGAGGACAUAGAACCAUCAUCAUGGCUAGGGUUUGGCCUUUUCUUUUUCCUGUUAUCAAAGUGGGAGCGUGGGCGCUCCCUGAAAGUACUUGUUUUACGUUUUCCUGAUUUCCCACCAUCCAUAAUGUUGUAGAGCAGUUGUUGCAGUACUUUAAGCUAAAAAUAGAGAAAUAUAAAAAACCAUCAGCAUAUGACAUAAAUAAUCAAAGGAAAAAAUAUGCACGCAGUAUUAGAGUUGCCCUCAAGUAAAAAUUGCAAAAAGCUUUAAAAAAAUUGGCCUCUAGUUAAUGCUUUCAAAUUUGUGUUCUAAAUCACUGCUUUUUCAAGUACAAGCGUUAGGACAUUGGUCAUACAAAAAAUAAAAGUAAUUUGUUUCACGGAACUCCAACGUUUAGAAAACCGAAUCGUGGCCGAUUGGACUGGAUUAACCAUAAACCAACUUAUUGUGGCUUUGUGAGAAAUGAUCAACCAGAUAAGUUGGAUGGUUAUGUAAAGAACUAAUCAACUCAAGAUAGGAGCAGGUUGGUUUGGACCAGUCUACUUAGUUGUAUUCUGCGUAUAAUAUCCUACUCAUCCAAUUAAUAAAAAAAAAAAAAAAAAAAAAACUUCAGCAAAACGACAAGCAUUAUUUUGGGUUUAACUCAGCCAAGAAAAGGAACCAAAAAAAAAGGUAAUUUAUUACCAGAACUUCAACUUCAAUCAUCAUAUCAUCAUACGUACUAAGACGACAAAAUCGUUGGGGGUUUACUCACAAGAUUCUAACAUUAGUACUAAGACGACAAAACCGUUGGGGUUUUACUCACAAGAUUCUAACAUUACCUUAAACUAAAUCAAUACUCUUUCCCAAAUAGAAAUAAAGGACGAUGACAAGUUGGAUUGUUGCAAUGCCAAGUGACCAACUACGAAGGUAAUGAGCUACUUUAGUAACUCAGCUAAGUAAUGCAUAACUUUCAAUACCAUUUUGCCGCAAAAUACUUCCACUUAACUUGAAAAAAAAAAAAAAACAUAUCUUUAGUUUCCAUUUCCAACAUUCUAAGAAGAUCUCAAGCUAAGUUAGAUCCCCCGAAUAUAAAUCAAUUACCAAAAAAAUGUCCGGUGGACAACAUUGCAAAUAUAGCAAGAUUAGCAAGUAGAAAUCCCCAAAGCAAGGACAAUAGGUCCACCAUAAGAUCAACAAAUAAACCCUAAGCACUAUCUAAUGACAUCAAGCACUAAUUACUUCACAUAUCACCCUUACCCAAUUCUCAAUACAAUCCAAACCAACAAAACGGAAGCAAAAACAAAAGCAAAAUUGUAUCGAACCAACCGUCAAAUCCAACACCAGCUAUUUCAAAUCCUAGUUUUGCAUCACCAUGUUUGCAUUACAGCUGCUGAUUCAAGCAAAAAUUUUAAUUUGGUGCAAAAAACCAACUUAUCUAACAACAUACUCAAACUUCGAUCCAGUGACUCGUUUUUUAAGAGAUUGAGAGCAAACGACUCGGAAAAAAGAAAAGGUAGAUUACGAGCUAAGAAUGGAUUUUGCGGGAUCAGGGUUGGAGAGUGUGACGAACCUUGUCGUGCGAAGAGGAUUCCUCGUCCUCGCCCCCUUCGUCUUCGUUAAAGCGACGUGAGAGGGAGAGAGAGAGAGAGAGAGAGAGUGAAGCGGGGUUGGGGCUCCGGUUUGGGGCUUCGCCCUUCGCGAUUAGGUUUCGCCGUUUCGGGGAGAAAAAUACACGGAUAGUCCCCGUACAACCCCAAUAUUACGACUUAGUUCCUGUUUUUCUUUUUUUUUUUAGAGUAAACUUCAAAUACCACUACUGUAGUUUCACACUUUCUCACUUCAGUAUCCUGUAGUUUAAAGUGUAUCAAUUUAGUAUUCUGUGAUUUUAUUUUUAUCUUUUUAUUAUCGAUUUCACUAUUUUUUUCGUUAAAUCAGCGAUAAAGUUUAAACUAAAAGGUAUUAAAGUGAAUAUUCGAUAAACCUAGGUGGGGUAUCUAAAGUUUUUUAUAUAUAAUUUAACGAAAUAUUAACGAAAAAACUGACGAAAAGAUAAAAAUGAAACCACGAGACACUAACUUGAUGCACUUUAAACCACGGGGAACUAAAGUGAGAAAGUGCGAAACCACAGAAGCGGUAUUUGAAGUUUACCUUUUAUUUUUCUUUUUUCGUCAGCUCCUUCGUUAACUUUUCGCUAAAUUAUAUACAAAAAAAUUCAGAUACUCUACCUAUAGUUUAAAAAAUAUUCACUUUAGUACUUUAGUUUUAACUUUGUCACUCAUUAACAAAAGAAAAUAAUAAAAUAAUAACAAAAAAAAAUUCAUAUGAUAUAAAAGUGAUCACACGAAAAUAAUUCAAAAAGAAAAAAAUUCAAAUAUUAUUCAUAUGGUUUCACACUUUCUUAUUUUAGUAUCCUAUAUUUUCGUGUGAUCACUUUUAUGUUUUAACGGUAAAAUAACUUACUUAUUUUUGUUACUUAUAACAUAAUUAAAAAUAGAGUAGAGUUUAACAACAAAAUUGAUUAAUGGCACAUUAGUCCCGAUCGCGUCGUAUAACACUACGAUAGAGCUAUUAUAUUAUAUAAUUAUGUACCAAAAUCAAAAUGUGUAUACCUACGGACCUUCUGUAGCUCGUAUUAACUCACUUAUUUUACAUAAUUUUUAUUUUACAAAAGUUUAAAUAAAUUUAUUAAUUUUUGAAUUUUUAGUGUAAGAUGUACUAUCCGAUUAGACUGUAUGUACACAUACGAGGAAAGUACGGGGAUUUAUCGGGCUCGAAUAUUAGGCCGAAUACAAAGGCGUGUCGAAGAGAGCCCACUUAUUUUUCAUUAUGUAAUCAUGGAUUGGGUUUGGAUCUAGACCCGGCCCGAGUCCUAUAAAAGGACUAUAGCCUCAAUGGCCUCAUUUUUUAUUUUUUUUUUAGAGAUAGGUAGCACGCUAAGUUUAGAAAUAAACUUAGCUGAAAAUAUAAAUCAACUAGGAUUCGAACUUCAGAAUUCUAUGGUCCCAAACAGAAAGCUAAAUUGAAUCAAAUCAAGUAAAGACUAUUUGGUUCGAUUUAUAUGCUUUUUUUUGUUUGUUUGAUUUGGUUUUGAAAUUUACUAACACUUAAUUUUGGUUUCGGUUUGGUUUUAAUACAUUUUUUAACUGAAUAGAACCGAAAAAUGAGUGGUAAUAUAUAUAUUUUUUUACACUUUUUAUCUAAACUUCUUAUUAAAAUUUUAUAUUUAUGAUCAUAUGUCCAAUAUAUUUUUUAAAAUUCUAUAUUUAUAAUUAAUUUUGUGUUUGUGUGAUUUCAUAAUGAUCCAAUUUUGAAUCUUAAAUUAUAAAUUGAUUUGUAAAAAAACUCUAAAAAAAUUAAAUGUAAAAUGAAACCAAACCGAACCAAACCAAAAUACUUUAGUUUGGUUUGGAUUGAUUCUUAGCUUAAUUCGGUGUGGUUCGGUUGUUAUUCUUUUAAAUCAAAAAAUACGAUUUGAUCUAAGAUUUGCCCUAAAACCGAACCAGGCCAAACUAGCAACACUCCUACUUCACGCUGAGAGGAAUAAAAGGUUAAGGGUAAGCGGGCAAGAUAUAUCUAGAUUCCCAUAUGGAGUAGGAGGAAUUCUACACUAUCACACUUGCACCACGUCAUCAAUAACAAGCCAAUCAUCUUUCUUUUUUUCAAACAAAAGUACAAUGAAAAUAAUUUUUUAUAAUCAUGAUGUGACAUAUAUUUCUAAAAGAAGAUUUUUGAUUGAUUUGUUAUGCCACGUCACCAAUAUACCUGUUGUAUUUUAGAAUUUUUCCUAGACUAGAUGUAUUCCCGACCUACCACUCUUUCUGUUUAUGUGCAAAUUUCUAGAGUGAGGCUACUAUGCUAUCGGAAGCACGGAGCCUUCCGUGCUUCCAGCUCGUUUUCGAUGUUGCGAUUUUUGAAUCGUCGAUCAGCUCCGUUAAACUUGAUCUAGAGUAUUUGAAGUACCUAGAAAAUAAAUUUUAUGAUUUUACGAUAUCAUUUGCCUAGUGAACAAAGGGGCUCAAAAUCAACGGCUGAAAAUAAAAAUCUUACAAAAUGUAAUAAUAUGACAUUAAAAUUUUAAAUCAAAGAUAUUGAUCUAAUUUUAUAUAGUAUAAAGAAUUUUCUAUCAAAAUUUCACGUGAUUUGGAUAUUUCUACACCGUUAAACUUGCAAACGGCUCACUACGGCCAUUGAAAUUUGUUGAUUUUGAGCCCAUUCGAUCACUAAGCAAAUGAUAUCGAAAAAUAAUAAAAUUUAUUUUCUAAGUACUCCAAAUACUCUAGAUCAAGUUUAACGGAGCCGAUCGAUGAUUCGAAAGUCGCAACAUCGAAAACGAGCUGGAAGCACGGAAGGCUCCGUGCUUCCGAUAGCAUAGUAGUCUCACUCAAUUUUCUAUACCUCUUUUGGAAAAUUUAGUCGUCCAUAUGUAAUGAAAUUUAUUUUACAGUGUUGUAACAAAUGAGCUCCUUUUUGUUUUACAGUUCCUGCAACCUCUCGAUAUUUUAGCAAUACUCCUUAACUGUAGGCCAUUUGAAUACCCCUCCCUUAAUUUUAUGUUUUUUUUUUCCUUUAAUUUCACACCCACUUAAAUUUUUCAAUUUUCCUUCACAGUUAAAUAAUUCUAAUUACCCAAAAUAAAUUUUUUUAUCAAAUUUAUUGAUAAUUUUAUAAAAUAUAAGAAUUUUAAGGAUUUAAAUCAAUAAAAUUGUAACAAUUAAAGAGUUUCUUUUCAAAAAAUAAUCUAGCGCGAAAAAGUGGGGGCUAGGCUCGCUCAAAACUAACAACAAAAAGCCUCUUACAUAACUUCUUGUAUCUCUUUAUUGGAAGCCACUAGCGUAGCAAAAUCAAAAUAAGAAUAUUUUAGUAAUUUUAACAUUUUAUAGAGUUUUUUUUUUUUUGCAAAGUAAGCACCGAUACGAGUCCAUAAUUUCAUAUGACUAAACAUAUUUGAUUAGAAUUUAGAAUAAUCGUGCUAUUGGUACGAAAUAUAAAAUAUACUAAUGUGCCAUUAAUACAACUCACAUACCAAUAUGUUUCAACACAUUCUAUUAUAUAGAGUCCGUCUGGGUAUUAUCGAUAGCACCAAGAAUUUAGUGCUAUCGAAUUUUUUACCGUUAGAUUUAAUUCUUUGAUUAUUUUUACUCGUUAGAUUAUAUUAUUCAACAAGCUAAUCACUCAACCCUAAAGGACCCACAUCAUCCUAACUAUCUAUUUCUUAAUUCAAUGGCUAAAAAAUCAAUAGCAUUAAUAACUUAGUGCUAUUAAUAGUAUUCCAGCCAAAUUCCUAUUAUAUAUACGGAUACCAAUAUAUUUCAACACAUUCUAUUAUAUAUUAUAUCUGGACUUAUAUACGGUGAAUAACAUGUGCCGGUCAUGUCAGGUUGUGUCGAUUAACAGGGCAAUCGUUAUUUAAAAUAGGGAAAACUUCAAAAACCCCCUAUGUGGUUUCACACUUUUUCAUUUUAGUACCCUGUGGUUUAAAGUGUAUCAAGUUAGUACCCUGUGGUUUCUCACUUUAUCACUUUAGUACCCUGUGGUUUAAAGUGUAUCAAGUUAGUACUCUGUGGUUUUGCACUUUAUCACUUUAGUACCCUGUGGUUUCACACUUUAUCACUUUAGUACCCUAUAGUUUAAAAAACCACAGGAUACUAAUUUGAUACAAAAUCAAAACCACAGGAUACUAAAGUGAUAAAAUGUAAAACCACUGGGUACUAACUUGAUACACUUUAAACCACAGGGUACUAAAAUGAUAAAGUGAGAAACCACAAGAUACUAACUUGAUACAUUUUAAACCACAGGGUACUAAAAUGAAAAAAAUUGAAACCACAAGGGAAGUUUUUGAAGUUUUUCCUUUAAAAUAUGAUCAGUUUGUGACGAACUUAAAAACAAGGCCCAAAAGGAACUAGCGAACUUGUCCAACAUAAUUAACGAACAACAAGAAAAAUAAAGGAUCCCCUGUUUUGGUCAACCCAUUUAAGCCUCAAAUGUUUGCUCUGCGUCAGUUGGAAAGCCUCUUUCAUGAAACAACAAAGUGAUCUCUCAAGUAUAUAUCCAUAGAGACACGUGACCUUUUUAAUAGAAAAAAAUAUAUAUAUAGUUUUGUGUCUCCAAUGUUGUUUUUAUAGAUAAAUUUACCAUAACAGAACUAAGGUUAUAGUAAUACGUUUUUUUGAUACUUUUGUACGUAAGUGUCUCAUUUAUAUCAAAUUUUUUUAAAAAAGUUAUUAAGCUCUAAAUAUAAUGACUAAUCUAAUUAAAAAUAAAAAGUUCCUCAACUCAACCAACCCCAUCCAGCUACUCGAUCCGAUUACAAAUAGAAAGGAAAAUAAAAAGAAAAAUUGAUCAACAUCUUCUCUUCUCCUCCGUCGUCGCAACCGACGAGGUAGGGUUUCGGCGGCAGGAGUUCGACUGCGAGGAUCUCGUAGGGACCGUGGAGGACUACGAUUAUCACGUGUCCCUUCGUCAUAAGUCGCUGGUGGAGUGGGUGCCAAACAUCAAGACAGCCCUACGUAGAGCGACCGCACAUAUAGCAACACUUUUAAAAAGUGUCGGUAAUUUGACCAGCAAUUUUUUUUUUGACAUGUACUGACAUUCAAAAGUGUCGCUAUACACUGUUUUUUUUGUAGUGAUUUAUACAUACACAGUUUAAGACGUAGAUGAAUUUACUAGUAUAUUAUUUUUUUCUUUAUUUUCUGAUUGAUAAACUUGUAAGUAUACAAUCAGAAUUCAGAUGCACAACCAAAACGAUUGUUAGAAUUUUUUUUUUUUUUAUCAUCAGGUUUAUUCAUGCUAGUUAUAAAUCGAAGUUAUUAUCUAUAAUAGUAAACUUUAAUCAAUGAGAUGUGCUUAUAUAGAUAGAUUUUUAUAUGCUUUGGAUUUUUGUUAUAAUUAUAUUAUUUAGUUAGAUAAUAUUAGCAUAGAUGUAAUCUGACCCCCGAAACCUCCACCAUUUUUCAUGUAUUCAUUUUUCUUCAUGUCUCACCCACAUUUCUCUAUGACCCUAUCUUUUUCGUAAUUAUUAAUAUUAGUUUACCAAGGUUGUUCUCUCAUAAAAAAAUAAUGUUGUUAAUUGGUUAAUUAGUCAACCAUAUAUUUUAAAAACAAUUUAAAAGGAAAAGUGUUUGACUAUUUCAUGAUUAAUCAAAUUAUAAUAUCUAAUGUUAUAAAUUGUUUGAUUGGGAACUUGGUGAUGAGAAGGUGGGUUAAAUGAAUAAAAAAAAAAAUCUCUCCUCUUAAAUUUGUCCGUAAAUAUUCGAACUCAUCCUAACCGUAAAAGAUAUAAAUAUGUUAUUAUUUUUAUUUUUUUUCUAUUUAAAGAGGAUUUAUUGAAACAAAUGCGUAUCAACAUUUUCUAUUUAGUAGGGCAUUUAUAUAUCUAGUAUCACUCCCUUUACCCCCAAUCAAUUAUUGCUAAAUCUAAUAAUCACUUAGGAACUAUUAACUUCUUUGCUAAUUAAAAUACUAUUCAAAAAUUUGUUGAUUCGAAAAUUUGUGUGUUAAAAUAAAAAAGGGAGUUAUCCAGCUUUUGGAGGUAGAUAAGGAAUUUUUUUUUUUUUUUCAAAAAAAGUCAAAUUUUUUUUCUACAAUAAUAGUAUUUUUUUUUUUCAUCCGAGAGUUAAGUCCAUAACCUUUAUAAACCCCUUAUUUAUUUAUUUAUUUAUUUAAAACACUACAAUAUUUUUUAGUUAAAAAAGUAAGAUGACAAGCAGGCAGUGGUAAGUGUGAUUUUUUUAGAUUAAAAAUGUUAUAAGUAUAAGAAUAAUCACUUAAAAAAUUUAUUUAUAAAAUUAGUCUUAUUCGGAGAAUAAUUUAUUAUUUUUAAAUACAGUAAAUUAUUUAUCUCUUUAUGAAAAUAUUUAAAAUAUUUGUAGUGUUUAAUAUUAUUCAUCCUUCCGAGUAAAAUAUAUAAAUUUGAUAAAAUCGAUUUAAAAAUGAGGAAUUAUUUAUUAUUUUUAAAAAUAAUAAAUUAUUCACUACUAAAGUCUAUUUCUAUGAAUAAAAAAUUUAAAUAUUUAUUUUUAUAGUUAAACAUUUUUUUAGACUUAGUCAUCCAAAAAAAAAAUCCCCCAACAACCCCUAUGAGGUGCAUCAUUUCAAAAUUUUUUUUUUUUUUGAGUAAACUUCAAAUACCAUUUCUAUAAUUUAGUACCAUAUGAUUUUUUUUUUCUUUUUUUAUCUGCCUCUUUGUUAACUUUUCGGUUAAAUCAUAAACAAAAAACUUCAGAUACCCCACCUGUGGUUUAUCAAAUAUUUAUUUUAGUUUCCUUUAGUUUUAAUUUUGUCACUAAUUUAAUAAAAAAAAUUAGUGAAAAAAUAAAAAAAAAGAAAAAAAAUAAAAUUAUAGGACAUGCAAGUGAUACAUUUUAAGCUACAGAGAGAGCGCAAAAUCAGAAGUUUUUUUUUUAAUAUUAACUCAACUUUUAAUUAUUUUUUUAAAAAUAAAACCAAAUCCUCUCCCUCUCUCUCUCUCUCUCUCUCUCUUUCACUUUUUUUUUCCUUUUCCCUCCGACUUGGAAAAUUCCACACUCUUUUGCUUUUCCUUCAAUCCUUCAUAAUUCCAUCUCUCCCCUUCUCCUCCCCCUCCACCUCCACGUUCUCUCUGACAAUCGCAUCUUUCUUGUCGCAUCCAAUGCAUUUGGAUUGGAUUCGAGUUUAAAUCCCCCAAAAAGUAUCGAUCUUUGAUGAGAACGGCGGAGUCGGCGCCGAAUCUGGAUUCGAUCGCUGUGCGAUUCUCGGAAGGAGGUGCGAGAAGAAGCCAUUUUUGGGUUCCUUCGAAGUCGUCUCCAAGAUGACCACCAAGCGCGCGUACAAGCUCCGUAUCCUAAUUUUUCCUCAGUGUUACUCAAAUUCCAUUCUAGGGUUUGCUUCGAUUUGAUCGAGAAGAGGUUCGAUCGUGGUGUUUCCUUUCAUUGCUAUAUUUGAGUUCUUGAGCUGUUAGUUGUUGUUGGAUUUAUUGGUUUCGUUUUUAAUUAUAGCUGUAAAGAAACAAAAUUGGAUUUUGUGUGUGUGUUUUUUUUUUUAAAGAAAUUGGGAUUCGCUUUUGGUGCCUUGACUAGGUGUAGAGGAGUUUGUAGCGCAUGCUUCCAAUGUGAAUUGUCUUAAGAUUGGGAGAAAAACUUCAAGGAUUCUCGUCACCGGCGGGGAGGACCAAAAGGUCAAUCUUUGGGCCAUUGGCAAGCCCAAUGCCUUAUUGGUAUGAAACCCUAAUUUUGCCAACAAAAUAUGUGCACUAGCUUUACUAAUCGCAAAGUUGGAUAGUUAUAUAGCAAACUCGUAUAUUUUUCAGAGCUUAUCAGGCCAUAUUAGUCCUGUUGAUUCAGUGAGUUUUGACUCUUCCGAAGUUCUUGUCGCAGCCGGAGCAGCGGGUGGCACGAUCAAAUUAUGGGAUUUGGAAGAGGCGAAGAGUAAAAACUAACUUAUCUUUAUGAAUUGAGCUUUUUCCAAAUUUGAAAAUCAUAAAGUCGACACCUUUUUAACGAUCUGAUGUUGUUUUUUUUUUGCCUGUAGUUGUUCGUACUCUCACGGGACAUCGUUCCAAUUGUAUAUCUAUUGAUUUCCAUCCUUUUGGGGAAUUCUUUGCUUCUGGGUCUUUGGAUACAAACCUAAAGAUAUGGGAUAUUCGAAGAAAGGGAUGCAUUCACACGUAUAAGGGUCAUACCCGAGGAGUCAAUGUACUUAGAUUCACCCCUGAUGGUCGAUGGGUUGUUUCCGGAGGGGAGGAUAACGCCGUGAAGGUAAUUAAUCUAAUGCUAGAAUAGCAGGACCAAUCUAAAGAUUUCCUGGGAGUUUGUUUACUUUCAUAUUCUUAGCCAAAAAAAAAAAAAAAAAAAAUCUAUAACUCAAUUUUAGUAAGGCCAGUUGCAACCCAGAAAAAAGCACCACCAUUUGCAGUUUGCGUUCCCUCAGGAACCAACAUUUAACCCUGUUAAUCUUUAGAAAUUCAGCACUUUGAGACAUUUUUCAUUCAAGAAUUGCUAGGGAGUCUUAACAUAUGCUCAUUAUACCUCUUGUUGUAGGAAAUCCCAUAUUCUAAAACUUUCCACUUAUUCUUGAACAGAAAAUGUGACAGAAAGGGAGUAAAAUUCCAAUAUUCUAAACAUCGAGGGGUUUGAAUGUAGAUUUUAUAUCUUAUGGGGGGAAGUGCGAGUGUGGUGCUAUUUCAAAGGCGUUUACUGCAUAAUGCCUUGUAAUAUACGCUGGCCAUGACAACUCGUGAUACAAAAUUUUUCAAUCCCUUGAUAAUGUGAGUAAAAGAGUUUGGAUGCUUACACCUAGCAAGAGGUCUUAUUCUUUCUCUACUAUCCUUCUGAUCAGAUAUGGGAUUUGACAGCGGGGAAGCUCUUGCAUGACUUCAAGUUUCAUGAGGGUCAGAUCCAAUGUAUAGAUUUCCACCCUCAUGAGUUCCUGUUGGCAACAGGUUAGAUCUAUAAUCUUACCCCUCUAUUCUAAACAGAUGUUAGAUGCUGUAUAAACACAGAAUUAGUAGUCUAUAGUUGUGUAGUAUUUGUUAUCAAGAUAGUGAUCUGCAAAAUCAAAUGCAAUGAAGUCUUCAUAGUUUUAUUUGCUUAUUGUUCCUUGGAGAGUGAGGACUUAAAAACUAUUCCAAAAUUCUGAACUUUUCUUAUCUGCGUAUUAAAAUCCAUUCAUAAUUAUGAUACUCCUAAUCCAAAAUUUAUGUUGUUUAAGGAAGAUAAUGUAAAUGGACAAAUUGGCUUUUUAUGUUCGCUGUGUAAUGUUAGCAUUGGAAUUAAAUGUUACUGGGAAGAUAAACUUCAAAUUCCACUGUUUAGAUUUGAUGUAUAUUGAUUUCAAGUUUUUGGUGGCUAAAUAAGCAAGCUUUAGAAAAGCUAUAAUCACAUAUAUUAGUUACGUUCACUUGGGAUUUAGAUAGAAUGUAAAACCAUGCUGGUCCUAGGUCUGGAUCGGUCUGUCUGUAAUUUGGUUGAAAUCCAAAAAGCUACAUUUGUUUGACACAUGAUCUUCUAAUGAUAAACAUCUCUCCCGCGUAGCUAUGUUCUUUCUAUCAAGCAGAGUUUCUACUUAGGCCAUGUACAUUAUUUGUGGUGACAAUGCUACAACUGAGAAUUUUUUUGUUUUACCAUUUCUUUCCAAUAUGUACACAGGUUCGGCUGAUAAGACUGUUAAAUUUUGGGACCUCGAGACUUUUGAAUUGAUUGGUUCAUCUGGACCCGAGGUAUCGGAUGGUUUUUAAUUCGAACUUCAAAACUUUAGCUUCUGAACAUUUCUAUCUUAAUGCUUUCAGACCCUUCAUAGGUUCUGUGGUGCGCUAUUCUAGUAGUUGGCUAUUUAUGAUUUAUAUUAGGAAUCAGUAAUUUUCAUGCUCAUUUUCUGUUGUAAUUUACAAUCACUAAAUAGUAACUGGCGUCUUUAGCCAACAACUCUUACUCUAUCUUCUGUUUAUCCUGGAUAUUAUUUUGUACUGUAGAUCGUUUUUUCCCCCCAGAUAUUGGUCUUUCUGUUAGACCUUUUUCUUUCUUUUCUUUCUAGACAUUACAUUUGUAAGCAUCCUAUUUAUGUUGGAACUUUUAUAGGAGGGGCAUGUUUGUAAGCUAGCUGCACAUUUGAGGUCCUAAUGAAAUAAACUUAAUGUUGUCUAACCUCUAAUUUGAUUCUAGACAAGUGGUGUUCGUUCUCUGACUUUCAACAGCGACGGGAGAACUCUAUUUUGUGGUUUACAUGAAAGCUUGAAGGUAUUCUCUUUUACAUUUUUCUUGCCUGGAGUAGGACAUUUUCACUCUGUUGCCUUGGAAAUUUAACCAUUUUCCUUCUAGGUCCUCUCUUGGGAACCGAUAAGAUACCAUGAUGUGGUCGAUGUUGGAUGGUCUAGGUUAACAGACCUUAAUGUUCAUGAGGGGAAACUUCUUGGAUGCUCUUACAACCAAAGUUGUGUUGGAAUUUGGGUCGUGGACUUGUCGGUAUGAUUCAAUUCUCUUCUGUAUUUUUAUGAGCGGAUGCUAUGAUCUCAACUGCUUUAAUUUGUUUACCUGAUUAUUGAUUUGCAGCGUAUUGAGCCGUAUGCAGUUAAAAAUGAUGAAUCAAAAUCUACUACCGGUAUGAAUGUACCCAUGCAAACGGACAACAGUAUAACAAUAAGUUCAGGAAGAUCAUCAGUAUCCAAAAUUUCGGGUCUUGUAUCUAAUGGCACUUAAGCUUUAUCUUGUGUUUGGAUUCUUCUUAUUGUAGAGAUUUGCUACAGUUGAAAAGAAAGACAUUAAAUUUAUAACUGCUAUGUUUUUUGAAUGCAGCUAGCAGUAGUGCUUCUGGCACUCCCCUGAGAGUUGAUUUAAACUCUAGUUCAAAAAUGGUUCCAAGCACAACUGGUGCUACGUUAUUGAAGAAAAAUUCAUCAAAAAAUCCAGGCGCAACCAAUCCUCAGAUCACAAGCAAAUCAAAUGUUGUAUCUGCUAGUCCUCCUAGAAUUAGCUCAAGACUGGACGCUGCUGUUGAAUAUAGAAAAGAAACGACUGAUUUGCUACCUUCGGCUGUACCACAUAGUAGCUCAAGAGGAGAUCUUAUUGCCAAUUCUGUGAAAGAGGCUCGCAAGGUCGUACCUGUCAUUGUACCUAGAAUUAGCUCUGAUUCUUGUAAGGAAACUACCAAUGAGUUACCUGCCAACAUCCCAAGAGUCAGUUUAAGAGGGGAUCUGGCUGCCGAUCCUAGUAAGGAAAGUCGUGAUGUAAAAGCCAACCCAAGAGUGGAUUUUCCUAACAAUCCUAGAAAAGAAGGCAAUGUGAUUCCUGUUAUUGUACCCAGAAGUAGCUCAAGAAGGGAUCUGGCUUCUGAUUCUAGCAAUGAAACCAGUAGACCCAGCACAAGAUUGGAUCUUUCUGUUGACCCUGAAAAGGAAAUUAGUGAUAUUUCACCUACAGUUGCGAGGACUAGUUUAAGAAGAGAUCUUACUACCGAUUCUGGAAGGCCAAGUGGUUCUGGAAGAUCAUCACUACCAUAUGCAAUGCGGUCAAAGUUAGCUGGUUCUCAUAGAAUUUCAAGUAUCAGAGAUGAUUCAGAGAGAGAAAUUGCUGCCAUCAAUACUUGUUCUAUGGUGAAAGAUGAUGCUGGAUCUAGCGAAUUUCGAGACCUGUUCACUGUUUCUGUUGAUGAUAACAAAAAGCCGGUGCCUGCUACUGAGAGGAACUUGGAGGCUGUUAGAGUUAGUACCGCUGGGAUGUAUGGAGCAAACAGAUUGGUGAAUGCUAGUAAAAGUUACAACAUUGGAUAUCGUAAGUGCAUAUACUUGGGGAAUAAAUCUAUUAGAAAUUUAAAGUUAUUGCAAACUUGUUCCUUCAGUACUUCUCUUCUUAUCACCAAUCUUCCUGACCCCCCGCCCCCCCACAAACCUUUAAGGAAAAAUCUACUCUUUAUAGGCUAGCUUGCAUAGGCUAAGAUCAGUCUGCUCACAUGCUUGUCGACUGUCUGUGUGACAAAAAGUUCUUACUAGUAUUUUUCCAUUUAGUUUCUCUCAGUAUAGUGUUGUCCUGACAUAGGUCCUCUUUUCAAUUAAAUAUGUUAGACAUUGACUUCCUUUGGGGUUGGGAAGUAAAUACUAGGCUUAUGCAAUUCAGAUUUAUUUUCUUAAAGCAAAUUAGUUAUGGUAGCAUGAAAAUAAAACACAAUUUAGUUAUGGUCACAUGCUUAGCUAACCCCACUGGUAACUUCUUCCUUUACUAUUCUACUUUUGAUGUCUAAUUUUUUUUAUCAACAAAUUACCAUUAUUUGUGGAGGAUAAUGCCUUCAAAUAUAUCUGUUACAUCUUAGCUCAAUUCUCUUUCUUCCUCACCUUCCGUUCCCCUAUCCCUAAACUUGUAUAAUAAUCUCAUAUAUUUUAAACUGAAAGCAUAUCAUUUCCUUUUGUAAUUACCAAUGUGAAAGAGGGAUGCCUUAUUUGUUGGAGGUUCAAUAGGAGGUAUGCUAUCUUGUAUAUAAACAUGUUAACAUUUGUUAACCUUUAGUACUUGCUGUCAUAAUAUGUAGGAAGAACAAGGUCGCCUGCUGCUAGUUGGGAUAGGAAUGAAAAUGCUUCUAUGUAUGAAGGCCGAACGAGUAGCUAUGCCUCUGGAGCCACAUCUACUGAUGAGAUAAAUUUUUCGGUAUGACUAUUUUUUCUCCAGAUUUUGAGUACUCCUUUAAUGAUCUUUCCAUAGCUGCUGCUAUUCUAUAUUUUUGAGUCUUGUAUGCUGUGGAUUGAAUUGGCAAUGCUUAACGUACACUUGCGUGUCAAUAACAAUUCUUCCCAGUUUGUUUACCUUCUUGUGCAUACAUGCAAAUGAUGCAUAGGUAUAACAUUUGUCUUGAAGAAGAAUAGGCAAAGGAAUGGCUGGCUUAAAGGACUCUAAACAUACAGUAUGAGGAUUGCUGGAAAUUACAUUUAUACCUGAGCUUAGCUUAUUCGAACUAAGGAAAUUACAAUGUUCCAAAUCUGAUGCCGAAGUUAGCAGAUGAUUCAGGAUAUAUUUCUAUUAGUUUAUAGGUUGCCACUAAAUUAAGGACUGAAUGAAAAUAAUUAUAUUCUGUUAAAUGAUUUUUAUACCCAAGGAAAGUGGAUGUAGAUCAAUAUGAAUCAUGAAACAUAGAGCUAAGAUAAUGAACUUGGAAACUGCUCUUUGAUAAUUAGUUAGACAAACAUUGCAUAUGAUUAUAGUUUUGCAAGCUAAGUUCCCCUUUUUUUGUAAGAAAAAAAUGUUCCAUCCCUACAACGCCUUCUGAUCUUUUGAGCAGAGGGGCCGCACUUCAUCUGCUGGCAGAGAAACAGUAUCCGCUAGUGAUGAGGAUGCUAUUGCUGAUCUAGCAGAACAGCAUGGAGAGUUCUUGACAACAGGGCAGUCCCGGUUAACUAAAUUACAGGUGAUUAUCUGCUGUAUGUGUUGAUAAACUUUCCUGCUUCCAGCUGUACAGAAACCAACAAUAAAUACAUUAGUGUUAGCUGAUGAAUUUCUUUUUUUCCCCAUUUAUGGAGUAAGUCUGUAUUCAGUGUAUGAUUAGACAUCGACGGCUCCUUCAUGCUAAUAUAAAUUUACAUACUUUAGUCUGUAUUUAAUUCUUUAAACUGAUAAAUUUACGUACUUCAUUCACAUCAGUUUCUCUGCUGUUGAGAAUCUCAAAGUCUUUGAAGUUUGAACACACUCCCACCUGCCUGCUGAGUGCUGAUGCUCAGCCACCUUUUCUGUUGGCAGCAUCAUUGCACAACUUUGGCAGUUUUAGUUUGUGUGUCUACAUGCACUCUUGCUAUUUUGUGAAUUUUCUCGUCAAGUGUAUGACCAUUUUAAUCACCUACAUCCUAAGAGUUUGUGUUUUACAUAAUAACGGUUUAUAUCAAACAGAAGUAUUUAAGAAUGAGUGUCAUCUUCCGAGGGUUUUUCUGGACUCUUGCUGUUUUACUUUCAUAUUCAAAGUACAAAUAUGAUGCUACUGAUAAAUGUCAGUUACCUUGAAAUGUUUGUAAAUUCUCUGGACAACUUGCAGGUAGUCCACCGGCUUUGGCAAAAGAAUGAUGUGAGGGGUGUCAUUAAUGCAAUGCAAAGAAUGUCAGAUAAUGCUGUAUGUGUUUUAUAUCAUCUCUUAUUUAUUUUUACAUGGGAUAUUUUAGUGAACUUUCAUACUUCUGGCACAGGUCUCAGCUGACGUAGUUAGUGUUUUGAUGGAAAAGAGCGAUAUCAUAACACUUGAUCUUUGCACUUCUCUCCUACCACUCAUCACAGGCCUUCUCGAAAGCAGGUUUGACAGGUACCUUCUUUACACACUCUUUGCUGAAAUUGUGUUAUCCAAAUAUUUCCAAGGCAUCAAAACAUGGUUUGUAGUAUUAAAGUGAUUCUGUGAAUGUGCCCAUUGGUACGAGGCAGUUGAGUUUACUAACUUCUCGAUGCUAAGCGGUCGCCUGUGUAAAUUCCUUUGAAGAGAUGAAUUGGCAGUAUUUAUAUAGAACCGAUCUCUAGGAUUUGGCUAAACAAAUACAGAUUGUAACUUAGAAAAGCCGAAAUAAAGAGACGUGCUUAACUGCUUUACCAAAUUGUACAAAUAUAUGAGGUAAAUGUAUGAUAGCAAAAUGUAUGUUAUAACUUUCGCUUUUAGCUGUUUUAGUACAUUAAUAAUGGAAAGAAAUAGUUUCAGCCUAUGCAGAAUGUGUGUUAUAUCUGUAUUUUCAGUACAGAUAGAAUAUAUUAGCUAGCCUGUGUAUAACUCCUUGCUGGUGCCUGUUUCUUUUACCGUAGAGUGUGGAUACAUAUCUGCUAUUUAGUAUCUAGAAUACUCAUAUCUUGCAGUUUGGAGCUCUGCCUCAAUUUUGUUACUUUUAGGUUAAAAUGCAGAAAACACUCACAAAUAUCUCAAUUUUCACGUUAUUCAAUGAAAUAUUAGAACCUACAUUUUACACCAUUCACCCAUGAGCAAGAUAUGUUGCCUAGUGGAAUAGGUGGCAUCAAAGGGUAAUAUAUAGGCUUUGAUAUGUCGGCAAAGCUAAGUGAAACUCCCACUAAUUAUUGGGUUUUUCCUGCCAAUCUUGGCCUACACUACAAACAUUGUUGUGAAUUGAAAUUUGAAGUUAACCUCUGUCAAUUGUUAUUUGAGUAAUAAAUACCCUGGUCACUGAUGAUCUUGAGUCACAGACAUCUAGGCAUUGCCUUGGAUAUGCUGCUUAAGCUUGUUAAAAGCUUUGGUCCUUUAAUCCACUCAGCUAUAUCUGCUGCUCCAUUGGUUGGUGUCGACCUUGAGGCAGAGCAAAGGUACUUAGUUCUGCUUUCUUCUAUUCUCAAUUUAUUUUCUGCUUCUCAUUACUUUUUCUAUUCCAUGCUAGGUUGGAGAGGUGUAAUCUAUGCUUCAUUGAGCUGGAAAAAUUAAAAACUAGUCUCCUACCGAUCACACGGUAAUUUGUCUUUCUUGCCAUUUGGAUGGGAAAAUCUCAUUGCUGUAAAUGCUUUUGUCUGAAUUUGAAAUACUUGCAUUCAAACUGUUAUUUUCUCUUGUUAAAGAAAAAGGAAGAGGCAAAAAAUGCAUUGGACCCCCCAAACACCUCCCUUUUAAAAAAUUUCCAUCACGCUACACAGUUUCUAAAAUAUUCUAUCAAGUAAUGGAGUAUUCGGUUCAAGACUUCAAGUUUAUGUAAAAUUCCCCCAAAAAGUUACACCAUAAGUUCGAAUAGAACUUUAUUAAAUCAAAAUCAAACUAGUAAUUGAAUAUUUUGUCAAAAAGUUACACCACAAAUUGGUUCAAGUCCAAAAUAACUAAGUAAAGAAGAAUAGUGCCUUGUUUCCAAAUGACCACCUAUAGUUUGGUCGAUAGGUUGUCCAUAUGGUUUAAACCAAAACAAGACAGAUGGUAGAAGAAUAGAAGAUUCUUGCUAAGAUGAUGAAAUCAUCUUUUUCUUUUUUGACAGUCGCGGAGGUUCUAUUGGGAAGUCUGCACAGGAGUUAAACCUUGCUCUUCAGGAUGUUUUCUCAGCGACCAACUAAACCCUAUUGCAUGAUUCUUUUGCUUAAUCCUACAACACAGCACUAGUUUUAAUACGGGUGCCAAUUCUAUUGCUUCUCUAAUUCGCACAAAUAUAUUAGUACAAUGGUUGCUUAUGGUUGCUUAAUAUGGGUGCCAAUUCUUUUGCUUCUCUAAUUCAAUCAUAGUUCCUGUACAAGCUAAUUUAAAUGACCAUCUCACUUCAAAGAGCCAGAGCCUGUGGUAUAUGAAGAGACAGUGAGCUGCACCGAAGAAACUAUUUGAAGGUAUGGCAAGUUAUAGCAUGCACAUAAAGGGUUCAAUUAACAUGCUGUUUGUAUUUUAUUUUAUUUUUUUUUUGUAUAUUUCAAAGGGGCAUAACGAAAAGAGCUUUUUCUUUUUCUUUUCUUCUUUUCUUGUACAUGAAUGAUGUUGGCAUACAUUCGUUUAAGUGUAAAAAUCUAUUCUUCCUGAUAGCAGUCAUGUCUUACUCUGUAUUGAUCAACCUCCUUGUUAUCUUCAUGCCAACAUAAUCACCAAGCUGUUGCUUGCUUCAAUUGUUCUGCAAUCUAAUGCACCUUGAUUAUGGUAUUCUUAUGAUUCCCAUAUGCUGUAUUGUCAGUAUUUCCUUGUAAAUAGGGCUGUGAUUGAUUUUGGGGAUCGCAUGCUUUUUCCUUUAGCAGACGAGGCCUACAAGACCUCUUUUCUAGAUAAUAUGUAAUGUCAUUUCUGCUUUUUAUUUUUAUUUUUUAUUUAUUUAUUUUUGUUGUCUUCCACAGAGUCUUAUCCAAACUGUGAGACCCAAAUGAUUUUUGUCCUCUAUUAGAGACAAUUGAAAAGGUAUGACAAUCAAUGUAGAUGGAGAAUGGUGGAAAUUAAAUGGUCAUCAGAUCUCAAAUGGGAGUGAAUACAUCUGCAAUUUUUCGAAUUGUAGAGGUAUAUAAUGUUUCUAUGAGAAAGCUAAUUAUAAAUUAUUGAAAUUUUGAAGGAAUAUAUAGGUAGCUACUUUAGGAAAGGAGAAAUUAUUACCCGGAUAUGGUCCACCAUGUUAGACGUGAACCAUGUAGCGAUUUAUUCAGAAGGUCAUCUUAAUUUACUUUCCGUUUCUCGCCUUUUUAAAAGUACAGAAGGGGUGAAGGGGGGAUUAACUGUUGCACAAAGUGGCCUAGUUGACAUGGUGGAUGAAGUCUGGAUUUUUCUUUUUAUUUUUUAUUUUUCAUUUUGUAUUUCUAUUUAUUUGUUUUUGUCUUUGUUCUUCUUUUUUUUUUGUGUGUGUGUGUGUGUGUUGAGGGAGGAUAACACAUGGGAUGUUUCAUGGCACAAAGAAGAAAAAGAACUCGUAAACAACAUGCUUGAUUGCGAUCCAACGCAGCUGUAAUUGCCCUCAAAAUUAAAGUUGUCAUGUACUUUGGGUCCGUUUGUUUUGGUGUAAGUGGAGGGAUGGAACUCAAGUUCCAUCACUUUCGUUAUUUUUUCUGGUGUAAGUCAAAAAUAUAAUGUAACUCAAGUUAUGUUAGACCUCUACUUCAUUACUUCGACUUUCUCCUCUAAAGUGUCGAACUUGACUUCUGUCACACUCAACCUCCUCUAAAAAAUUUAUUAAAUAGUAAAACCUAAACUCUACUUCUUUAUAAUGGGUUAGAAUUACUUUAUUUAUAAUAAAUUAGGAUUACCUUUAAAUAAUAAUGAAAAUUUUAAUUAUAUAAUAGGUUAAAUUUUAUAGCGAUAAGUUUAUCACAAUAUUUUAUGAGAUAACGAGAUCCACUUACUUAUAUCAAAACAAACAAUAGAACUCAAAAAACUAAUUUCACCAGCAUCAAGUUAUAUCAAAACAAACAGAAGAAGUAAUUGAAUUUAACUUUCAGACUGUACGAGUUACGCCAAAAUAAAUAACAAAAAAAUAAUCACACUUCAGAGAAACUCAAAUACCACUAUACUUGAGUUGUGUUGGAUCUACAGAUUAAUCAAUCCAAACGCCCCCUUAGAAUUCUUGCACUUACACCCCUGCUAUUUAAGGAGAAGCCCAUGAUUUUCACAAUCCAACAGACUUAGAAAUUAAGGAAACACAAAUCUCUCUUUAAAUCCUUUGAAGUCACUCUCUGUGUAUUAUGUCUUAUUGUCUUUAUCCUUUGGGAGACAAGUAGAUUCAAAAAUCUUAUCUUCUUUUAUGAAUAGUAGACACAACAAGAAAAGGGCAUUUAAUGUCUGUGGCAUCUUACUAUUUUCAAGCAAAUUCUUAGUCCUCAAUAGCCUUUAUACAGCUUAGUAUAGUUUACUGAUGUUAAAUGCAUUUGUACUUUUAUGAAUUUUCUUUGAAGUGUACAAGUUAAUUUGCUUUUGUUUGAAGUGUGUUAAGUUGAUUUUAUUUUAAACUGACCUCUUUGUCUUAUUGGAGAAUCCUCUGACUCGGGUACCUCAGCUAUUUGCAUGUUCUUCUGCAUCAUAUGAUGCAGUUUAUUCAAACUAUAUGACAUAAAUAUAUUGUGUUUUUCACAAGUUUACCUCAAGCAAGUUCUUAGUCUACAAUUUCCUGUUGCAUUUGCAGCAUUUUUCACUUGAUAUUUAAUGCUUUUGUAUUCUUCUGAAUUUUGUUUGAAGUGCAUCAGUUAGGUGAUUUUGAGUCUCGACCUCUAUUUUAGUUCCUGCACGUCACAAUGUCAUGCAAUAUAUAUAUAUUUAUAUAUAUAUUUGACGUCCGGCUAGGUAUACUAUCAUAUGCUAUGAGGAUUGUCAUGCCUAGUCUAUAUAUAAUAUAUAUAUCAUGAACUAGGAUGGAAUACCAUCAAUAGCUAUCGAUACCAUCAAUAGCUCUCGAUAUAUAUAUAUAUAUAUAUGAACUAUAGGACUUUCUGAUGUUGUCCCCAUUUGAAAACACUUUUGAAAAACCACUGUGUAGAGAGAGGUCACAAAAUCAGAGUGCCAAUGGAAGAUUCUGGCUCUGCUUGGUACUGUUACAAUUGUUUGUUUUUCUGAAGCACAAAUAUUAUGAAGUAUGCAACUGGAUGGCAUAUUCCACAGUUUCCACAUAUCUAAGAGUGUACUUAGGAGAUAAAAAGAAGUUGAUGGUAACUUUUGUUUGCUUGUCUUAUUGCGAAGAUGGUACCUCUUGGCAUCUAGCCAGGAUGCAUUCCAACUUAACAAACAAUAAUGAGAAUAAAUAAUUUCAUCCGCCAAUGAAUCCAAUCACAUAGAAUUUGUGAAAAACAGCACAUGUUAUUCCUUUCAUUUUGUUUGAAGAGAAGAAUAGAAUUGGAAGAAGAUCAAUUCUGUGAUGUUAUUAGAUAUACUUUUAACUACUAGUUUGCACAAUUCUUUACUCUAGACAUUAGUCUCUGUUAGAAUUUAUGAUUUCAAGUUGUUCUGUCAAAUCUGCAAUUACUUCACAUUGAAUCGGUUACAGAUAAUACCAGCCGAAUAUGUGGUGGAAUAAAGAAAAGGUUUCCUUGGCCAAAUGAGGGUGUAUGGAUGGUCCAUAGAGGGUUUCUUGAUCUGGGUUGAAGCAUCUCCACUUUAGCUCUAUAACAUCACAUGUGCUCUUAGUAAUUGCCUACUCUUUUGUCGGUCCUGCGUAGGGUAAUAGAUCAGGAAGAAUUUUUUUUGCCUUUUGUUGUAUUCUUCUCUGCUGAUCAUUCAUUAUGGCAUUAACCAAUAAUAGAUGGCUCUGUAGAUACUUUUGCUCAAUAAAUACAUACUAGUGUAAUGCGUAUUAUCUGGACCUUGUGGUGUCACAGUAGUUUGGUUCUGAGUUUCGCGAAAACAAAGAACAUUAAGCUAUUGAACCAUGUGAUUUGUAUGAAAUCUAGUGAUAUAUAAUUGAAAAGGAUUUUGGGCUUGAAGAAUAUACUGAUAAGAAUAUACCAUGUCAAUCUAGGAUUAAAUAAGUUACAAAAAAUCUUCUUGCUUUCAUUUUUUGUGUUUGGUUGCAAGUGAAUAUAGGAAAAGGACGCAAAGAGGUGGAGAAAAUGGAUUUAUGAGGAAAUAAAGUGAGAAUCUUAUAUUCUGAUCAAUCAUAGAAUUUUGAUUAAAACAAGCAGAGAAGAUAAUACUAUAUGUAAGUCAGUUGAUCCUUGUCCCUUGUUUUCGACAGAAAUCAUGUGUUUGUUUCAUAGAAUGUGUUAGUACUCAGAAAAGCAAUUAUGCUGUAAUCAAUAGCAAAACUGCGAAAGUGACUGAGAGUUAAUUUGGUACGCAAUCAAAUCAAACCUAUAUUUAUCCUUUUUGACCAGGAAGUGAUAUUACGCCCUAUUAUCUUUUGUUUAGAGGGGCAGAUGAAAUUUAUUGAACAUGAUUAAAUUCAGUCGGUGAAUAUUUAGUAGGUUUAAUGUAUCUAUCUGUCUGUUAAUGUUGAAAUCAAGUUUUGUUAAUUGCACCACUCUUUUUGGCCUAUUAUUUCUUGUAGAUUUUCAGCAUCAGUUAUUUUGUUAGGACCUCUUUUUGAAAUUAGGUCACUCGUAACUCUACAGACUGUUUAUCUAUUUAUUCAAGAAGCUGGCUGUACAAAGAGCUCUGUCAUGCAAUUUAUGAGAUAAUGAACUUCUUCCUCAUGCCUGUGAAUUAAUUGGUACCAAGACAAUAAAGAAUAGUAUUUAUAAGGAGAUCCACCCAAAAACAAGAAAGGAGAAAAAUAAGCUGAAAAAUGAGGAGAUCCACUCAUCAGAAGAAGAAAAAAAAAAGGAGAAAAAUUAUGUUUGUGUAUUCGUCAGAAUAAGUCUAAUCUCCUGAUACUCUUGGGAUUUAUUGAUCAAAGAGAACCAAUUCAUCUAGAACUAGAAGAAGAUUGACCUACAUACAAUUAGUGAUAGGACAAAUAACAGUGCUAACAUUUACUUUUAUAUUCCUACAAAAUCAGAAUUUUCUCAUACUCAAGUCAACUUUCCUCAUGGAAUCAGAUGAGAGCUGGUUUUUUUUUUUUUGUGCAAGAAACAAAGCUACCCAAAUAAAAAGUAACAUUGAGGGGAGCUUCUAGGCAUAAAAUAUUUGAAGUUUAAACACCCAAUCCCUUGAAGCUAUUCCUCUCUAUGCUGGUUGCAGCAUUCUGUCACUGCACAAGGUUGGUUGGUCACAGGAAACCCUAAGCCAAUGGAGGUCCAGUGCAUUAACUCUCCACAUGACACAUUGAUGUUACUCUUUGAGUCACCCAUCUUCUUCAAUUGCUGUCACCUACUUAUAUAGCAUUUAAUUCAUGCUCAUAACUUGUGGAUCUUCCUCUAGGUUUCAUUUUUGAUUGGUUUCCAAGUCCAUGCAAUCUUGGGUAUUGAAUCUCCACAAGCUCCCUCCAUUUUUCAUCAUCUUUUUAGCACCAUAAUAUCAUCUUUGAGAUUCUGACUAGCAGCAUUAUUGAUUUGUUGUGUAUGUGAUGGAAAUACUGAACAAGUUAGGAGUUAUGGAUAAGAUGGAGAUGGCAAUCUUAAGCAUGAGAGUUAAUUUACUAGCCUACACAUGAUAACAUCAUUGUGGAUCUAAACUUUAGUUGAUCUAACACAAGACUCAAUUGGUGGAAGUACAAAUUUGUUGAGAAAAAAAUCACCAACUGCACAAAUUUUUUUUCUUUUUUCCUUUUUGGAUUGUCAAAUGUGAUCAUUUACUGCUAAAGUUCCAUGAAGAGUGUUUCUUAUUGUGUUUCCAUCAUUUUCUAAGCCUAGAAGCCAUAACUCUUCUUUUCCUUUUCUUUUUCCCCCCCUUUCUUAGAAGAAAGAAAGAAAGAAAAUCCACUUCCUGUGAGUUGUGACCUUUCAACUUCUAGCUGUCACAAGCAGUGAUCAAUAAAUGGCUAAACAGAAGAGAGUGGUCUCAUAUAGAAAAUGCUUUAAUAGCCCUCCAUGACCAAAACAAAUUUCAAAAAACUAUUUGACUAUUCUCAGUUGUCUCAUCAACACCGAAGAGAAAAAAUAAAAACCUUAAUCUUCUUAAUUCAAAUCAAGUAUACAUUCCUUGGUUCCUUUGGUGGUUAAAGCAACUCUGAAUGCUGAUAUACACACAGAAAAGACAACAACAAUUGGUUGAAAAGAAAGAGAGAAAGACCACCAGUUUAAUAAUCAAUUACUUUUACUGUAAUUUUGAACCUGGCCUUCUUAUCUUGUGCUGGCAGAGCUGGAUUGAGUUUCAACUACAUAAGUCCGAAGUGAAGGAGUCCGAUUAGCAAGAUCGAUCGAUGAAUUCCCGUACUGGAUAGUGCUCUUCUUCUGCAGCCUUCUUCGGGCGAUGUACCCUCUAAUCCACGGCGUCACGUCCUCGCUUACUUUGAUCAUGACGAAGAAGAGGAGGCGGUAGAUUAUGAUCAUGCUGAAGAGAACAGUUAAGUCCCACCAUUUCGAUCGGUUCACGUCGAUCUGGAACACAUUUUCGAGUAUGUAUUCACCGGGAAUUUUCGGAAGGUCCGGCGUCUGGUUAUCGAAUACGAGGCCCUUGAGAUCAUUCUGAUACUGACCCUGUUACAAUUGCAGUUACAUUCAAGCAAGGAUUAGUGAAAGAAUUUGCGGUACUGGAUACUAACUGAUCCGUGUUGUACAAAGUUUAACCUGCAAUGCCCAGUAGUGGAAGCUGAUGUACGACAUGGGGUAUCGCCAGAAAGGCUUCGGGAUGUCGUUGGGGAGUCGAAAGUAACCAGAGACCAACAUGAAUAUUCCCUGUUCAUGUUGGAAUUGUGAGCAAUUUCAGUAAUAAGAACAAUGCAAGUGAAAACGUUUGAAGACAUUGUACAGGUAAUAUACAUUUUCAGCAUUGCAGUAGUAGAUAGGAAAACACCCACAUACUGAUACACAGCAACAUCUGAUAACUUAACUUCUAUUCUAUUCAAACAUGUAUGUAGGUGACUAAGUUGCAAGGAUCAAAUUAUGAGAACCUGCAUUUUCUAUACCUGAAUCCCAGCUCCUAUGAUGAUUCCCAUGAGGAAAUUGGGGAUCACACUUGCUAUGGCCAUCAUCAAGCUCUCGACGACGGUGACACUCGCGUAGAGGCACAACACAAAGAAGAGGUAAUGCAUGAAACCGGGAUGCAGGCGCACCAUGAAAUAGCAUAUAGUUCCCGACGCGAACGUGAUCAGGAUCAGGAACGGCAUCGCUGAGAUCGUAUUGCUGAUCACAAAUGCAAACACACCAUAGUGUCCAUUCAUCCUCUCUCUCUGAAAAACCUGCACCAAGGGAAAUUAUGUUAAAGCCCGCGAAAGCAGUUGUUUUCUUCUACAUUUACUGCACGAAGUAGAGGUGCCGCGGACCUUCAUAUCCUCCACGAAUGAAGGGAAGCCUCCGAUCGACAUGAACGUGACGAAGCCAAAGACGAAUGAAGCGCACGCCCCCCUCGCCUGUUUCUCGAAACAAUUACACAGAUUUAGCACAUGACAUUGAUUUUUCUGAUAAAUGUGUUCAGGAAUUGUAAUCAAUUCAAGCUUGGUAACUUUUUGAGUGGAUAACAUUACCAGGAUGGAACUAUAUCCUGUUCCCACAUUCAGGUAAAUGGUUCCAAUGCAAAUGGUCACAACAAGGUAAAUAACAAGCCUCAACCAGUAGUAUCCGAAAUCUCUCGACAUGUUUACGAACGAUCGCUUGGUUAGCGUAAAAGCCUGCAUGCAGAAACUAGCUUGACUUCCUCCAGAAUCCAACACUGUCCCUUUCUGCCGCCGAAAAACAGACAGAAAAAACUCAUUUAUCAGUUAAUAGUUAUGUCGGUUCAUUUACGAGAUUGCGGUGUUGCAGUACAUACAACUUGAGAGAUUUCAUCCACUUUCUGCCUCGCUGCGUAGUGGUACUGCGAAUGGCGGUAAAACUCGAUUAGCCUUCUGAUCGCUUCUGCCGUCGUGAUUCUCUCCAGCGGAUCGUCGGACUUCUCAAACUGAAGCGAAGGUACGAGAAAUUCAAACUCUUUAUCGACCCGUGAGUGUAUGAAAAACUAAUAGUAGAAGAUCGAAUCGAACGAAAUGUUUCACGCGUACCCGUGUUUUAAUCGAGCCCUUCAGAGUAGCUUUCACCUUAUCGAAGUCCGAGUUUAUGCACCUGAGGAAAUGGUCUGAUGGGUUCCUCAGAGACGGGCAAGGGAACCCGGCUUGAGCGAAGAACUAUCAAAAUGGCAGUGUAGAUAGAUGGUGAAAACACUACUUAAAAGGAGAAAGAUCUGCAACAACUAUAACGGGGAUCGAUAUUCUUCGACAUCGAUUCUACCUCACAUGCUUCAGAAGCUUGCCCAAAGUAAACAGUUUUGCCGCCCGAGAGCAGGAAAAGGCGAUCGAACAGCUCGAAAACCUCGCUGCUCGGCUGGUGGAUCGACGCGAUCACGGUCCUUCCAUCUCUCGCCAGAGCGCGCAGCGUUUGCGUCACGAAGAAAGCCGAAGCACUGCGCGUUUGAUCAGUACACUUAUUCAUUCACAUUCAAAACUAAAACAAAAACAAAAUAAAAAAAACAAGUGAAAGACAAAUCAUCUGCAUCAUCAUGCCAAUAUAAGAUAUAUAUGAUAUAUAGAUCCUUAACAUAUAUAUAUAUACCAAUCGAACAAAGUGACAAAAGUGACAAAUGAACAUGUGCAUCAAAUUUGUCACAACAACAACAACAACAACAACAUAUAUAGACAAGUAAAGUUCACAAGAGUACUACCUAGUAGCAUAUAUAUAUAUAAUCAUAAUUGUGUAUUUAUUAUUAUUAUUAUUACAUGUAGAAUUGAAAUGGUGAGUUUGUAAUGAAGUUAUAUAUAUGUACUACCUGUCGAGACCGCUUGUGGGCUCAUCGAGAAAGAGCAAUCGGGGCCUCAUGAGGAUCUCCAGUGCAAUGCUGACGCGGCGCUUCUCGCCGCCGCUGAUGCCGCGCAGGUGCCAGUUGCCGAUGACGGUGUCGGCGCAGUCCUGCAGGCCCAUCUCGACGAUGGUGCCCUCGACCAGCGCCCGCUUCUCCUCCCUCGGCAUCUUGUCCGGCAGCCGGAGACGCGCCGAGUACGAGAUCGUCUCGCGCACCGUCAGCGUCCCGAUCAGGUUGUCGUCCUGAGUGACGUACGCCUGCAGAGAUCGCGGCGCCGCUUAGAUCAUGACAUAAUAUUACACAAGAGAUCUUAAUUAUUUAUUAGUAAGCGAUCCAUGAUCCAUCAUCAUAUAUAGGAGAAUGAUCAAAAGCAAAUUAACCCUUGGUGUAAGUACAUGUGUUCUCUUCAUUCUUUUAUUAUUAUUAUUAUUAUUAUUAUUAUGAUUUUCUUUUUCUCAUCCAACUAAUCUACACGACCACUAAAUCCAUCUUCAUAAUAACUCAAUUAUUAUCAUAAUAAUUAUUUCGUUUCCUUAGCAAAAACACAAAAACGUAAAUAAAAAAAUAAAAAAAAUAUUAUAUUAUAUUAUAUUAUUUUAGAAAUAGUAAAUGCGGAAAUAGUUUUUAGUAACAUAAUAUGAAUAUGAAUAUAGAUAUAUAGAUAUGGAUAUGGAUGAGUGAGGAGAAGUAGUGAAUGAGUGAGUAAUAGUUUGCGUGGUUGUGGAAGGGACGGAUUUAUAUGUAUAUAUACCGCGGUGCCGAAGGAGAGCUUGGCUUUGCGGCCGUUGAGGAGGACGGUGCCGGACAUGAAGGCGUUGGCGGCGAGGCGGCCGGCGAGGGCGUCGAGGAGGGUGGACUUGCCGGAGCCGGAGGGGCCCAUGAGGGCGGUCAGCGAGCCGGGCUCGGCGUAGCCCGUCAGCCCCUCCAGCACCGUCUGCGUCUCCCCUCCGCCGCCCACCGUCACCGUCACCGUCAGCUCCUUCCACGUCAGCCUCGCCGACACGUCCCCCAGCAGCUCCGUCGCCCCCCGCUCCUUCCACAGCGUCUCGCUCAGCGGGCUCAGCCCCACCGCCCCCGCCACCAUCCCGUUCCCCGCCGGCUUGCUCGCCUCUAUCUCCACCAUCACCUGCCCUGCUGCCUCCACCCUCGCCCUGUUCUCCCCUCCCCCGCCCCCUCCCUCCAUUAUCACUUUUACAAGUUGAAUUUACUCGUAUAUAUCUAUAUAUAUAUAUAAUUGUGUAUGUUGUAUCUCUCCUUUUAUGUCUAUAACUAUAUAUAUAGAUGAACUAACUAGUUAGUACUUCGGAGCUAACUAGGAAGAGAGAGCAUCUAGAAGAAGAAGAAGAAGAAGAAGGGGGGGAGGGGUGGUUAGAGCAGAGGGGAAGGGAGGAGGAGGGGAGUUGGGAGGAGGAAUGAGAAUUGUAUGGUUGGGAGUUGUGUUGACUAAAGAGUGGGAACUGGGGAAUACAUACAUGCAAAUGGAGCCUGGGGGUUGGCUUUUGUGUGUGAAGCCUCCCACAUCAAAUUUAUUAUCUAUUUCGUUUCAUUCAUCAUUCUUUUUUUUUCAUCUAUUAAAAUUAUUAAACAAAAAUACUUUUUUAUUUUUGUCUCUCCAUAGAAGGUACCAAAUAGCCAAUUAUCGGUCUCGAGUUCACUAUUUUUAAAAAUAAACUCAGCUGAAAAUAUAAAGUAAUUAGAUUAUAUUUUUUUGAAUAAAAAAAUAUGUCAACGAGAAGAUGAGAAGUUGUGGUCACGCGAUACAAUUGCCUUUAUUUAUUUAUUUAUUUAUUUAUUUAUAUUUAUUUUAAUUUGGGGGUUUGAUGGGAAGGGAUGGAUCAUAGAUUUGAUUUCAUUAAUGGGAGGCGGGUGGAUGUUGGUGGUGCAUUUAAUGUAGCGGCAGCCACUCUUCAUUUACGGCUCUAUAUAGUAUCCAAAUUAAACUUAAAGUUAAUGUGCACAUGAGAUACAUUGAGAGACAAAAAAAAAAACAGUAUUUUUAAUGAGUGGAUAUUAUUUAUACGGUGGACGUUAAAUAUAAAAAAAAAUUUAAACAACCAUUCUCCCACCGGUUCUGAAUUCGAAUCACGUCAGGCCUUUAGCAUUAUUAAUUUUGUCCUAUUUUAUUUUCGUCCACACGUUAUGAGACUACUCUUAAAUGCAAUAGAGAAUUUGCAUGGAUAUAAACUCAAAUAGAUGAUUAUCAAACUUUGUGUGUAUAAAUUCUUGUAUAUGUACUAAUGUACAUGCUUCAAAUUCUUCGUAUUUAUGGCGAACUCAUAAUUAUGAAAGAAGAUUGAACACCUAAUAAUAAUAAUAAUCACUCUUUCGAAAAUAGAUAAUAAGAAAAUUUAUUUGAAUUGUAAUUUAAUUAUAAUUAAAUUAAAUGCUUUCAUUCAUAUGAUAGAAUGUGCAGGGGUUAAAUUAAAUAAAUCCAACCCUUGCUAAUAUACAUAAUCGAAAUAAAUAAAUAAAUAUAUAUAUAUAUAUUUGGUUUUUAUCUUAACAAUUUUUUUUUUCUUUUAAGAAACAAGUUUUAAACUCUAAAUCUGCAAACACUUGAGCUGCUGAAAAAAAGCUAUUAUGCAACCCUUUUUUGGACUCAAAAUGUCACCACUUUCUAUGUCCAACGUAGAUAAAAUCCAGUAGAUUCUUACAUUGUUAAAAAAGGCAAAAAUUACCUUUUCCAUAGUAAUAUGCAUCCAAAAAGCUAUGUAAAUAGGAUUUAAAAGAAGAGGUUGUGCAAAAUUUAUGAACUGGUGCUUUUUGUGUUUCCACUUGAGUUUAAUUUGAGAACAAUAAAUGAAUCACUGUGAAUUUGUGCCCAACAAACAACCACCCCACAUCCCUUCCACUAAUAAUAGAGAGAAAAAAAAGAAAAAAGAAAAAAAGAGAGAGGUGGUGUAUAGGAUAAGGGGAUGGGUCGGUGUAGUCCAAACAACUGCUUUAUUUUUAUUUUUAUUAUUAUUAGGUUAAUUUCAUACAUGUUCCUACAAAUAUAGAAAAUUACAAAUAUAUCUCUACAAAAAUCAACUUUCAUAUGUUGUCUCUACAAAAGUCCUAAUAUAUUUUCAAAUAUGUUUCUCUGAUUAAUUUGUUACCGUUAAAGCACUGUUUAUUUUAUAAUUGAAUAAUCUUUUUGUCAUCACAAAUAUACCUUUCCAAAAGUCCUAACUGCUAAUUAAAAAAGGAUAAAAAGGUUAAUUCACCUUAUUAACUAGCUAGAGUUAAGUAUUUUACCUACGGUUAACUAAUUUGUUUCUAACAGAUAUUCGAAAAUAUCAGAAUUUUUAUAGGAACAAUAUAUGAAAGUUGAACUUUGUAGAAAUAUAUUUGUAAUUUACUAUGUUUACAGGGACCUAUAUGAAAUUAACCUUUUAUUAUUAUUAGUUUUGUUAGCUUUGUUGUGACUCUAAACAUGACUUGGUUUGAAACCAUAGAUAGAUAAAAAAAACUUGGACAAAAUAUAUAUGUUUUCUCCUUUGGUAGGAGCAACUUUGGAGAAAGUGAUAAUAAUAAAUAAUUGGUAGGUUUGUAAAAUUUUUUAGGUUAUAUUAUUACAAACGUGCCUACGUUUAAGAAUGGAGUGUGAUGAUAUAUCUAUUUUAAUAUUAACAGGGCAAAUUUUUUUUAUCAAAUUAAAAAUUUUCCACAUAGAAUAGUGAAAUAUACAUGUAGCAAUACAAACGUUUUCUUGGCUGGUCGGGACGAAUUUGGAGCGAGUUGAUUUUUCUAUCCUAAUUUGCUCCUCACUUACCAUUCUAGUCGGGGUGGGCUGAGGUAGGACUAUAGUUUUAGCAGAUUUUUGAUGUAUCGGGACCGAUCAAAAAAAGUAUGAAAUUUUCUCUCUUACUUUAUUUUCUUAAUAAUUUCGUAAAUAAUUUCGUAAAUAUUCGUAAAAAUUUAGCCCUUACUUACCAUCUCAUUCGGAGAUAAAACAGGGCAUGAGCUCCACCAACUCGGAUCGAUCGAUUUGCACAGCUAGUCAAAAAGCAAUAAGUAUGAGAGCUUAUGAUACAAGCAUUAAAUGAUUUUGCAAGAAGCGAAAGCCGAAUUUAAAUCAUCUAUCUUGAUAUAGAGAUACCAAUCAAUUGCAGUAGACAAGGUUUCCACCUACAGCAAUUUCAUAAUAAAUCCCAAAGAAGCUUUACUUCUUUUUUUUAAAAAAAAAACUCAUUAUUCUAAGAUUUCUCUAAUCUUUUAGCCAACUAUUUUCAGUUUUUUUUUCUUUUCUUUUUUUUGGGUGCACAGAACAAAACAAAAGAGAAAAAGAGUUAUAAAUAAAAAAAAAUAGCAAAAACAAUAUAUAUAAAUAUAUAUUGGUGUGUUCACGAGGAGGAGCGAGUUGUCACGCAGUUGGGGGCCUCAUCAACUCAUGCAGAGAGAGCCAAAAUAACUCACGAAAGGGACCAGGUCCUGUACCUUCGAAUGAGAAGGACACGUGUACAGCGGAAAACAACAUCUCAACGCUUGAUUGACGGCUACGAUUCACCAGGACAAAAAAUAAACUUUUUUAUUAAAAAAAAUAAAGCUAAUUCCUCAUGUAGCUAACCCAACUUAUUAUCUAUUAUCUAUUACUCUAUAUGAAUUCUCAAUAAAAUUGAUGGCAUGAUAAGCCCUCAUUUUUUAAAAUUUUUUAAAUUUUUUAUAGUUUUUAAUGGUGGUUCAUUUUUUUUAUUCUUACAUUUAAUGUUAUUAAUAGUUAUAACUCCAUUAAUACUCACCUCUUAAUUACUCUUUAAUUUUAUUUAUAUCCCAUAUAAAUUUUUUAAUAGUGAAAUAUUUAAGACAUUAAUUAUAAAGAGAAAAAACUGUCUAAUUAUUGCCCAAGAAUAAUGGCUUCAGUUUUACAUGUUUAUAUUUUUACUAUCUUAUUAUAUUUAAUGUUGCUAAUGAUAGCUGCAUAUUACAUGCAUAUGUUUUCCUUUCCUAAUUAAUUAAAUAAAUACUAUACUUUAGGUGACAAAUUAAUAUGUGGUAGUAAAUAUAGCUUCUCCAAGCUUGAUAAACCCCAAACCCCACAUCCGCGAUCUCUCUGUCGAGCUCUUCCGCUCUCCUUCCCAAACCCUAAAACCCCAACCUUUCCUCUUCCUCCGCACCCUCCCUCGCCGCCGCCCCUCCGAUCGGCGGCGCCUCCUCUCCGCCGGCCCCGCCGCCGUCCAGGCGGCGGUGGCCAUCUAGAAGGAGACCCCGGAGGAGGAGCGGCCGGAGACCUUCCUCCACAUGGCGGACCUCGCUAUCGCCACGUCCGUGGGCGCGCGGUUCGAGCGGAUGAUCCGCGAGGCCCUUGACGAGGUGUGCGCGGCGCUCAAGGCCGCGGACGGGGGCGCCGCGUUCAAGGAGGAUGUGUGGUCGCGCCCAUUUACAACAAUUUCAAACUCUUAUACGACCCCCACUCCUACCCUCGAUCACUCCUUUCUCGAAAAAAUGUAAGAACUCUAUAAGUUUUUAAUUUUUAUCCACCGCAUCGCGUGAAUUCCUACACUAUAUACAUCAUUGCUAAACUAAAAAUAUAACUAAAAUAUCUCUAUUUCCGAUAUAGGGAGAACUCAUUCUUUUUUAUACUAUUCAUGAAAAUUUAGGCAUGGAGUGGAGUUUAAAUCUAAAUUUCUUUCUACAGCUUUAUUUAUUAAUUAUUUAUACAGAAUCUACCCGCUGCAACGCGCGGGUGCCUUCACUAGUUGUCUAUUACUUUCUAUUAAUCCCCAAUAACAAAAGCUGAGGUGGCACGACCUCCUUUUUUAGAAUUUUUUUCUGAUUUUUUUUUUAUUUUGACAAUUAUUACAACAUUUUGAAUUUCACAUUUCAUACUAGCCGUUUCUAUUAGCAAUUAAUUUUAUAAAACGACUACUCAUAAUUGCAAUCUACUACUCAUAAUUGCAAUCUUUACUUUCUAUUAAUCCCCAAUAACAAAAGCUGAGGUGACAUGACCUCCUUUUUUAAAAUUUUUUUAAUUUUUUUUUUAUUUUGAUAGUUAUUAUUGCAUUUCAAAUUCCACAAAACCGUCUAUAUUUCAUACCAGCUGUUUCUAUUAGCAAUUAAUUUUCUAAAUUAGAAAACGGCUCCUCAUAAUUGCAAUUGAUAAAUUUUUAUAAAUUAUGAUAAUUAAUUGUCAAAUUAUACCAAAUAUGGUCCAUCUUUCUUUUUCAAAAUAGCCUCUAUAGUUGUUGUCAUUUGUUACUAAGAAAGCCUUUUCAAGUUACCAUAUUUUUUCUCAUUAUAUUUCACAAAUUAAUUUAUUAUUUGUUAAUACUUAAUGACCCACCAUCUUUCUUUCUAAAACUGCAUCUUAUUUAGUAACUGUCACGAAACAUUAAUUAUAUUAUUUAUAUUUUUAAAAUUUUAUUCAUUCUUAAAAUUACUUCAAGUUAUAUAUAUAUAGUAACUCCUAAAUAUUUUGGUCCUAUAAUUUUGCUCUCGCAGGAGGUGGUGGUGGACGCAUGAUGGGAGGUUUGGUUAAACAGUUUUUAGGCUUUGCUAACCAUUAUCACUCCAACUUUCAUUUAUUGGUUAUUAUCCACAAAAUCAUAUUUGGAUUUUCAAGAUAAGAUUAUUUUAAAAUAAAAAUUAUUAAGUUUCCUUUUUUUAAAAUUUCUUUUUUUUGAAUUGGCGAAAGUGUCUUUUUUUUUCUCUAUUUUGUUUUAUUUUUGUAAUAUAAUAAAAGAGAAAAAUGCAGAUACAAGAUUUAGAAAAAUGAUGAGCUCAAUGGAGAAUAAUGUUCAAGAUUACAACAACUUUAAAUACAACAUCGUCGACGCCGUCGCUGUCGCCGGCAUCAUAAACAUCCCCCAUUAGAUGAAAUGAUAUAAUGAGAUAAUAGGAAACUUACAGAGUUUUUUUUUUUCUCUCUUUUUUUUCUCCUUUUUUAGAGGCAAUAGAGAAGUAAGUUUGUAAACGAACGGAGUUGUAUGAUUUUAUUAAAACUAGGCUUUAUAGAAUAAAAAAGGUUGAUUAUUACUUCUAUGUACAUUUGUGAGAAGUGUGCCUUUUUAGGUUUUUUUUCUCUUGUUUCUCCUUGCUUUUUUUCUUUUUUAAUUUACUUUUGCUUCACUUCUGGCUAAAUUCUUAUAACUUUAUGAGUUACUGUUUUUUUAUUUGCUUCAUUGUUGGGUAAAAGUUCAUGGGUUUCAUUAAAAGGUAGGUUUAAAAAAAUUUACACUACCCACUACAUUUUGUUUUUGAAAAAAGAAACUCUUUAUGAUAGUUUUGAUGUUAUUUAUUUUCUCUUCCUCUUAAAGUUUGUAAUGGAAGGAAAUAGAAAAAAAAGAGGCUGAUAUUUUUGAAUUUUUUUUCCCCUUGAAUUGAAUAAUACAGGAACCCAAUGUUUUUUUUUAUCUUUCUAAAUGUUAGCCUUUAGUACAAUUACGAGAGAUAUUGUAAUCAUAAAAAUACAGUAGCACUCUCAAUUCAAAAAAAUAACAAUCAAUAUUUUUUCGACGAUAAAAUGUACUUACUACUUUAUUUUAUUACGUUAUCAUGUACAUUUUAAAAUAUUAAUUUUUACUAUUAUUUUUUACCUCAAAAAAAAUUUAAAAUUUUAUUUCUAUUAUUUUCCCGCCGCAUCGCGCGGGUCUCUGCACUAGUUAUUAUUAUUAUUAUAUCAUAUCACUAAUAAGAGCCAAUUUAUCUGGAACUAAAAUUUGUUGCGGGACUGUCCCAGACGUUACGAAUCUCAAAAUUAUAUAAAUAACAGAUAAAAAAUUAUUCCUAAUAUGAGAUUGUCAUAUCAAUAUAUAUAUAGUUUCGAGAAUGUGUAAACAUUUUUAUUUAGAUUUUCUUUUUUUUUUAUUAGUGAAUGGAAUGGAAACUGCUUAUAUUGUUAUCAUAUGAUAAAUUUAAGUAAAGUUGUAUGGAAGUGAUAAAAAAUGGGCACCUUCAAUUUCAAAAGCUUAGAUUUUUCACAUUUUUGCCAUUUUUUUUUUUAAUAUUUAAAGACUAGGAGUUCACAUUUUAAUGGUCAAUUUCCUUGGGCUUGGGACCAUGCAAGCAAAUGAUUUUGGGCCCGCGAUUCACAGUAAGGCCCACCAUAUAUUUCGGCCCAAAUUUGCGCGGUCAUCUUGGGCCCACUAGUCGUUAUGUACUCGCACAAUUUACGCAUAACAGUUAUUUCGCAUGGCAACAGAGUAGAGCAGAAUGUUCUGAGUUCGAAUCUCAUUUCAUUUAAUUUAAAUUCAAGUUCCGAUCACAGAUACGAAGGAAAAUAUUGAAUGAAACUCUCUUUAUAUAUAUAUAUAUAUAUAUAUAUAUAUAGCAUCAAAUUAUUGGUGCUAUUAGAUUUCGAUCUUUGGAUGAAAGAAUGUGUGAUUAGAAUGAUAGUGGUCCUCUAGUAUGAUCUAAUUGGUGAAAAUGAUUAGAGGGAUAGAUCUAACAGCGAAAUAUUUAAUAGCACCAAGUGUUUAUUGCUAUUGAUAACAUAAUAAACGAACUAUAUAUAUAUAUAUAUAUAUAUAUAUAUAUAUAUAUAGAACUAUAUAUAUAGCAUAUCUCUUAAUUCAAUGACCAAAAAUCUACAAGCAUCAACAACUUGGUACUUUUAAAAGGAUAGAAAUUCAAUUAUAUAUAUAUAUAUAUAUAUAUAUAUAUAUAUAGAGAGAGAGAGAGAGAGAGAGAGAGAAUUAGGCUGGAAUACUAUUAAUAGUAAAAUGCUCUUUUUGCUAUCAAGUUUUUAAUUCUUGGAUGAAAAAUUGUAGAGUCAGGAUGAUAUUAGUCGAUUAGAGUUGAGUGGUCCCCCUAGGGUUGAGUGGUCCCCACUGGGUUAUAGUAUUUAAUCCAAUGGUUAGAAAUAAUGAAAAAAGUUGAUCCAAAGGCUAAAAAACUGAUAGCAACAAUGGAAUUUUGCUACUAAUAGUAGCUCAAUCCAACUCUCUCUCUCUCUCUCUCUCUCUCUCUCUCUCUCUCUCUCUCUCUCUCUCUCUCUCUCUCUCUAUAUAUAUAUAUAUAUAUAUAGAACAUAUGGGUGAAAUUGACUAGUAAACAACUACGAGGAUUAGGUGAAAUUGACUAGUAAACAACUACAAGGAUUAGGGAGCGAACAUAAAUGGUGGAUAUAAGUGUCCAUUUAAAGAGACCCGAGCUUUUGUCCCCCGAAGAAAAGAAAAAAGAAAAAAAAAAGAAAAGAAACAGGGUACAAAUAAUUAGCUAGAGAAAGGACUAAGUUAGCUACUUGUUCAAUAAAUGUUCUAAAGGUUUUAAUCAAAGGACAGGGACCCACAAAAUAGAUAAACCAGUUACAACACAUAGCUACCUAUAAUGAAUUUGAUAGAUACUUGAUGUGAAAUAUAUCUUUUUCAACAUAUAUAUAUAUGUAUUUAUGAGGAAAUUAUUGUUAUGAAAAAAUCAUAGUUAAGCCUUUUUCAAAAGUACAUAUAAUGUUUCUUAGUUCUUGUUUAGAUGCGCAUGUUAUCCUGUCUCCUACGAUGACAAUGAAUUUAUUUGAAGCACUUAUUUGGAUGCGGAAAUAAAUUACUCCAAAACAUUUAAGCGUUUUUCAGUACAUAAGAGCACAUGCAUAGAAGCCAUUCCGAGCUUCUCGCGAAAGCCAACUUUUUAUUUCGACCCCCCUAAAAGAAGCAACUGCAAGAAGAACAUGAAGUUAAGACCCAAAUGCAGAAAACAAACGACAGAAGUAGCAGGACUAGACUAGCUGUUCAGCUCUAACAAGUCGGGACGCACUUCGUGCACUUUAAAACGCACUUCUUGGGGAAGCGCUUCCCCAAGUCGCGCGGCUUAUUGUGGCUGCACUUUUUUAUACAAACCACCUUCUUCUUCGCGCAGUACUCUGCAGUAAUGCACCUGGUAGCAGAAGCAGUUUGCAUUGGCUUGUGAUCAAUCCCCUCUUUCUCUCCAACUUUCACUAAUUCCAUCUUUUUCACGCCAUUUUCGCCGCCAUUUGACCAGAUCCCUCCCUUGGCUUUUGCAAGGAGCCCUCUCAGAUCCCUACCCAAGGUUGUGGAGAAGCUGCUUCCCUCAAAAGCUGCUGGUGAGCUGGCAUUGACAGAAGCAGCUGCAAGUAGAAGCAAGAUUAGGAAGCAGGAUGAUCUCUUCAUUUUUGGUGGUGCUAAUUAGUUUCGAUAUAUUAAUAUAAUUUAAUUGUCUAGUGCUCUAAAGUUGCACAUUAUAUGUAUGUAUAUAUAGAGGGUGAGAUUUGGCAUGGUGAGUUAAGGUGCAAAUAUGGCGUGAUCCAACUGAUCAUUAGGAGUGGAAAUUAAGCGUGAAUAUGUGAACAUGAGAGUUGUGACGCCGUAAAAGGCCCACACUAAAUGAAAACAUAGGGAGUUCGUGACAGUCUACUAAUCCCACAUCAGAUAAAAAAAAAAAAAAAAUUGUAACGUUCUAAUAAUCUCAUUUGGUUCUAGUAAUAAUAGCUGAAUCUAAACAUUUCGGGCCAGUAAUUGGCGUUUAACGACUGAAUUAUUACAAAGAUUGCGAUCUCCAAAGAGAAAACAGGUGUAUGUAUGAAAAACCAUGCAUUUGAAUAGGAUUGGCACGGACCUCAAUACUAUGAUAUGGCCAAAACCAUAAUUAUAUUUUUUUUUUCACCAAAAUAAAUGGCAAAAUAUAUCAAAUAAACCAUGUAACUAUAUUUUUUUAAUAGCUUAAACUUUUAUAGAUCAAAUCAAUUUUUAAAGUACUACUUAGUACUUCUCAUAAAUCAAAAUUAGUGAGUCAUAUUGCAUGCAGUAAGAAUGAAAUGAUUAUUUUGUAAAUGAAAUAUUAACCCAAAAAACAGUGAAAUAGCAAAAUCCCAUAUUGUAAUUGGGCCACUCCUAGAAUUACUAGAUAUUUUAGUUGGGCUAGCUUUUGGGCCCAACCUGGUCCAGCCCAUUAUGAGCACUCUUUUUUUUUCUUUUUUUUUUCUUUUUUUUUGUUCUUCUUAAGAAAUUACAUCACAUAUUCGAAUGAUGAGUUUCAUAAAAGGUAAUUAGAUAGAAUGAAGUUGGAUUAAUUUACUAACCAAUCUGAUCACCUGAUCUCAGCUAAACUUCACCUCUUUCUAUAAUUUUAGAUACCUUUUUUCUGUUUUUAAUUUUGGAUCAAUUUUUGGUACUUUUGUCUCUUAGAUCAUGGUUGUUGUUCGAUUCUUAGUUCAACCAAUCUAAAUAUUUUGACAUUUUCAUUGCUACUCUCACUACAACAAAAAUGAUGUAUAAUGAUAUUUUUAAAUGUCGGUAUAGAUCAAAAAAAGUACUGUUGGUUAAAUUACCGACACUUUUUAAAAGUGUUGCUAUAUGUGAGGUCGCUAUAGGUAGGGCCGUCUUGAUAUUUGGAACUCACUCCUCCAGCAACUUGUGGCGGAAGGAUACGUGGCGAUCGUAACCCUCUACGAUCCCUGUGAGAUCCUCGUGGCCAAACUCCAGUUGUUGAAAACCUACCUCGUCAGCUACGACGGCGGAAAAGGAGAAGGCGAGAUGGUGAUCAUUUUUUCUUUUUUUUUUCUUUUUUAUUUGUAAUCGGGUUGAGUAGGCUGGGUGUGAUUGGUUGAGUAGAGCAAUUUUUUAUUUUUGAUUGAAUUGAGCUUUAUAUUUAGACCUUAAUAAAUUUUUUUAAAAAAUUUUGGUAUAAAUGGGACACUUAUAUAAAAAUGUUUCAAAAAUAUGUCAUUAUAAUCUAAUUCUGUUAUAGUUUCUUUGCUUUUACUCUCUAAGUACCACACAUGAAUGACAAAGUUAAAAUAUUUUGUAUUAUUUAAAUCUUAUCGUGCUACAUUUUGUUCAUAUCUUAUCUUUCCAUUUAUCAAAAUGAAACCCAAAUUAAUGUUUUUUUUUGUUUUUGAACCAAAAAAAAUGGCCUAUAUAUUUUGUCAUCUAAACCUUUUUAUGGAUUCUUCUCCUUGGAUAAGAAGAGAGAACAUGCCCCUUUGGCCCUUUGUGAUUCUUGGUGCUCACAUUUUCAAUCAAUUAAUUUAAAUUUGACACAAAUUUAAAAUUAAUUGAUUGAUUGAAACAACCACAUAGUACUCCACAAAUUGACAUAUUCUUCUACAUUUAAAUUUGACACAAAUUUAAAAUUAAUUGAUUGAUUGAAACAACCACAUAGUACUCCACAAAUUGACAUAUUCUUCUUGGAAAACUACAGAUAAAAAAAUAGAAUAUAAAUUCUAAUGCUAAUUGAUGGUAAUUAUUGCCUUAUCCACCUCAAAUGACACCAAGAUAUUUCAAAAGAUCCCUUAUGGACAUUAAAAGAUGGUAACGCGCAAACGACUUAUCAAACUUCUUAAUUAGUGUAAAAAUGUAAUCUUCAAAGAUAUUUAUUCGUAAUUAUUUAAUAUGAUAGUCAGAGUAGAUGGUUCUGAAUUUAAUAUUUAUUUUGAAACAAUCAACUGUUUAACAAAGAUAACGGGACUUCGAAAUUAUUAUAUUAAAUUCUAUUGAAGUAAUAUGUUGAAAUAAAAAAUCUUCAUGGGUUUUUUAUGUGCUAAUGAUGGUGAUUAAUUAAGAUGCAUUGAUUAAGAGUGGAGUAUAACCAUAAUAGAAGAUGGAUUAUCUCUUAAUCAAAACAUUACUUAAUCCCUUAAAUGAUGGAUCUACAAUAUAUUUAGGACGCUUAUUACAGAAACUUAUCUUUCAUUUAUAUAGUCAAUUUUUAAUUAUUGUAUUAUAUAAUUCCUCCGAUUUUCGCACCAAUUAAAGUUUUUGGAGAGAAAAAUAAUACGCUUUCAUUCUUGUUUUAAAAAAUUAAAUUUAGCUAGAAAUGUAAAAUAACCAUGUUUCAAACUUAGGAUCUCAAAUACUAACCAUUAAACUCUUUACCACCUACGUUAAGAACAGUCGGUACUCGGUAGUAUCAAUUAAAGUUACAGUUUGCGAAUCAAUUAAUUGGGAGUUAUCUAAAGAGUUGUAAUUAAAUAUCGGAAAGUAAUUAUCGCAAACUUAAGUUCAAAAAAUUGAAUAAUAAAGUUCAAGUUAUUGUUACUUAAAUGAUAAUCCACUAUGGCAUAAAAUAACUCUUUUCCAAAUAUUAAUUUCCUAUCAUACCAUGCUAAAUCCAUCCCAACCCAUGAGCCAUAUAAAUCUAUGUUAAUACAUCAAUCAUCAAUCAUAUAUAUGAAUUGAAAGUUUUCAAUCAUGUUAAUUAUUCUUAUGAAAAGUUGAUGUGAGUGUUUGUGAUUUAAAAAAACUAUCUUUUUUUAUUUACAAUAUUGUACUAUUUUAUUUGCUUAUGAAUCAAUACAUUGCACUAUUAAAUAAUUUUUAUUUGUUAUUGCAAAUUACUCUUUAAUUAAGUAUUAUUAAAUUAUUAUUUUUUCAACAAAUUUAUUAUUUUAGAUUGAAUAAUUAAAAAUAUCUCGAAUUAAAUAAUUAAAAAUAUGUCGAAUUAAAUAAUCAAUAAUUAUAUCCAAGUGGUUUUUGACCGAACCUUUUCCACACCACUUUUCCAAUUUACUACUCAACUUAACUCGGAUAGAGUCAAGUGGUGUAUGGACCACAAGAAAUAUUCGCGUAUUUAACAUGCACCCGGUGCACCGUACAUUUUGCCCACAAAAUCCUAAUGUAUUAGUACAACGUUUCAAAAAGGAUUUUAAAUUUAUAAAUUUUGUCUAUAAUAUUUAAGCAUGUAAUGUAGAUUUGUUUUGAUUAAUUUCAAAAUACAUAGUAAAAUAUUAUGUCGAUUCACGGAUACAUUAAUAACAUUAUAAAAUAUACUACAUACGAGAUCAAAGCAUUUUCUAUUAUAUGCACACUCUCUAAAUACCGUAGAGUAUAUGAAUUGAAUUAGAUUUUGAUUUUAUUAUACGAUAAAAUUAAUUCCAUUAGCCUCCAAUUUAGCAUAUUUUUAUGACUAAAAUACAGAAAACUUCUUGUAAGUACUUGUUUUUUUUUUAUUUUUUCUCUCUUAUUUUUAAAAACUUACAAUUUUGCUUUCUUAAAAUUUCAGAAAUAUUUUUAGAAAAGUACGAUGUUAAUGGGGAGGACAAAAUGAUUAAAUUAUUCUUAUUUGUUCUAUAAGAAAAAAAUAAAUUUUAACCUAUGUUUAUCAUUUUGAAAGAUAUUUUCAGUAUAAAUUAUAAAAAAAUUAGCGAAAUAAUGAUGAAAUCUUGCAAAAUGCAAAAAAUUAAAAUAUUGAGAUGGAUAAAAAAUAAAUUUUAUAUCAUUGAGCCUAUUUUUAUUUUGUCAUUACAUUUUACUGGCCACAUAAUUUAUUUAUAUAUUAUAGACAAUUGCACUGCAAAAAAGAAAAUCAUAAGCAUUAAAGUGCGGUGCAUGAGAUGGACAAAUACACCGGGUGUACUGAUAAACUUCCGAGUGUCGUUGGUGCGCCGGGGGGAUAAUUUCGGGUACGUUUUCGGGUAAGCGUUCCACGCGGGCAGCGACCGUUCCGCGUUCCGACAAAAACCGUCACCGGUUUCCGACCACGCGGCGAAGCGACUACAUCUCCUCUCUCUCUCUCUCUCUCUCUUCUUUCUCUCUCUAUCUCUUUCCUUUCUCUCUCCUAAACACGUGAAGCACCCUCUCCUCUACUUGGUUUCUCUCUCUCUCUCUCUAUCUCUCUCUCUCUCUCUCUCUCUCCAUUAUUCCUCUUCUCUACACGCUAUUCUCGUUCUCGGGGGCUUAUUCUCGGGUGGAUAAGUGUAGGAGCGAGGCGAAUAAGGAGGGAUAUGUUAUAUGUUAUAUGUUAUAUGUUAUAUGUGUUCGUAUACAUGUAAUACAUGCGCAUAUAUCGCAUUAAUGGAGUAAAGGAGGGGCCUUUCCAUUUUUAGGUGGUGCGGAGAAUCACAUCCUUCUCGCUUUUUGGACUAAGAGCAGAGCACGGAAUAACUAUUCCGCCCCCCCUCUUAUUCUUAUUCCCCUUCUCUUUUUGCGUAAAAAUUGGGUUUUUUUUGGUGUGUGUGUGUGUGUGUGUGUGAAAGAGAGAUGGGGAAUAAGUAUGAAGGGAGAUCAAAUUUGCAAUCGUUUUUGGAUUGCAUCACUCCUGCUGUGGAAACCCAUUUCCUCCCCAAGGUGAUUUUUUUCCCCUCAAAAUCCUUUUUUUUUUAUGAUUUGUAUCUGGAUUUUACGAAAAGGUGUUAAUUUUUUCACCUGGAAUUAUUGAUGAGUGUUUAUGAUUGGGGUUUGGCGCACACUUAUUGCAUUUGCAGGUUCCUCUUUCAAUUAUUAUGUAUGAUAUGUAGUAGUAACCUAUUCCCUUACUUUUAUUGGAGAAGCAUAGAUGUGUUUGAAUUAUGCAAACAUGGUUGUUACCUUCUAAAUUUAUGUUUUUUCUUUUUUUUUGUUUAAGAAAUCAUCAUUCCCCUGUGAACUGAAUGGUAGCUCCUCAUAGAUUUGGUUAUGUUGGAUCAUUUGAAUGCAGCAGCCAUGCUUUCGCACAUCGAAAGUUCGUUGGCGAACCGCAGAAUCAGAUACUAUUGGGUGCUUCAGCCUUGCGGAGCUCUGGGAACAGUACUAUGAGUGGAGUGCCUACGGCGCCGGCACCGCCGUGCGCCUCCCUAACGGAGAAAAAGUAGUCCAAUACUACGUGCCGUACCUAUCCGGCAUCCAAUUGUACACCGAGAAAGCGUUUACUGCGUCGAGGUUGUCGAUUAGAUCCCGCUAGUUCACGCAUUUGAUCCCCCCGGUAGAACAAUUGAUUAGAACUUUUCUGCUCUUUCGUGUAGGAGUUUUAAUGGAGAUAGCGGUGCCGAUUAUUGGAGCGAUGAUGACGACAACGCCGAGAAAGAGAGGCUGUCGAGGUCGUGGAGUGCGGUUUCUGAGGACUCGGGCUUUAGCUACGAGGGUUCAUGGGUGAAUCGGAAACGGCCCGGGCACCUGUACUUUGAGUUCUUUGAGAUUUGCUCUCCUUAUGGGAGGAUUCCGUUUGUCGACAAGGUUACCAUUUGUCGAUAACGAUUGCUUCGAGAUUUUCGUCCGAAUUCAUCCUCUACGGCUAAAAUAUUUCUAAUUUUUCUGAUUGCUGAAUGUUUGGUUCCUCAGAUAUAUGAAUUAGCUCAGAACUUUCCUGGACUGACGGUUCUUACGAGCGCCGAGCUUUCGCCCGCUAGUUGGAUGUCGGUUGCGUGGUAUGCUUAUAUUAUUGUUAAGAAAUAACAACGGCAUUAGAGUCGAUUGUUCGGUCUAUAACAUAGCCGAUACUUGUGUUUACAUUGUAGUACUUCUCGGCAAAAUAGAGUAUUCAUUCUAUCUAGUUCUCUCAUUUUCGCUCCUCUUUUGUUGAUCAGGUACCCGAUUUAUCAUAUUCCGACCGUGCACACUGUGAGGGACUUGUCCGCGUGCUUUUUGACUUAUCAUAGCAUUUCCUCAUUGUUUCAAGGUUAAGUUUCUUUUACCAUAUAUUUUCGGAGGUUUUGUAGAGACAUUAAUCACCACAUCAUAAUUCAUGGAAUGCAAUUCGAUUAUACGAUCAUGUCUCAGAAACUGCAAUCGAGCUAUAAGAAGAAGCCGUCUCGGAUAAUCGCAAUCCAUUAUUCUUUUUUUCUGAAUCUGACGAUAGCAGUGCUCUUUGCAGAGAAUACAGCUGAGAGCGUCGGGAAAGGUUUAUGCCGCGCCAACGGGGAAGAAACCGGAACUAGACCAGAUGAGAAGGGUGCCAGGUUUUCGCUCCCUCCGUUCGGGCUCGCGACUUAUAAGACGCAGGGGAGCCUCUGGAACAAUCCGGAAACCGGAGAUAACAAGAGGAUGGUCUCCCUCUUUAGCGCCGCAGAUUCCUGGCUAAAGCAACUGGGAGUCCAACACCAUGACUUCAACUAUUUCAUUACUCACCCCAUCUGAAUCGAAAUAUAAUAAUACAGUUUGUUUUAGUCGCGUAAUCUUCGAGUCCGAAUAAGUACUUUUUAUGCGGGGAAUCACAAACCUUGUUGAUUUCCGUAAGCUAAAUUGGUUUUAUUUAUGGAGUCUGAAGAGUAGAAACAAACUUUUGUUCAGAGCUUUUCAGUUUGUGUGUAGUUAUUUCCGUAAAGCCGGAUUUUCUGGGCAAAUUUGGUGAAGGGAACUCUAACUUGUACAUAAAAAUGUUGAGAAUAUGUUAAUUUCCUUUUCCUUGUGGAGGUGAUUUCAUGGUUUGAUUUUAUAAAUUUGCUGAGCCUCUGAGUGGUAUUUCUAUCUUCUUUUUUAAAAAAAAUUUGCUCAAGCAGAUGUUUAUUUUUUAACUGCAAAAUUCUUUAAUUAUUCUGUUAGUUCAAAACAAGCACCAAAUUGUUCUCAGAAAAGAGUAAAUUAUUAAAAUUACAAGAGAAAAGGGAUUAUUAUUAAUGUUUAAAUAGCACAAAAAAGAGGAGAUUUGAUUUGUCUCUGAAUCUCAUAAUGAAAGGAGAGAUCAGUUGCUUUCAAAUAUCACCAACGCACCACCACCAGUUUUGAAAUUUAGGGGGCAAAAUUGAGACUGAAAAUGACAUUUUGCAAAAGGGAAUUGAUGUCCCAAUCAAACUUCAUGAUUAAAAAAAAAAAAAUCUGAAUUAAAUCAAAAUCAAAAUCAAAAUCAAAAUAUAAAAUUUUACAAACUAAAAAUAGUUUAGUUUAAAGCGGAAAUGACUAAAUUCUUACAAAUAAAAUUGCGAGUGCAAAGUCAAAAUUCAUGUCUAUCUCAUGAUUUUCAAAAUUUUCAUCUUAAACAUACACCCUCAUUCCAAUAAUUUGCACAUGAUUUUCAUAUAUCGUAUCAUCACUAAUCAAAAGUACAAGCAUUCUAUAUGGAAAGAGGCCAAAUUGGAAGAAAAAAAGAAAAAGAAAGAAAGAAAAAAGGUUAGGGCCUAAAGUAAUACUAGAGUAAGCCGUAAGGACCAAUGGUGCAAUUUAACACUAAACAAACAAUAAAGUUACAGCAUCUUUAGUCCCACAUCGGCUAAAUACUUGAACAAUGCUUCUUUAAAUACGGCAAUCGAGGGAACCUCAACGCCGAGUUCAGUAGCGUGAGCUUGUAACCCGAGCGGGGGCACAUGGAUGGGUUCGGACAUUGGGUUAUGCGGGUCGGAUCUGGGUGCGCCGGUGCGAUUUGUUGGCUCGCCCGAUCCAAGUUGGGUAGUGGGCCACGUGGCUCUUGCGAAGGCAGGAUGCCACGUGGCACCUAGAGUGGAGGGCAAAGCGUGAGGCUGGUUUCACAGAGCAGCGAUUACCUCCCGCUCCUAACGGUGGGCGGAUAACGGGCCGCUGCUCCGCGUACCCGCUAUGAUCCAGCCCCGUACCGCAAAUGGACGGCCCAUCUUUUUUGCCAUUUUCGUUUUUUUUUUUUUUUUUUUGGUUUUGGUUUAAGAAUGGGCCCCAAUUUCAUUUCAUAGGCACCAUUUUUGUUUAGAAAGCAGGGCCCCAAUUUCAAUUUCGUGGGCACCACAGUCGCUUUGGCCCAAAACCCACGAAGAAGCGUGUUUUGUGUCGCGACGUGGUGGGCCUUCGAGAAAAAGACAUCGAAUCCGUGUCAAUUUGGCAUUUUAAAAGUAGGUUUAUCUAACGUUAUUAGGCAAGACACUCUCCCGCUCCUAACGGUGGACGGAUAACGGGCUGCUGCUCCGCGCACCCGCUAUGACCCAGCCCUGUACGGCAAAUGGACAGGCUAUCCUUUUUUGCCAUUUUUGGGUUUUUUUUGUUGCUUAAAAUGGGCCCCAAUUUCAAUUUUCAUGGGCACCACAGUCGCUUUGGCCCAAAACCCACGAAGGGGCGCAUUUUGUCUCGCCGUGCGGGCUAUUCGAGAAAAAGACAUCAAACCCGUGACAGUAAUAAAGUAUAUCAUAACCAACUCAAUGUGACAUAAUGUACAAAAUCUCUCAUUGUUUUUUUU
rnacentral:lncRNA from 1 species